UCUUUUUUUUUUUGUUCUUGUGUUGGCCGGAGCAGAGACGAUUGAUUCAUCUUUUGAAGAAACAAGACAGAAAAUGGCCACUUACUGGAAGACCAAGGUUCUGCCUGGCAUCAACAAGAUCUUUGACAAGGAUGGCAAGAAGGCGGCGGCCGUCGAGUUCCUCAAGUCCUUCAACAAGGUAAUAUACCUAGAGGAAUUCAGAUGAUCGACAUGCCCGUCUUAUGUAUCUUUGUUUUGUUCAUCAACCACCGUCUUUGUUUGCUGUAUACUUACAGGAGGAGCUUGGCAAGGAGAUCGAGGACAAGAAGACGGACCUGGAGCCCAAGGUUGUGGAGACUUAUGAAGCAUCUCCUCCUGAGGUUAAGGUAAACUCACGUCUUUCAGUGUUUGUUUGGUGUUGCUUUCAACUUAAGCAACUGCUGUAUGGUCCUACUGUUACUGAUAACCUCUCUUACCUGCUACUUAAACUAGGCUCUGUUCAAGGACAAGAAACCAGUCAAGAUCAGCAAGAAGAACUCGGCUGCAGCUACUAAGUUCCUCGACGAGCUGGCUAAGAUCGGUAAUAACAAGCAUCGAUCGCAACUUGAAAUAAUCUGUUACUCUCUGGUCUGGUCCAUAGUAGCUAGCACAUGCCAUUCUAAGGGUUUUUCAUCACGUACGUCUAGCUUAAUCUCACAUAAAACACCAUAUUACCCUCGCUCUAAACUGUAUUUAUUUCCUUGUAUUUUUUUUACAGUGAAAACUGAGUACAGAUUUUCAAAUACUAUUUUCUUGCUUAUCGAUCACCAACAACCGCCUCCUUUUUUAGUUACUUUUCUGCAAUCCUGUGGUUAAUUUGAAGAGGUCAUUUUCUUGGGGUUUAUUUCCUGAGUAAUCUUUGUGUCUUUUUGGACAAACUAGAUUUUAUUCUCCUUUUGUGUUCAAACAAACUUUAUUCUCCUUUCUACACAAGCAAACUGCAUAGGAAUCUUCUCAACUACUACGUAUUUCUUUUUCUGCCAACAGAAUCUCAACACAAAACAACAAAAACCAAAAGUCCUCGAUUGUUCGUUCAUCUCUUUCAUGGCAGGCUGUCCAUACUCUGUACACAUGGUUCUUGUUGAACAAAAUAUAAACUCGUGCCGAAUGAAUUCAUCUGCAGAGUUCCCUGGAGCCAAGCUGGUGAGCGACGCGGUGGCCAAGUCCGGCACCACGCCUCUCUCCCCGGCGAUCACCUUCAUCUUGGACAAGGCUGCGCCGUUCAUCCCCAAGGAGGAGCCCAAGGCGGCCGAGCCGGAGCCCGCCGCCGCGGUCGAGGCAACCUCCCGGGAAGUCGCCGUGGAGGAGAAGAAGGAGGAGGCUGAGCCUGCAGCCGCUGCGGCGACGGAGGAGGCAGCGGCGACGUCGGAGGCGGUAGAGGAGAAGAAGGAAGAGGAGAAGAAGGAGGAGGAGGAGAAGCCAGCGGAAGCCGCAGCCGAGGCCGCCGCGGCGCCACCAGCUGCGGAGGAGAAGAAGUGAUCCAUGGACGCUACCGAAGAAGCAAGCAAGUCAAGCUCUACCUCGUCGCUGCUGGUAAAUUAAUUAAAGUUACCGUGAGAUGAAAUUAAAUUACUCUCUAGCUUGUCAACCGCGUAGGUGCAGCGCAAAGUGAUUAAGAAGUUACGCACAGUACAGUUGCCCAUGCGCAAACCUUUGCUUCAAUUACUGCAUGAACAUUUGUUAUUCUUUCUGUCACCUCGAUCGCCCGAUGGAUGGGUGUCUUGUAAAUUUGUUUUCUCUUUCUUGUUUUUUGAUUUGGGGUGAUUGAUCAAACAUGCAUAUAUGUGUAAUUAUUUAUAUUGAUAUGUUUGUUUGUUGAUGGUCAUAUUUAUUUGUUUUUUGUGGUGCUAUACAUGAUGAAUUGAUGGUGGUUGUAUAACUUACAUACACACACCGUGCAUGCCUAGCGUGCUAAUUACAUGGCGUUAAUUGUUGGCUUGGAACGAUGUGCUCUGUGCCUCUGUAAUACUGCAGGUGUGUGUACGAAACAGUCACUUAAUUAUAUGCCAGUGACUUUGAAUACCUCUGGAGCCCUGAUCUAGUAUUAGACAAUUAGCAUGGUUUUUAGUUGAAACACUUUUUAUAAACAGUACUCCCUCCUUCCCCUGUAGUCUACGAAUUGAAGGAGUAGAAAAAGGUAAAAAUUUAUAGAGGAGAGUCGUAUAUGUACUCAAAUUAAAGGUGAAAAAAACCCUGUAGUAAGGAAUGAAAGAAAGAAAAAAAAUGGAUAAGCACGAGAUGGAAUUAGUGAAGAACUUGGAGGAGAUAACUACUACUGGAACUGGAAGUGAUGUGCAUGCUGCAGGCCGGUUUGGCAGGCAGGACAGAUCAAUCAGUGGCGCCCUCAGGAAAAGGACGUGAUCUCAAUCCCUCCUCCAUCGUCGUCAUCGCCACUCAACGUAUAUCGCAUCUAUGCUUUCUUUCUUUCUUUCUCAUAUACAAUUAAACAAAAAGAAAGAUGAGUCCGUCCUCCAUUGCCAGCUUGUGUACGUGAUGUGUGCUUAAAUAUUGUAUGUGGGAACUCAUAAAUAUCCCCAAGUUAAUAGGCAUCAUAUAUAACUGAUCAGUAGGCCACCCAGUGCAAUGAUAUCAACAUAUAUAGAUAAAGAAGAUGAAGAUUCAGAAGGAAAGUCAUUGCUGAUUCAAUGGUCGAGCUCUUUUUCAGUCGUUGUUGAUCGAAAAAUGCAGGAGAUAGGUAGAUGUGAAAAAGGAAACAAGGAAGGAAUUAAGAAAAUAUCCAGUGUAUUCAUCCUUGUGGCAGCAGAUGCAGUCAGCAUUAUUCUGUAAAUAAGCAGAGUGGUAGCUAGUCAAGUUGCAUGCAGCAGGACGACGCAUGGAUUGAAGGUUGUAGGUGUAGGUGUAUGAUCCGCAUCAGCUUCUUUUCAUUUCAUUAUUGAAGAUGAUGAAGAUGGCAUCUAUCAACGUCACCGGCCUCCCUUUCAUUGCAUUGCAUUGUAUCAUUGGUCUAUUGGACAGUUUUGGGCCGGAAAGGCUAGUUUUUCCUCUCUUUUUUCUUUGAAAAGACAUGACGGUAUCUUCAUUCUCCUUUCUCAUGGUACCUAUCUACUUCUCGCUCUAUACUAAUAAGAUACUACGUACCGUAGUAGGUGGUUGCAUACUGCAAUCCAUUUUACUGUUUAUCUUUGCUAGCUGAGCUGGAGGAUUCAGGGUUGCUUGCCCUGAAUGAUUGCACUGGUGUCUUAGUCAAAGCUAGCAACAGAAAGUUUCUUCUUUUUUUUUUUCUUCAGGACGAGCAAUAUAUAUUGGCCAGAACUUCCUUUCUGUGCAAAAAAGAAAAGAAAAGAAAAGAAAAGAGGGCCAUGCAUAUCUUGCAUGGGCCUAAAUCCUCUCCUACAGACCCAGCCUCUUCAGCCCAAUAAAUCCAGCCCGCCCAACACCUACAGCCCAUCAUAAGCCCAGCCCGUAUGGUGCUAUGCCCACUCGUGCCAAGCAACGCUCGACUUCUCCGCGAGUGUGCUGUACAGCCAACGACUCCGCACCGCGCCUCCUCCACCGACCGGCCGGCCUCCCAUCCCAUGGCGGGCUACCGCGGCGGCUCCUCCUCCUCCUCCUCCGCCGGCGGGGGCGGCGCGUCGGCCGCGGCCUUCGCCACGCGGAUGCUCCUCCUCCUCACGCUGCUGCCGCUCGCGCUCGCCGCCUUCGCCUUCGUGCUCCAGUGGCGCGGCGGCAUGCGGGACCCGGCCGGCGCCGCCUGGCCCGACGACACGCAGCGCUUCCCGGGGAUGGAGAACAGCCCUCUCGGAUCCUCCUCCUCCUCCUCCUCCACUCGGGGCAAAGGCUCCUACUUCGCCAUCUCCUCCUCCUCCUCCGCGGCAGCAGACUGCGCCGAGAUCCUCGGCCGGAGCGCAUCCUCCCACGGAGUCUCGCUCUACGGCGGCUGGAGCUUCGAUUCUGAAUCUUCUAUAACUCCCAAGGUGAGUGCGCGCUUACCCUCCGAUCUGAUCCGCCGUUUCGAGGUCCCAUUUUCCGACCAAUUCGAUGCGAUCUCGUGCUGCUGAAAUACUGUGAUCCGAGUACCCUGUUGAGCAUCUCGUGCCUGAGAGUUCUAAUCUUUCAAACAGAGGUUUAGCUCGAUCACACUCUCCGUGUGAAUCCAAGUCUCUUAGCUUAGCAACAUUUUGUCCUUUUUGUUUUACCCAGUUGAGAUAGCAAGUUGGAAAAACAGGGUAUAUGGCAUCCAUGUGGUUCUUAGAUGUUUGUUCAAGUAGACAAGACUCUUAACAUCAUGCCGUUACCCUGCAAGGUAUAUAUAUAUUUUUUUUCAAAAUGAAAUUAUCUAGAUGAUUUAUUUCAACCUCAAAAUCAUAUACUUCUUUUCAAAUGCAAUAACCUUGUAAGCAUUUUGAGUCUAAUGUGUCAAAGUUGUACUUAUAUCAAGCUAAUUCGUAUUUGGGUUGCAGAUCUGUAUCACGGGAAGCACAUCUGCUGGCCUGCACCAGAUUCUUCCAUGGUUGUAUUAUCACAAGGUCAUUGGUGUUUCACAUUUUUUUCUCUUUGUUGAAGGAGAGGCUGCGAAGCCAGCUGUCACCUCUGUUCUUGAAUCUAUUCGGGUAAAUAAGUCAUUUCAUACCCCCUCCUAUUUGUGAUUUCUUUGCAUAAUCUGCUACUUACUUUCUGCGUCCCUUCUUUAGGGUGUAAAAAUCAUUUACAGAACUAAAGAACUGAAAGAGAGACAGGACAAAAGGUAUGCUGAUGGACUUAACAGUUACAUGACAAUCUUUUUCAACAAUAAUCAAACCCGCUACAUGUAAGAUAAGUUCAGUUGGAAAUUUGAUCUGCAGCUAAUGUAAGUUUCGAUAAUACUGCGUUAAUAGGAUAUACGUUAUACGACUAAAAUGCAUUGUAAAUAUAAAUUUGGUAGAGGCAUCAAGUGGGAUGCCAAGUUACUUGUUUCAUUGCAAUACUGUAAUUGAAUAGUUUUGAAUGUUGAAGCAAAAUCUGUAAUGUUGUUGUUGAUUGGAUCCUGUAUUUCUGUUUUCAUUACUAUAUGCAUUUCUGAAGUAUUGUUGUUGAUUGUUUGGUUGUCUAAGCGCCAUCGUUUCAACCGUUUUAUGAUUUCAGCCGCAUCUGGAAUGAGACUUGGCUGGGAGGUUUCUUUUACAAGCCGUGCAAUUAUGAACUAUUUGUUAAGCAAUCACUUAACAUGGAAAUGGCUAUUAUUAUGGCAAGGGUAUGAACUAUUUCUUUCUUUCUAUUUUUUCGCGUCUGUUCACUCAGAAAUCUUGACUUUCAUGUUCCUUUUCCAAAGAGAGCUGUAAUAAUGGUCUAAAUCUACAUCUACAGAUACCAGUGCUCUUCAUAUUGUCUAAUUUUCAGCUACUUUUUGCUUUUUUAUUUGAACCCAAAUGAUGACGGGAAUUAAUCAUGUGCCAGUCUUGUUUUUGAGCUCGGCGGUACAAAUAUCAAUAUAUGACGUCAAUAGUUUAACACAAGUUGGGAGUGUAGCAGUGUAGGCAUACAGUUGAAAGUAAUGAAAUAGGUUCUAUUACAAGUAAUGUUUAGCCACAGAAAAUUUCUCAUCCUUUUCCUCCCCGACAUCUUUUUCCCACUUCCUUGCCCUAACUUUAAGGAUGAGUAGUAAAUGAUGUAAGACAUGUACCAGUGUCACUCGUUAGUAGAAAUAUGGGGCUUUGUUCUUAGUCCACUACAAACUUUAAACAAACUUUAACAAGGUGAUUGAUACAGCUACUGACUAAAAAUUCAGAAUGUUCUAAUCAUCUUAAUUUUUUGCAAUGCUCCCAAUCUCCAAUGCCAUAUCAAUGGCAUGUCUGAUGACUUUACAUCAUUGUUGAGCUAGCAUAGACAUGACUACAAUGAUGUGUGAUAACUAUGGGAGGCAUUUUACUAGGUGUUGUUUUUAUUUUGAAAAGACCUUGUAUUUCGUGGUGAAUUGAUGCAAAUGUCCCCUGUUUGAUUAUUACAGGAUGCUGGAAUGGAUUGGAUAAUUCACCUUGAUACUGAUGAGUUGAUUCAUCCAGCUGGUGCGCGAGAGUACUCUCUAAGGCGAUUGCUUUUAGACGUUCCUGACAAUGUUGACAUGGUUAUCUUCCCCAAUUAUGUGAGUUGCAGAAGUAACAUCUUUGUUGAAGUUGAAUAUUGUGACAUGCUUCACAUAUGAUUAUUUUAUAUUUUUGUCCAGGAGAGCAGCAUUGAGCGGGAUGACAUCAAGGAUCCAUUUACUGAGGUAUGUAAGCUACUGAUGAUUCACUGACUUGUUUAAGAGUGCCACAUGUAUAUAAAUGGAUUGCCUCUUGCUGCUAAAAAAUUGUAGUUUGGUUAACAUUAUUGCAUUAUAGAAAAUAAUGGAUCUACCUCAUACCAUUUAUCAAAUGAUUGCAUAAAUUCUCACCAAGUUCUAUACGUGCAGGUUUCAAUGUUUAAGAAAAAUUACGACCAUCUCCCAAAGGAUACAUACUUUGGCCUAUACAAAGAAGCAACACGUGGUAAUCCAAAUUACUUCCUCACUUAUGGUAAUGGAAAAUCAGCUGCAAGGGUUCAGGAGCAUUUGCGUCCCAAUGGUGCUCAUAGAUGGCAUAAUUACAUGAAAACCCCAAAGUAAGACAUCUGACUGUGCUGAGAGUUUUCUAAAACAAAUGUCCCAUCAACAAUUUUUUGUCUGUUUCCACCAGAUGAUUUAUUCAUCCCUUUUAUUUGUAGCGAAAUUAAACUGGAGGAGGCUGCUAUCCUGCAUUACACGUACACAAAGUUUUCAGACUUAACUUCAAGGAGGGAUAGGUGUGGCUGCAAGCCCACUAAAGAAGAUGUGAAGCGAUGUUUCAUCUUGGAAUUUGACCGAUUGGUGAGCUAUCUUUUCUUCCCUUUGCACAAAAAUGCAUGUAGGAUGUGGGGGUGGUGGGGGCAUUGCACAAUAGUGUACCUUGUUGGUGUGCCUUAUAAUAACCACAGAAAUGCCCCCCUGGUCCAUUGCACAAAAUAUAGCCAGCUGCGCCGAAGAUAUAUCUGUCUUUUCAAUGACCCUGUUUCUUCCUGUAUUUUUACCCAUUUUUUUAAGCUGAAGGACCAGUUUGGUUACUAGCCCAAAGUUCUUGAUUACACCCUUUCCAAAGAAAGAAGAAAAACUGGUGGCUUUUAUUACAUAUCAUGUGCGUAUAUGGCUAAUUGGAUAACUGGGGAGGACUAAUGAAUUCCCCCUUGUGCUCUGUCAUGACAGGCCUUUAUAAUUGCAUCAACAGCUACUGAGGAGGAGAUGAGGAACUGGUAACACCCUUACGCUCCUGUGUUCCAAUCAUUCCUCCCUAGCCUCACUGAAUUAAGAGAGAGAUCACAUUUGUCUGACUACCUUUGUUCAGGUAUCGAGAACAUGUUGUAUGGACCGAUAAGGACACCAAUUUGAAACUUUUGAGAAAGGGUGUGUUGACACGUAUAUAUGCGCCAAUGGUUAGUCCUAAUAUCAAUCUUGAAAGCGUCAACUUAUGAAAGUUGUUUCUUAUUGCUGCUAAGUUUAUGCCUAAUCUUUGCAGGCUAUCAUCCGUGGUCUCAAGGAAUCCGGCGUCUUCACCUCCGCAGUAACAUCAGCGAAAGCGCAGUCAAAAACAAAGUCGUCGAACAUGGGUCUUGAGAACAAGGAGUCCAUCCUACCCAAUGUAACAGCUGGGCAAUCCACAUUGGAAGGUGGCCAUGAGAAAUUGCAAGCAACUGUAAGAAAGAUCCUAGAAAUGGUUGAUGCCCAGGAGGAAGCUAUGCCGCCAAUGUCACCCCCCGGUUUUGUUGAGCUGAUUGAAAGCGCUUUGUCAUGAGGCCAUGUGAGAUUGAUCAGGCGAUCUUGACUGAUGUCGCUCCUGGGCAGAUGAAACUUUAACAAUGCAUAUGCAGCGUGGAACAUAUAGAUAGCAGAGGCUUGUUUGAUCGAUGUAUCUUGCGACUCCCCCCAUGCCUUGUGCUGAUGCAAAUUGCUUCCAUCACGUGGGCUGGUAAGCAAGUGCAAGACAUGAGAAUAACACACUCACUGUAAUAUAUACAACAGAAAUCAGGCGAAUCUUUCCCCGGGUUUAAGUUAUAGAUUGAUUGAUGUUAAAUUUCUACUGAGAAGCAUAUGCACAUCGCUUGACCAUGUUGUGGUGGUGGCUGACGCAAAUGCAGUACUGAUCGAUGUGCAAACUCUGGGCUUUUUAGCUCAUAUCUUUUCGAUUAAAGACUGCAUGCUAAUGAAGUAGCUGAAUUGAGGAACAACUGUAAACAGCAGAAUGAUUUAAUUCUGAGCAACCGAAACCUAAUUUUUGGUUGCCAUGAAUCGCAAGACCAUUUUUUUUUGCUAUUAUUCACGUUGGAAAUCCAAAAAUGUAAAAGAAGCCACUGGUCACUACCACUGUGGGCAGGCGAGGCGAUCGAUCCCAAGCAGAAGCAGGCGGUUGUGCAAGCCGACGAAUGGGAAUGGGAGCUCCGGAAUCUCCCGUCGUCUUCUGCUCCCCAUCGCCCGCUGCUCUCCCACCGACUUCGCCGCCAAGCAAAACCCCAGCUCUUCCCCCGCCACCGCCGCCGCCGCCGCCGCUCCGCCGAUCCCAUUCUCCUCUCCCUCCUCCCCCGCCGCCGCUCCCUCCCGGCUUCUUCCCUCCCGGUUUCCACCCUCCAUUCUUGCCCCCGCCAUUGCCGCCCCCAUGCGCCGGAGCCACUGCCUCCGCGGCGCCAGCGCGCGCGUUCCCUUCCUCUGGAGGUGGUAGCCUCUCGGCGGAAGGGGGGCGUUUCCUCGAGAAUCUGCCGCACGCCCUCGGGGUCUCGGUGACGGCGCACGCCCUCGGGGACCUCGCCGGCGUCCCGCCCGAGCUCCUCCCGCUGAAGAAGAGGGUCGUGCGCUACCACCCGUACGAGGCGGCCGCGGCGAUCCAGGAGAUGGCCAGCCACCACAACUACGGAGGGGGGUUUCUUCUCGACGUGGCGCCCAUGCCCACGACGGGCGCGCGCGACGACGACGGGCUGCGCGCCGAGCUGCUCCGCCUCCGCAUCUUGCGCCCGGCGCUGGUGCUCACCAAGCAGCUCACCUUCUCGGACCGCAGCCGCGACAAGGCGCGCCUCCUCCUCCCCGACGGUCUCGUCGCGCCGUCGCCGCUGCUGGGCAUGCUCACGGCGGCGGAGCGCCGCCUCGUGUUCGGCCCCGGGCUGCCCGUGCCGGCGCUCGACCGCCUCGGCCGCGCCUACCGCAUGUCCCUGCGGCGCGACCGCAAGGCCCGCACGUACCGCCUCACGGGGCAGUGGUCGCUCUUCGUGUCGCGCCACGACAUGCGCGCCGGCGACGCCGUCGAGGUCCGCGCCUUCCGCCCGUCCGCAUGGCAGGCGCGCCUGGACAAGCACGGCGAGGGCGGCCUCGGCAUGGCGCUGCUGCACCGCGGGGACGCCGGGACCGACGCCCAGGGAUACCGCUGGUGCAACAGGGAGCGCGACGCGGCGGAUGGCCUCCUGCGCAUCGCCGGAAGCCCCCGCCUCGCGACAGUUGCCGGAGCCUGACAGAUGGAGAUGCAAUGCAGAUAGAAAUGCAACGUCCGUUGUUCAGAUUAACAGCAAGUGGUGGUGGAGGUGAGGUGAUGAUCAUCACCUGGAGACUGCAGUGGCGUUGCUAUCAAUUGCUUUUGCCUUGUGAUUUAUUGUGAUGCCAAUUGCCAACUGCAACUUCAGAGGGUUUUGUGAAGCUUUGAUCAUGCAGGUUUCUUUAACAGGCGAGGCAGAUGUAGAUGGAAUUGAUGAUAGAUAUUGGAUAGAUGAACUCAUAUAGAUCAUGCAAUGGGGUCACUGGCUCACUGCAGAUUGAUGCAGGUGCAAGGCUAGGCUGGUACAGUGGUAUGGAGCAGUGAAGAUGAGUGCUGUUGCCCUUGUUAAUUUACAGGUUAUAUAUUGUCUGUCUCCUAUCUAUUGCUAAGCUUGCACAGUAACUUAAGGCAAGCAUAUCAUAGGAAAUGUAAUGGAAGCUGAAAUUGGAGCAGUGGGUAUUGAUAAAAUUCUUGAAAGAGAAGUCAAUUCCUUUCUUGCUUGAUUCUGCUGUUGCAAUUUUGAUGUCAAUUUCUGCAACUUUGCUGCACUGCACACGAGUCCAGGUUCGAAUCGAUCUAUUGACCCAUCCUCUUCCAUUUGAUACUUUUGAGAUUCAUGUGUUUAAGCAUUUCCCUUUGAAAGUUCGUCCUCCCACUACAUGUAUGGAGUAUUUUAAGGUAUAUGUAAAUCCUGUUACGUAUCCUUUACAACUCAUGAUGGGAUAAUUACUUAAGAUACUUUUGACUGAAGACAACUAUAUAUAGAAGUUGAUUUAUUUGGGAAGGGGGGGAGUAUCUCUCAAAACCUGGGCUACAUUUUUACUAUGCUUUUUUCACUGACAUCGUCGCAACCUUGAGCUAUGGGAUCCAAACCUGUCUAGUCCAUCUACGUCUCCACGUCUCAUAUCCUCCUACAUCUUUUUCACUCAUGUUCUCAUUUCAGGUUAAUGGCUUUGUUGGCAUUCCAUUUGCGGCUAGGGCUUCCAGUUCACUAGUGUGUGGCUAAAUCUUGCUUUGUUAGGUCUCUUUGAUGUUAUUGCAAAGCCCGAUGCAACUGUUUUUUGUAUCAUUCAUUUUUAUUACAUUUUUACAUAAAAAGAUCGUUUAAAUUGCAACUUUGAUUUUUAAAUGCAUACAGUGUGCAACUAACUCAUGCAUAUAUUAUCAUUUUUCUGUCCCUUUUCCAUCGGCAGUUGAACCUUUUUGCUAAAAAAUAUAGGUGAAGCAGUAAUUGAUAGGGAAAUAUAUGGGGAUAAAGGGGUUCUUUUUCCCCUAACCGUAACGAUGUAUAAUUUAUGAGAAAUUUAGAAUGGGUUAAUUUAUUUCGUAAUGGUGAUUGUGUUUAUCUUUUUUGGAAAAGUGUGGGAAUUUCUAAGCCCUUAUGGGGAUAAAGGGGUUCCUUUUUCUAACCGUAACGAUGUAUAAUUUAUGAGAAAUUUUAGAAUGGGUUAAUUUUUUUCAUAAUGGUGAUUGUGUUUAUCUUUUUUGGAAAAGUGUUUUUUUUCUAAGCCCUUAUGGGGAUAAAGGGGUUCCUUUUGCUAACCGUAACGAUGUAUAAUUUAUGAGAAAUUUUAGAAUGGGUUAAUUUUUUUCGUAAUGGUGAUUGUGUUUUCUUUUGUUUGGAAAAGUGUGGGAAUUUCUAAGCCUUAUGGGUAAGGCUUGAUGCUCCAUUUUUUUUUUGUCAAUUACUAGAAUAAAAAAAUAUAUAUGGUCAUCAUGCAAAAGUACUAUAUAAAGCAUACAUGUGUAGAGUUCGUAUUUGGCAGGGUCCUGGUGUACAACAACCAACAGCAUACUGCACACAUAUCAUGUAUCAUUGAAUGAGAUCAUAUGUAUAGUAUACAUACUCAUCAGACGAUAUGCACACAUCCACAAUAUAUCAACACACAAUGUACACAAAACAUAUGCACACAUCGACAAAUUGAACAGCAAAAAAACUAUGACACAACAAUGACUAAGACGAGAAAGCCUCUAGCUCGCUAGAGAUGCGUGCACUUACCUUACCUCCUAGCAGGCCAGCAUGCACGAACCAUUUAUGCAUGUUUUUAUUUCAAGCACACACCAGGCAGACCACGAACACAAGCACACACGUAUAGUGAUAUAUUCCCUCCAUCCCAAAUUAAUAUUUUCUUUGGUUUUUCUAAAUACAUAGUUUUUGAUAUGCACCUAUCUAUAUACUAUGCCUAGAUAUAUACAUAGAAAAAGUUAUGUAUCUAAAAAAUCAAAACAAAUAGUAAUUUAGGAUGGAGGGAGUAGCAUGGAGCGAUAAACCUAAUCACAACAAAUGUAAAGCAUUUAGGUAGUAUAAAAUUCUCAUGUAUGUUGAAGUUAAUCUAGUGAGGUGUGAAGUCACCUGUUGCUGUAGUUUUUUUAGCUUGGCUACGCGUAAUUGGUCCAAUAUUCACUUGUUCUCUUGAUUGGGUGACAUAUUCUACAUCAUGUCAUUGGUUUACGUGUGAUGGUGCAUGGCUGGUUGAGAUGACCUCAUCAGGCCACCCCAAUCUCGUCUUUGGCGGCGCCCACCAGACUGGACAACCAUAGUGUUAUCUGAAUCGUGCAAAUUGAAUCUGCAUUGUUAUCUGAAUUGUGCAAAUUAAAUCGUGCAAAUUAAAUAUAUAUGCACUGUUAUAUGAAUCGUUCGAUUGAAUCGUUUGUACAUAUGGACAGGAAAUAGAGAAAUUCUCAUACAAAAGUGAUUCACAAUGUUGUUACUGUUGAGGUGGUUGAUACACACAACAACUACGUGGACCAAUUUGUUAGCUCAAUUUUGCUGAACAACCCAACAUCUACAUUUUUCUUGACCGCAACAAAGAUUGAUUUAAUCUGCGCUUUAAGUGUUCAUUUCGUUCAGCAACGAAAAUGCAGUGGAAGCAAAGCUUAUUGCUGAAGUACCUUUCUUCAGUGUAUUGAUUAUGCCGCGCCACAAUGCUUCGGAGCUUCUUCACUUAAGAGACAAGCCCCCUAGGAUAUGAAGAUGUUAUGAUUCUUGCUCCAAUUGGAAUCGGAUUCACUGCUUCUAUGUCCAUUUUAGAUGGUUCAGUUACUGUACUGUCGUGUUAUGUGAAGGAUAUGGACAAGAUGGUUCAUGAUAGUUCCAAUCAGUACUUCCUAACGACAUGCACUUUCCAUGACAAGGGAAACCUUGUAGCCAACAGGAUUAUUUGCUUCUGUGUUUGACCUAGAUGGUGACUGUGUUGGGUUCUUGUUUACUGAUUGUAGUUAGACUUCUAAAUUACUAAAGUACUUAUCCCAGACAUCGUACUAUUAUUACCUGAUUUAUAAUGGUAUCAUCAAUACACGAACAAUGUUGAAUGACUAGAUUACAAUACAUACAUUUAUCUUAUGAACAGUGUAAAACUUAUCUUAUGAACUUUUUUGGAUAUACAUUGGCUGCUGAACUGGAUUCUUAUUUUUCUGUGUCACGUGGACCAAUUUGGGAUGUAAAUAAACUAUUCAUGAGCAAAAAAUUUAAUUGUUGCUCCCAUGGAUUAAGUUUUCUGAUGUCCAUGGUUCCAUAUGCGAGGCAUUGCCAAAAUCAAAGAAUCUUAACAUACAUAGCCUUCCUUUUGAGCUCAACAUAUAGCAUUGUUUUUUAUGCUCACAUUUCUACUAUGAGGUAGAUUUGUGGUAGGCUAGCCAGUCCUAAAAAUGUUCUCUGUUGGCCUAGACUACACUGCUCAUUUUCAAAUGAAACUGCAACCUUGUCACCAAUAAGAUAAUAAAGAUUUGCUACUAGGAUUUACAGAAAGCGUAAUCCUUAAGCAUGAUAUAGUAAAAACACUUGUCUGAGGUGCCAAUUUAACUCUUAACAUAAUAUCACAUGGGUGCAGUGAAACGCCCAAAUAUUCUUUAUAAGAUUUUUCUGUUUGCUUUUUGACACGUGUUUAACUUAGUUUCCAGUACGAUUGAUUGAUUUUUUGUUCCUGGUUUUUAUAGCAGGAGCUAUGGGAUUUAAACCUGUCUAGUCCAUCCAUGUCUCCACAUCUCAUAUCCUCCAACACCUUUUCGCUCAUGUUCUCAUUCCAGAUCAAUGACUUUGUUGGCAUUCCAUUAGCGGUUAGGGCUUCCAGUUCACUUAGCUUGUGUGUGGCUACAUCUUGCUUUGUUGUGCCUUUUUUUUUAUGCUAUUGCAACCUAGAGCUAGGGGUUCAAGCCCGAUGCAACUGCUUUUGUACCAUUCAUUUUUAUUACAUUUUUACAUAAAAAGGUUGUUCAAAUUGUAACUUUGAUUUUUAAAUGCCUACAAUGUGCAACUAACUCAAUUCAUAUAUUACCAUUUUUCGGUCCUUUUUCCACUGACACUUAAUUUUUUUUUCUAAAAAUAUUAUGGUUGAAGUGCUAAUUGAGAGGCAAAUAUAUGGGUAUCAAGUUCUUUUUCCAAACGGUAGUGAUGGAUAAUUUAUAAACUAGUGUGGGUUAAUUUUUCGUGAUGGUGAUAGUGUUCAAUAUUUUGUCGGAAAAGUGUGGGAAUUUCUAAGCCCUUAUGGCCAUUUUUUGGUCAAUUACUACAAUAAAAAAAUAUAUGGUCAUCAUGCAACAGUACUAUAUAAAGUCCGUAUUUGUACAACAACCCACAUCAUACAUAUAUAUAUUAUGCAUCACUCAAUGAGAUCUCAUGUAUACAUAUAUACAUAUAUCACACAAUAUAUACAUAUCCACACACACAGUGUUCCCAGUACAUAUGCAACCUAUCGACAAAUUAAAUUAAACAGCAAAUAAACCAUGACACAAUGACUCAGAUGAACCAUUUAUCAUGCAACACAAGCACACGCACAUAUAGUGAUAUAGCGUCGAUGGAUGAAUUGGUUACUGCUGCUGCUGGUUGAUAACACCAACCGGGACUGAUAAAGUAGUAUCGCUCUUGGCUUUUUUUACCACAGUGAUGUCGCUUAAAUCGGAGAGGUAUACGUACCGGCAGCGAUAACUUGUGACCGGUGGAUCUGUAAGUGAUCCAAUGGCUUGCAAGAGAUUGUUGACGUUGAAGUUGCCUCUGAUCUCAAUCUCUUUCAGAUUCGGGAGGCGGUCGAUCCCAGAGAUGAGGUCCCCAGAGUGCGGCUUGCUUAUGGACCAAACAAUCUUCUCGAGCUCAGGAGCUGCGCCGGCGGCGGCAAAGGUGACGCUGGUGAUGGUGUCGCCGUCGACGACGAGGAACUUGAGAGCUUUAAAGUGGACGUCGUCCCUGAAGAUGAGCGCUUGCUCGAGGAAUGACCUGCGGCUGAGCUUGAGGCAACGCAGGCUGAGGACGUUGGCAAGCCUUGUCAGAGUCUCUCCUCCGCUCAUCUCAGUGUCACGCAGGGAGAUGUUAGCCAGUUUCCCGGCCCUCUCGACCCAUGAAGGGAGGCUAGUGCCGAUCCUUCCGUUGAUAUCCAGGUUCUCGAGGACCAAGCUGGAGGUUGCCUCCUGCAGCACGGAAAUGUCGAGGACCCCGCCCUGGUCCUGAGUGACCCAGAUGGACAGCGAGCGCAGGCAUCCAGCCAGCGCGUAUAUCACUCCACGCAGCUGCUGGGCACCACGACGAUUGACGCGUCGGAUGACCACACCGAGCUUCCUCAGCUUACGCAGCUUGCCUACUCGUCCCAGCUCGGCCCCGUCCUCGGAGACCUGGACGUGGGACAGCGUCUCCAUGCUCCUCAUCGCACCGAUCCUGCUGGGGAUCCGCACGGUGACGAGCGACACCUCGGCCGACGUCCUCCUGGCCGUGGGGAGCUCCUCGCCGGUCACCUUGUCGACGUAGCGGCCGGCGAGCAGAUGCUUCAAGCUCUGCAGGUACAUCCUCCCCACGUCGCGGGGACGUAAGCGUGGCGUCUCCCGAAUGUCCAGCGUCUCCAGCAGCUUGAGCUUCUUCAGAUGGGUGGGCGGCAGCCAGAAGACAUCUGUCUUGCGAAGGCUCAGAUACUUGAGGCAAACGACGGUGCAGAUGGCCUCGAUGUGGCGCGGCUUCAGGCCUCUGCAGCCUCCCAGAUCCAGCACGUUCAGCCGGUAUAGCUCAGGGAGACUGUUGAGGAAAACCACCAGGUCGUCCAUGGGGUUGUCGUCCCUCCAGCAGCAGCAGCAACCACAGUAGUCGUCCAUGGCCCCGACGACAUCCCUCCAGCUCCAGCAGCAACCCGACGCCGCUUGCUGCGGCGGCAGCUGCUGUGACAGAACAACUUUCUUUCGGAUAGUAAGCUGGCGGUCGAGGUGAAUCGGCAGGUCGAUGACGAAGUUCUCGUUCUUGGCGAUCUUGGUGAUGAAGGUUCUGAUCGACCCAGCCAGCGGUUGACAGCUCUUGACCGUGCCGGCAUCACCGGUGCGGGCAGGAUGGAUGAAGCCUCGAAAGAGAAGAUCGUUGAAGUAGCUCUCGCCUACUUCUUCGUCAGUCCUCCCUUCUUCUUUGCCAACAAGUCCUUCGGCGACCCACCGCCUGACAAGGCUCGUCCUGCUGAUGGCUUUCUCCUCGAGGAAAGCUGUCAGAUACAGGAGGCAGCUCUUCUGCGGGAUGGACAGCAAGCUGUAGCAGAAGAUCAUCACUUGGUUCUUGAUCUCCUCUGCCGUUCCUCCCUCCUCCUCCUCCUCCUCACCCAGCACUUUCUUCUUCAGCUUGCUCUCCUCUGCCGUUCCUCCCUCCUCCUCCUCCUCACCCAGUACUUUCUUCUUCAGCUUGCUCUCCUCUGCCGUUCCUCCCUCCUCCUCCUCCUCAUCCAGUACUUCAAUCUUCAGCUUGAUCUCCUCUGCUGUUCCUCCCUUCUCACCCAGUACUAUCUUCUUCAGCCUAUCCAGCUCCAGAUUAUUGGUCUUGUAACGGUAGGCGUACAGAGCACAAAGAAGCAUCCUGAUGCAUCUCAAUGUUUCUUCAUCCGGAGGCGGAGCCGGAGCCGGAGGGCAGCAUUUCUUCCAAGUAGCUUGUACUAGGGCCGGGGCAUCUUGAGAUCUCACAUGAGGAGGAAGCUGCCUGAUGACUUCUUCGCUGAUGGAAGAUGGAACAGCAGGACGUGAACUGUCGGGGAUGGCUUGUUCCAGAAGGCGUCGAAAGGCAUCCCUCUUCUCCUCUUUGGCGGCGGCGGCGGCGCCAUCCUCCGCCGCCUUCUUCAGACCCGAGCCGUGCGGGACUUCGACGCCGUAGCGCUUCCGCCUCUCGCCGAUGUCGUUGACGCGGACCUUGAGCUCGAGGAUCUUCUUGGCGAGGUUGCGGCGCAUGAUGUACUUCUUGGGGUGGAGGAGGAGGAGGUACGCGGUGGCCAGGAGCCCCUCGCCGUCGUGCCGGGCGAUGUCGCGCACGUAGCGCUCGACGCAGUUUUCGGCCAUGUAGGCGAUCUCGCGCACCUGCUUCAUCCAGGCGCGGAUCUGGUCGUCGUGCUCGCUCUCCGUCUGGGUGAGGUGCCGCAGGAACCCGUUCAUGCUGUCCAUCUCAUCCUUGAUGAACUGCAUGUUGCCGCGCAAGCCGCCGAGGAGCCGCGCCUCCUCCUGCACCGCGGUCGACAGGAGGCUCAGCAAAUCAUUGACGGCGCCAACGGUCAGGUCGGCCAUCUCGAUCGGCGGCGGCUCUGAUCUAGCUACCAGCUGAUUGAGGUGAAUGUGAUGGCCGCCGGUAGAGGUAGCAUUUAUAGCACACCAGUGCGUGCGUAUACACCACACCCAAAAAGGAAGCAAAGGAAAACCUAGCGGGAGGGCAAAGAGUCGAAUAGAAUAUCUUCUUCAAUCUUUGUCAAACUUGGAUCUGUUCUUAUAAACAUCGACACGCAUGCAUGCGUGUGUCCGACCUAGAAUCUAGCAGGCAGUUGCUACACAAUGCACGCCAAUAUAUUUUAUCUUUUCUUCCCACAGAGUAUAAAGACAGCUUUCGUUUACGUAAUUAGCGCCAGGUUUACAGCUUUACAGCUAGGACGUAAUUAGUGCCAGGUUUACAGCUAGGAUCCGAUGUGAUCGAGAUUUCAGCCAGACUCUCAUAAUCAAAAUAGCUCCGUCCAGAACACGUGCAACGUACAUGCAGAUUACGAGAAUACAUGACUGGUAUUCUGUAGAGAAAAAACAACUCAUUUACGAGAAUGGCGUAGGCCGAAAAAUGGGUUACUGGAAUCCAAUUUACUACACUGCAUUCAGUAUUGUACCAGAACUCAUACGAUGGGUUACCACAAUGCAGCAGCAUCGUUUUACCAUAACAGUGAAUCAAUCGAUACAAGGUAUUUAUCAACAUGGCGUGAUCAAGUGACUAUAAAAUUGUGAUGGCCAGAUUACUAUUAAGUCAAUAUAACGGAAGUACAAUAAUGCCUUAGAAUGAUGUAACACAAACAUAGGUUUUCUGCUAUGCUUUUCCUCUAGGCUGAAGCUCUUUGUAGCACAUUCCAUUUUCCCUGCCUCAUUCAUGUGGUGACAUAUAUAGCAGGGAAACAGUUCCAGUCCUUGUCCAACGAGACGCUGAUUGCACCACGUCGUUGGCAUCUUCAAAUGCACCGGCAGCUGCAGAGUGUUUGUUUGCUGCAUGCUGCACGAAAUAUUGAACUCAUUCAGUUGAAGCUGGUAGGCCAGAUAUUAAAUCUACCCUGCCGGCUGCUUAAGUAAGCGCAUCAUGCCCAGAACCUGCCAGAAGGUUUCAUCCCCUGCAAACCUAAAAAUAACAGGGAGAAUAGUAAAUAAUAUGUUCAUUGCAAAAAUAUGCAGAAAUCAUGUUGACGUAAUGUAUUAAAUUUGAACUACCAAUGUCAUUUGGUUAGGAGAAUAACCUACCAGAACUGCUUGUUACGAAUCCAAGACUUUACAUUUACCAUAAUAAAUCUACCAAUUGUGAUUUCCAAGAAUCUAUUUACCAUAAUUUAGUAUCACGCUACUUAUAGAACCCAGAUCCAGAUAAAUAAACUACAACCCUAUAACCUGGUAUUAAUAUAAUUCAAAAAACUAGUAAAUGAUAUGGUUAAUUUACCACAUAAUUGAUCAGUCAAAAUUACAAUAACACAACAAUGGCAUACGUAUUUUCUGACUAUGAUUUGCGAUAAAGAAAGUGCUUGACAACUAAAGAACAUGAGUCCAAGAAACUACUAUGGUUAAUUUACCACAUAAUUACAGUAACACAACAGUGGCAGACGUAAUUUUCUGACUAUGAUUUGACAAAGGAAGUUCUUGACAACUAAUGAACAUGAGUCCAUGAAACUACUAUAACAUUCAGUUCCAACAAUAUUAAAAGUUUACUAGUGAAAUCCACAUAAGUUGAAUGGUAGUAAAGUAUUUGGUUAAUUUACCGCUGAGCAGGGUUGGAAGCCUAGUAAAUUACGAGAAUUAUUUACUAUGAAGCCUGAUAAUUUACUAUAAGAGCGAUAAAUCAUCCAAAAAAUUAUUUGUACCUAAAACCUAUGCAGCCAGCUGGUACAUAGUGUUCAUAGAAAGAGAGGUCUAACUUGCCAAAAGUAACGUGCUGACCAGAAUGGUGCUCGUCGUUUUUAAGCACAGUGGCUACACUAAUUGAAAACUGAGAAGUAUAAUAGAAGUUAAUAAGGACAUGAGCAAAUAUGUACGACAUACUUCAUGGGUCAAAAUUGCAGUAACACAAUGUUGAUUGAAAUAAUUUUUUUACUACGAUUUAUGAGGAAAAAAACAUUCUGAUAAGUUAUUAACAGGAAACCAUGAAUUUGCCAUAACAUUGACAAGGUUCCAUCGUAAUUCAAAAAAAUAGUUUGGUGCUACAUAAGACCCAGAUUUUAGAUAAAUCAAACACUAAUCUAAAACCUGGUGAAAUAGGCAUACUUAAAAAUAGUAAAUUAACAGGAAACCAUGGAAAAGCGCUAAAAAAUUGGACGAACAGUGAGCAAAUAAGCUCACGAGCACCAAUGAACCACAUAUAUAGUAACACAACAAAAUUGAACGUAAAUUACUGACAGUGAUUUACGAGAAACCCACUUCAUGAUAAGUAAUUAACAUAAACCUACGAGUUUACUAUAACAUCGACCAAGUUCCGAUAUUUCACAAAUUUAGUAGUAAUUCAAUCGCAACUCCAAUGUAUUUAGUAGUAAAUCCGUCAUUCAAAAAUUUUGUCCAUACAUUAUAUAUUAUAUGAGGACAAGCAGAGAUAAGGAUUCUGAGGACAAGCAGAGGAAAUGUAUUUUGUUCACAACCCACUUCCUGAAGACCAUGGAAUCUCACUGAAAAAUUAUGCACGGUCAUCAGCGCAAUACACUAUUAUUGGUCUACUGCAUAAUGUACAUAAUAUAUGUAUAUAUUAAUGUACAUAAUAUAUGCACAGAUAGAGAUAUAUGUAGAGAUUUUCUUUUAUAUAUAUCGAGAUAUAGAAGUUUAUUUAUGUCGAGGUUCAAAAUCUUGAUAAAAUAAAGAAAAAUAAGAAAAUCUUUCAUAUUCUCUCUUACCACUUGCACAAUGUUCAGGAUUAAAAAAAUUACCAGAAUUGUCAGUUAUAUGUGCAAAAUUUCUGUGCGACAACUAAUGAAUGAAGAUAUUACAGAAGUGGAUUUACAAUAUAUCUCAAAAUAUUAUCGCAUAGUUACAGUAUACCCCAAAUUAGAUGAAAUUGGACAGAUCCUAGUGACAACCGUUGUGCAAUACACCUCUUUGCAUUGAUUUGUUUGACCAAUUAAUCUGCUAAAACAAUCUAAUUUCAAUCUGCAGUGAGGGUGAGGAAAAGAUAAAAAUAAGGGCACGUGGUGCCAAGCAGAUCCCAAAGCUACUUCGGAUUUGACAUUCCCCAAUGAAAAAAAUAAAAUUAGUGAUGAUGGAAUCGAUCCAAUCAAACUGCUUAAUCAGCGGGGGCUUUUCAGGUUCAAUUCCUACAACGCAACCAAAUCAGAUAAAUAAACAAAACGAGAUAGAUUUGCCUUACCAGAAUCGCUUGACAGCCUAAUCCGCGGGACAGCACGACCUGGCCUCCCGUGCGCGGGUCGGUCCUCAACAUGGCUGUCCUGCCGCCGGGAUCUGCCGCUCCAUACGAGGUAUGUUGAGAAGAGGAAAGGGGCCCCAGCCAGGUCGUUGCCGGGCCGCCGCCGCUUCCACCUGGAUCUGACGCCAUUGCCGGCAGGCGGCAACCCGCUUCAAAUGAGGUCGCCAAAUCGGGAGGGUGCUGCCGGCGUGGAACGGAGGGGCGUCGCCGGGCCGUUGUUAGGCCGCCGGGACUCCUACCGACGGCGUAGCGGCAGCGGAGAAGAAACAGGGCGGCGACUGGUGCGUGCGGGAUGGCUGACGGGAAGGCAGCGGAUAAGAUGGCGGAGCCAUGACGAGCGGGGGCGGAUGAUCUGGACGGUUGGAUGGUCCGGCUACAAAAUACCUAUUUUGUGAUCAGCUACAGAGAAAUUGAUCUCUCUAUAUAUGAAAUCAAAAAAGCUGAUAUACUCAAGAUUCAGAACACGAGCGAGGUCGGGAGUAUUUCAAGAUUUCUGAUCAAUAUAACCAUUUUGAAACUAAUAAACUUAUUUUAUAAAAAUAAUCGUUCCAUGCGUAUUUGCAAGGAAUAGGGAAUUGGAUCUUUCGAUCCUUAUCUUUAAUUUAUCAUCUCCACAUAAUGACAGCUGUAGAUUGCAACACUACUACAAGCAAUGCCCUAUACCCUUUGCGGCAGCUAUAUAGUUUAUAUAAGUUUUUAGGUGUGUGUGAGAGUAUUGUGUCUAGUUUUGUAUUGUAUGAUUGUAAAUCAUCUUCAGGGUUUGUUCGGUUAGGUGGGGAUUAAAAAGUAUCGCAGAAGAGCAAGAGGAUUAAACCCUUAAUUAUUUUGAUUUUUUGAUGUCGAUUGUAGAUUAUUUUGAUUUUUUGGAUUCAUAGACUUUGCUAUGUACUUAGAUAUAAUACGCUAUGUCUAAAUACAUAGUAAAAAUUAUGAAUCUAGGAAACCCAAAACAACCUAUAAUUUAGGAUGGAUAUGAGAGUGUUUCACACAUUUGUGUUUUUUAAGUCCACGUUAGGUGUAUUCUGAUGUCGAUUUUAUUUACUAUAUAAAUAACUAAAGUUCACUAUGUUGUGCUGCAGACCUAGAGAUAUAAGCACGAGUUUGAGACGGUUGCGAAAGGAGAACUAUGUUCUGAUCUAGAAGGUGUGCAACACUGGCCUAAUACCAUUGAAUUUAUUAUUUUUGAGUUUAUACCAGAGUGAUGCAGGUUUAUUUCUUUUUCUUUGAUUGCUAUACUUAAGUAAUAUGUGUACUACUGUAGGGUGAGUGCUAACAAGUUAGCCUUAUUAUAUUAUGCUUAUCAGUAUCUCUUACACAGCCUCUUUAAUGAGUAGGCCAAGUGUCUGUCGUCUUGCAUGAAAGAACAUUUUGUUGAUGAAGCAUGCCUGUCUAAAAAACAUAUAUACUCCCUCCGUAUAGGAAAAGGAAGUCGUUUUGGACAAGGUUUGGGUCAAACAUUGGGAAUAUAAAUCAUGAAUAACUUUUAAGUUGUUGAGUUUGGAAAUGUGAAAGUCAUAUAAAUAGAUUUGUUUUGAAAAAUACUUUCAUAAAAAUAUACAUAUAUUACUUUUGGAUAAAUAUUUUUAUAAAAAUAAGGAGUCAAAGUAAUGCUUUGGAGAUCGUGUCGCUAUUCAAAACGACUUCCUUUUCCUAUACGGAGGGAGUAGUUCCCAAUGUGUUGGAUCCAGUAACGUUAGUUUGGCCUUGUUCACUACGGGAAACAGGGAAGAUGCCGAGUGCCAGGGGCACUCGGCGAAGCCCCAAAAACACUCGGCAAAGCGUUUGCCGAGUGUAACACUCGGCAAACGACACACGACAAAAAUCUUGACGGCAAACACUGGUUCGCCGAGUGUUUUGUGUCGGGCACUCGGCAAAGACUUUGCCGAGUGCCCAGAAAACACUCGGCGAACAAUUAUUGAAAAAAUAAAAAAAAAUCAUGCACCGCCACCUGCUCCGCCGCCGCCGCCGCCACCAUCCUCUCCUCUUCUCUUCAGGCCCCGGCGCCGGCGGAUCCGGUGGAGGGGACGGGCGGCGGCGGAUCCGGGGGCGCCGUGCGCCGGGCGGCGGCGGAUCCGGGAGCACGGGGCGGCGGGCGGCGGGGCCGGGGCCGCCGGGCGGCGGGCGGCGGCGGGGGGCGCCGGGCGGCGGGCGGCGGCGGGGGCCUUCGGGCGGCGGCGGGAGGGAGAGAGGAGGGAGUGAGGGGAGUGAGAGGGGGGCUUCGGGGGGCCGGGAGAGUUUGAGGAGGCCGGGCACUUAUUGAGGGGGCCGGGCACUUAUUCUGGUUUGCCGAGUGUCCUACGUGGACACUCGGUAAAGAGUUUCUUUGCCGAGUGUCCAACGUAGGACACUCGGCAAACGUUUUUUGAAAAAAAUUUAAAAAAUAUCCAACAGUUUCAAAAAAAUACCAAAUUUUCACAUGAACCAAUAUAGGUUUUCUACUGACUAUACAAAAAGUUUUGUAGUCAAACCGAACUCGACCGUCACUUCGACUCUAAAUUUUAUCGAAUCCUUCUCAAAGUUACUAUUCUUCUUCUGAGAUGCUUCGGUUUGUAAUCAUCGUACAUGAUGAAAUGUGCAAAACCUUCUCAAUUUUUUUCCACAGCCUCCACGUAUUAUAUCAUCAUCAUGACAAAUCUUAAGAUUUUCAGACUUUGAUUGUUUUUUUUACAAUUUAAAAAUACUACUGCAAAAAGAAAACACUCGGCAAAUUUAAGGUUUCCCGUAGUGGUUACUGGAUCUGAUCUUGUUUUUCCCAAUGUGUUGGAUAGGAUCCUUGCUGAAGUUGACGAUUCUGGUUACACAAACUGGUAUUCAUUCUGAUUCAUCUCAUUGCAGGCAUUGCUUGGUUGCUCCAACCUGCUUGGAACUUAUAAAGGCUUAAAUGCUUUGUUGUUGCUGUACAGACGAUGAUGAGGACAGGUGGCCAGUACCCAAGCCAAUUUAGUAUCAUCCCUAGAAUAAUGUGAACGUCGUCCCUGAAGAUGAGCGCUUGCUCGAGGAAUGACCUGCGGCUGAGCUUGAGGCAACGCAGGCUGAGGACGUUGGCAAGCCUUGUCAGAGUCUCUCCUCCGCUCAUCUCAGUGUCACGCAGGGAGAUGUUAGCCAGUUUCCCGGCCCUCUCGACCCAUGAAGGGAGGCUAGUGCCGAUCCUUCCGUUGAUAUCCAGGUUCUCGAGGACCAAGCUGGAGGUUGCCUCCUGCAGCACGGAAAUGUCGAGGACCCCGCCCUGGUCCUGAGUGACCCAGAUGGACAGCGAGCGCAGGCAUCCAGCCAGCGCGUAUAUCACUCCACGCAGCUGCUGGGCACCACGACGAUUGACGCGUCGGAUGACCACACCGAGCUUCCUCAGCUGACGCAGCUUGCCUACUCGUCCCAGCUCGGCCCCGUCCUCGGAGACCUGGACGUGGGACAGCGUCUCCAUGCUCCUCAUCGCACCGAUCCUGCUGGGGAUCCGCACGGUGACGAGCGACACCUCGGCCGACGUCCUCCUGGCGGUGGGGAGCUCCUCGCCGGUCACCUUGUCGACGUAGCGGCCGGCGAGCAGAUGCUUCAAGCUCUGCAGGUACAUCCUCCCCACGUCGCGGGGACGUAAGCGUGGCGUCUCCCGAAUGUCCAGCGUCUCCAGCAGCUUGAGCUUCUUCAGAUGGGUGGGCAGCAGCCAGGAGACAUCUGUGUUGCGAAGGCAAACGACGGUGCAGAUGGCCUCCGCAGACCAGGUCGUCCAUGAGUUUGUCGUCCCUCCAGCAGCAGCAGCAACCACAGUAGUCGUCCAUGGCCCUGACGACAUCCCUCCAGCUCCAGCAGCAACCCGACGCCGCUUUCUGUGGCGGCAGCUGCCGUGGCCGUCCAACUUUCUUUCGGAUAGUAAGCUGGCGGUCGAGGUGAAUCGGCAGGUCGAUGACGAAGUUCUCGCUCGCGGCGAUGCUGGUGAUGAAGGUUCUGACAAACGCGCAGUGCUCAUUCAAGGUCGGUGCGGCAGGUGGAUGCACCAUUUUCUUAGGGUGUGUUUGGUUACUGGGUUGGAUUGGGUCGAAACGGGUUCGACCCCCUUCGUCCCACGUUUGGUUGAAAAACGAUGUGGAACAGGUUCGACCCAGAUGGGAAUAUUCCUACUUGAUUCGGGUCGAUCAGAUUCCUCCAAAAUGGAGGGAUCGCGCGGACCCAGGUGGAUGUUGUGCGGCUCCGUCUCGCGCUCGCCCGCACGCCUCCCUCGAUCGCCGCUGGUGCACGGGGAGGAGUCGGCGUUGCCGGGCGGGGAGGAGGCGGUGGCGGCGGGGAGGAGCUGGCGUCGCCGGGCGGGGGAGCAGGGCAGCUCGGCGUGGUCCAGAGGUAGGGGCGGUGCGCGGAGGCUGGCUGGGGAGAGGGAGGGUGGGGCAGUGGCCAGCGGCCGGCGCAGGAUGAGGGAGGGAUGGGCGGCGCGCGGCCGGUGCAGGAGAGGGAGGGAUGCCCGGUGCGGCGCGGGGAGCGGGGGCGGUGAAGGGGCGGCACAGGGGUAGCCGGUCCGGGGAGGAGGCGGCGCGGGGGCAGCCAGGUCGGGGAGGUGGGGGCUGGCGGCUCCCGGCGCCGCCAUCAGGGGCCAGCGUGUCGGCGGCUGGGGAGGAGCCGGGGAGGAGGAGGGGCUUGCGGGGAGGAGAGGAGGAAGAAGAUGGAAGGGAGGGGAAUAAAGAAGAAGAGGAUGAUAGGUGGGCCCCGUGGCUGACAGGUGGGGCUACAACUAAUGGUGUUAAAAGUACAUCCAUCCCAACCCUCUCAACCUCUUCAACCAAAUAAAAGACUGGGUCCAACCCAUCCCUCUCCAUCCCUUUCAUCCAAACACGAGCUGGAUUCACUCUAACCCAACCCACGUCAUCCCAAAACCAAACGCAUGCUUAGUCAAUUGCCAAUGUAAUAGAGGGUACAUAUGAAUAGUGGCGAAUGAAGGAUUUUACAUAUGAGUGUUCGUAAUAUUCAUAUUUUGUUCAUAAAUGUAUAUAUCAUACUACUAUAUAUUUAGCUGAUGCUCAGUGAUUACUUGUACCCAUAUAACCAUAUUAAAACAUAUAAACUAUCAUUUUUUAUGUAUAAAAUCUUUUGUCCAGAAAUAUCUUUAAAAGUAUAAGUCUUGUAUAAUUUCUACCUAUUUUGUAAGGACUAUAUACCUAUUAUAUUUGAUUUGAAUACCAUCCUAGAUUUUUUUAGCGAGGUAAAGAUUUUUAGAGGUGUCAAUAGGCAUGCUAUGUUUAGCCAGCGGUAAACCCUCCUCCAUCUUGCUCUGACUCCACUACCACCGCCGAAGGGGUGGCAUGACCCCAUCCAAAUAUAUGCUUUCCUUCUUUUCUAAUAAUCUAGACCAGUUAGCAACACAUCAUCUUCAUUCAAGUAGAAAAACUUUCACUAUUUAAUUCGAAGGCAGGAGCGAUUAUGUCCAUGGUGGUUCAAGCUGGGUGUGCCAUUAUUGCCUUUUUUUAUUAUGAAAAAUUGUUUAUCCAAUUCAUAAUAAGAUCAUAGCUUGCGGAACACGUAUGAAGAAGUGGUAAAGCUACCAUGUCUAUGUGCAAGGUUAGCACAUCACCUUUAUGCAGUCUACCAAACAUGAUUUAGGUAGAGCCUAGUUACAUUGUCCAGUCUAACAAACAAGAUCACAUAAAAUGAUAAAAAGAUGUUGCAUCUUGCAUUGUUAGCAUGGUUCAUUGGGCCCAUCUCUAUAAUACGGGCUUGAUCAACCCUAUUUAGGCUACUAAAUAUGCUCGCAGUCUUCUCUCACUGGCACUUGCAAUUCCAUCUGACAUAUGCAUGAUCUAAAAUGUUAGGAGGUGCAAGUAAUUGCACUUGUUCUUCUCUUUUGUAUGCUUUGAUCAGUCAUGAUAUUUUCUGCUUUGUUCUACAUGAUACAAACUACUCAAGUAUCAGUAAGAUAUAUGGUUGAGAUAAUACUUUUCUGCGCAGGUACGUGCAGUGUGCAUAAAUCUUGAUUUUUUGCUUGAAGUAUGUGAAAAAUGCCAGUACAAGCAGCAUGCCAAACCCUAGGCAUAGCAAAAACAACUAUUUUUUUUAAUCAAAAUCAUAAAAUUGAUGUACGCACAUGCACCUAUAUAUGCAGUGAUCGUUCAAAAGCAGUAUAUAAAGUAUAGAGUCCAUACAUAUUUACGGGGAUAAUAUAAUUUGUUUACAACCAUCAACAACACAUAUUAUCAUGCAUCACUCAAUCAGAUCAUACAUCACACAAUCACACACGACAAAUUAAACAGCAAACCGUGACGCAGUUAGUACGCAUGCAGUAGUAUAACGGUAUCACACUCCAGCUAGUGCUGCUGGUUGAUAACGGUAACCGGAAUUGAUACGGUAGUAUGCCUUGCAGUUUUUGGGACCUCGGUGAUCAAUUCGUUCCCAACGGAGGCGGUGGAGGACAUGUAGCGGAUGUAAUACCUUGGAUCACUUGUGGAUUCUUUAGUGGCUUCCACCCAGUCCACGAGGCUCGUCGUCUUGAAGUCGCCUCUAAGCUCAAUCGCCUUCAGAUUGGGAAGGUAGUUGAUCCCGACGAUGAGGUCCUCCCCAUCACGUACCCUGCUUCUGCCUAUGGCCCACACAAUCUUCUCGAGCGCAGGAGCUGCGUCGGCGGCGAGGAAGGUGACGGUGGUGAUGGGGCCACCCUCGAGGACGAGGAUCUUGAGAGCUUUGAACUGGAGGACCCUGAAGACGAGUUCUUGCUCGGUGAAUGCGCCGCCGCUGAGCUUGAGGCAACGCAGGCUUAGGACACUGGCAAGCCUCCUCAUAGCAUCUUCUCCGCUCAGCUCAGUGUUACGUAGAGUGACGUUGGCUAGCUUCUGGGCCUUGGUGAUCCAUGAAGGCAGGCCGCUGAUCUUUCCCUUGAUAUCUAGGUUCUCGAGGAUGAAGCUGGGCCUGGGGGCGGCGCCCACCAUCUCUUGCGUGGUGGAGGAAGAGGAGGAAACCUCGUCGAGAGCCCAGCCCUGGGUGGUGACGCAAACUGACAGUGAGCGCAGGCAUCCAGACAGCGCAUGCAGCACUCGACCCAGAUGUGCGGUACUGUCAGCAUCGCCAUGGACGACCACACCGAGCUUCCUCAACUGACGCAGCUUGGCAACUCCUCGCAGCUCGGUUCCGUCCUUGGAGACUUGGACGUGGGAUAGUGUCUCCAUGAACCUCAUGGACCCGAUCUUGCGAGGCAUCCGCACGGUGAUGAGCGACGCCUUCUCGCCCGGCGUGAGGUAUCGGCCGGCGAGCAGGUGCUUUAGCUUUGGCAGGUUGAUCUUCUUCGUGUCGCGAGGCCGUAUGGUUGUUCCCCUGAUGUCCAGGGUCUCCAGCAGCGUAAGCUUGUUGAUAUAACAGGCAGGCAGGUGGGAGACGUCUGUGUUCCGAAGGCUCAGAUACUUGAGCCAGACCACAUCGCCAAAGCUCUUGAGGUGGUCCUUCUUCAGGCCUCUGCAGCCUCCCAAAUCCAGCACAUUCAGCCGAUAUAGCUCAGGGAGUUUCUUGAGGAAAUGCACCAGCGCGUCCAUGGGAUGAUCCUCCUCCGGCGAAGCGCUGUCGCUGCAAAGGUUGCAGCGGCGAGCGAUGUUCCUCCAACGAUCCGCCGCUUGUCGUUGCUCUUGCUGCGGCGGUGGAAGACGUCGAACUAUCUCUCGGAUCCUGAGCUGGCGGUCGAGGUGAGCUGGCAACGAGACCUCGAAGUUCUCGCUUCCAGUGAUGCUGAGAAUGAACUCGCGGACUGGCUUCUCCAUCACACAGCUCUUGACCGUGCCGGCAUCGCUGAAGCGAGCAGGACGGAUGAAGCCUCGAAAUACAAGCUCACCGAAGCAGCACUCGCCUUCUUCUUCUGGAAUCCUCCCUCCUCCUCCUCCUCCUCCUGGUUCUUUACCUACGAGGCCUUCGGCGACCCAUCGCCUGACCAUGCUUGUCCUGCUGAUCUCCGACUCAUGGAGGAAAGCAGUUAGAUACUGCAGGCAACUCUUCUGGCUGAUGGACAGCAUGCUGUAGCAGAAGAUCAUCACUUCCUUCUUGGGCUCUUGGGUUCUUCCCUCUAAUUUCUCCUUGAGCUUCUCCAGCUCUUGAUUUGUCGCAUAAGGGUAAGCAUAAAGAGCACAGAGGAACAUCUUCUUCGUGCAUCUGAAUGCUGCUCCAUCGUCGCCGUCAUCCUGAGAACAUUUCUUCAGGAUGCCAUGCACCGUGGCAGCUUCAGAUUGUACGAGAGGAGGAAGCCGACGGACGAUCUCUCUGCUGAAAGAUAGGUAUCUCAGAACAGCAGAUGGGAGAGCAGCAGGAAGCAGGCCGCCCACAGCAGUCGUCGCUCUGCGGAGAGACGAACGAAGCCAGGCCUGAUGGUGGGCCCUCCACCAUGCUUUGCUGCCGACGACGUCUUGUUCCAGUUCCAGAUCCAGUGCGCGUACAAAGGCCUCCCUCUUCUCCUCUUGUUGGCCAGCAGCAGGCGUCAUCGGCGCCAGCUUGAGGUCCGUACCAGCCGGGACGGUGACGCCGUAGCGCAACCGCCUCUCGCCGACAUCGCGCACGCGGGCCUUGAGCUCAGUGAUCUGCUUGCCGAGGUUGUGGAGCUCAUAAUACUUUUUGGGGUUGCGGAGGAAGCCCACCAUGGUCCCCAGGCGUCCAAAACGAAUAGCUUCGAACGGGACUAUGUCGUGGACGUAGCGCUGGACGCAGUCCUCGGCGACGUAGGCGAUCUCGCGCACCUGCUUCAUCCAUGCGCGGACCUGGUCGUCGUGCUGGCCCUCCGUCUUGGUCAGGUGCAGCAGGAACCCAUUCAUGCUGUCCAUCUCAUCCUUGAUGAACUGCAUGUCGCCGGGCACGCCGCCGAUCAGCCGCGCCUCGUCCGUGAUCGCCUUGGCCAGGACGCCCAGCAGCCCGUCAAUGGCGCCUUGGGUUAGGGCGGCCAUCGUCGAUCUCUGAUGAGCCUGCCUGAUCUUUAACUAAUGAUCUUCAGCUCAGUUCAUCUUCAAUUAUAUUGUAGCUAGCUAGAUGGAUUGAGAGGGAGGUGCCAUGCAUGCUCUCUUUUGCAUGCAAAUUGAGGUGUGUUGUCAUGGCCGUGAGAGGCAGCAUUUAUAGCUGUUGUUACACUACUGUUGCUGUAUUGUAUACACCACCCCACGCCAAAAAAGGAAGCAAAGGAGGAAAACCUAGCCGGAGGGCAAAGAGUCGAAUAUUAUACCUUAUCCUUUUCCAAUUGGCAAGCAAUAGCGAAUUGAAUCCUUUUGGUUGCCCCACACAAUGAUAACCUUUCAAUCUUAUUUCUUCAUUUUUGUCUAAUAACUCGAUCUUAGUCCAUAUCCAUCCAACUAGACAAGAACAUGAAUGAGUUGGAGGCCAAUUGAGAUUUAAAGAGACGCACGCUACCUAGCUCUAAUUAAAUACCAUGGGUUUGGAGACCAAUUUAGCAAUGUUAAUUAUUAUUUACACAUAUAUAUGGGCUAGCUUUGCAAGAUUUUUCGAUAUGAAUGGAAGAGUCAAGGUCAAGCAUCGGACUAGGGUACCUAUUUUAAUACCACAGCAGGAUGAAGCUUCUUUUGAGGGAUGGUACGUGGAGCAGGAAUUUACAGCAGGUGAGUGGACGUUCGAGGCGCUCUUUGGAUGCGAUUAUCAUGUACACCGCGUGGAAACAUUUGGAAGGAGAGGAACCGGAGGCUGGAGCUCUCUUAGAGUCUUAUGUUUAAGUUUGUUCUCAUGUGUGUUUACUUUCUUAUGUAAUAUCAAAUUAUAUGUAAAGACUUGCUUGCUUCCUCCUUAGAUGACGUAGCAGUACUCCUGCUCCUUAAAAAAAAAGAGACACAUCGGCACGCAUGCAUACGUCAGAGCUAGAAUCUAGUACUUGCUACCCUGUGCACGUCAAUGAAAGCAUAUAUAUAUAUAUAUAUAUACACACACACACUAACUAUAGCGGAAGCUCAAAGACUCGAAUAUUGUAUCUUUUCUUCCCAAGGAGCAGGGAACUGGAUUAUUUCACCACCUUCUUUCUUUAAUACAAAGACAGCUGUAUUAGGUUGUAAAGCUACUACGGAUCGAACAAGCAAUCCCCUAGUAUUCCUUAUAUGUCCGACCUAGAAUCUAGCUAGUAGUUGCUACCACAAUGCACGUCAGUAUUUUAUCUUUUCUUCCCACGUAGUAUAAAGACAGCUCUAUUAGGUUGUAAAGCUACUACAGAACAAGCAACCUCCUAUUCCUUGCAACGGCCAACUCUCGUCUAGAAUCAAGCGAACUGGAAGCUCUACUCAUAUAUCGUCUAUUUUGGUUCUAUAUGAAAUCAAAAGGUGGUAUAGUCAUAUAGAUAUAUAGUGUCACUGCGGCCGGUCCAUAGCAUGAGGCCGGGAGUAUUUCAAAAUUUCUGACCACCCAACACUUUUUAUCCCGAUUGACUUUGGACUCGGGACUAAAUGACCUUUAGUCCCGGGUUAAAAAUGAACAACUGACGGGGGAGCUUUAGUCCCGGUUGUAACGGCUACUAGGCUCAAAAAAUCUGACGGGAUGUUUGUCCCGGUUAGUCUUUCCAACCAGGACAAAAGAUUUAGUCCAGGUUGGAAUUUUCAACCGGGACAAAAGUUCCUCGCCUAUAAAUUGCCCUUCUUCCUCCCCGAGCCCAAGCCACUCCACCCUGACCGAGAGCUUCUUUUUCCUUCUCCAUAGCGAGCAAGCAACCUUAGGGAGGUGCUGCAUGAUUUUUUUCCUUCAUUUCCAUGGGGAUUUCACUCAUCCCCAGCGUUGUAAAGGUUAACUACUUCAUCCUCCCUUCAUUUAUUGUUAUUAUGCUUUGUUUUAUGCUUUAGAGAUAGAGAAAAAUGAGUUUUUUAGAACGAGGGAGAAAUGGAGAGGAUUUUUAUUUAUGCAUGUUUUUUAGCUAGAAUUUGAUGGAUAGCUUGCUUGUUAUAUAUGAUCCGUAUUAGGUAAAGAACUUGAUCAAUAUUAGGUAUGAGAAAAAUAGAGUAAAUAUAUUUUUAAUAUUUAGUUAUUGCAAUAAAAUUAAGGUAAAUAAAUUGUAGAUGUAAGAAAUAGAAUUUGGUCAUUGUUACAAUUUUUCAUGUCACUGUAAUUUAACAAUAAUUAUAUUUCUUUGACCAAUAAUUUAUUUAUCUCAUGUUUAUUGUAAGGACUAAAUAUUAUAAACAUAUUUAAUCUAUUUUCCCUACCUAAUAUUGAUCAAGUUCUUUAUCUAAUACGAAACCCUAUGUUCAUUUUUCAUGUAAUACGAUGCAGAUGGACCGACAAUGGAUGUACCACCUCCACUCCUCCAAUCCCAGAGAACAGUAUCUGCUCAUGGCAUGAAUAUGUUUACACUAUUCUCUGGUAUUGGAGGAGUGAAGGUGGCUCUUCGUUCUCUGGUAUUGGAGGAACAUUCUAAAGAGCUGGUUCUUCCGCUCCUCCAAUACCAGAGAACAUAGUCUGCACAUGUCAUGGAUGUACUUACACUAUUCUUUGAUACUGGAGGAGCAGAGGUGGCUCUCCAUACACUUCGUAGAAAUUAAGUCAUGUGCAGAGAUGGCUUGGAGGGCGAACAUUCUACUAUGUUGUGCCAUUAUUUUAGGAUAAUUGACUACGUGCAGUCCACUAUGGAGCGUCUGUAAUCUUUAGUGUAUAUGUAUCUUUAUUGUCUUGUUCCAGAAUUCUAACAUUUUUCUUCUUGUCGACCUAGUGAAUGUUAUGAAUGAUGAUUAGUGUAAUUUUCAUGUGAAUUUUUUUUAUCUUUAUGAAUGUUGAUUUAUGUAAAUUAUCAAUAUUGAUCAAGUUCUUUAUCUAAUACGAAGAUCUGUGUCCAUUUCUCACGUAAUAAUUUAUUUAUUUCAUGUUUAUUGCAAGAACUAAAUAUUAUAAACAUAUUUACUCUAUUUUUUCUAUUACCUAAUAUUGAUCAAGUUCUUUAUAAGCACAUGAAAAAUUGCUUGGCAUGCUCACGGCGGCGGAGCACCGCCUGGUGUUCGGCCCCGGGCUGCCCGUGCCGGCGUACGUUCGACCGCAAGGCCCGCACGUACCGCCUCACGGGGCAGUGGUCGCUCUUUCGUGUCGCGCCACGACAUGCGCGCCGGCGACGCCGUCGAGGUCCGCGCCUGGACAAGCACGUCGAGAGCGGCCUCGGCAUGGCGCGGCGCUGCUGCGGGCACCACGGCCCGCGGGGACGCCGGGAGCGACGGCCUCAUGCGCAUCGUCGCAAGCGCCCGCCCGCCGGAGCCUGACGUACAGGUGGUAGAAAAGCAUUGCGCGGUGUCCAAAUCAACAGGGAAGUGGUGUCGGUGAAGGUGUGAGAUGAUGAUCAUUACUUGGACACUGCAUUGGUGAUGGGUCGGCGACUGCAUCUUCUUAAUUCAGAGGGUUUUAACUGUACGUGAAGCUUUGAUCAUGCAGGUAUAUAUACUUACUUAUUAGUUGAUGUAGAUAGAUGGAUGGAUGGAGUACGUUGAUGAUGGAUGAACUCAUAGGGUGUGUUUGGUUGCAUGCAUCAUAUGAUGCCUGUAUGGAUCAUUUUAGAUGAUGGGGUUCAACCAUUUUUUACUUGUACCAUAUGAUUCACUCUUACUAGUAGAAUAAUAAAUUAAGUGGGAUGGCUUCGUUAUGGAUGAGUUAGUACAAUUCACCCAACCAAACAAAAGGAUCAUUAUUAUUUUGAACCAUUUCAUACCUGAACCAAAUGAUACAAACAAUCAAACACACCGUAGUGAUCGUAGCAGGGCCGACGAGGAUCCGAUGAUGGAUCCAAGUGAGAGGCUAGGCUGGUAUAAGUGGUAUGGAGUACUGAAAACGAGGGGUGUUGCCCUUUGUUUAUCUAGAGACGAUAUCUUGCUAAGGUAAUCAUAGGAACAAAAUGUGAUUUCCAUGGAAGUUGAAGUUGGAACAGUGUGGGUACUGCCAAAAUUCCAGAAAGAGGAGUUAAUUCCUUUCUUGCUGCAUUGUCCAUUUUGCUAUCACGAUCGAGUUAAAUGAAUAUGGCUCGUGGGCUGCUUGCAUAUCUGCAGUGCCGGUGCAUGUAUGUAGAUGGAGGAUCAUUUUCGUUUGUUUGUGCAUAUGGGUGAGUGAUCGAGGGUAGCACAUGAGAAAUGCAAGGGUACGCACGUCUAGGAACAGGUGAAAGAUGCAAUACAACAUUAGACAUCUUCAGUGCUGUGCUACCGAGGAGUUCGAUCCCAUCAUGCGGUAAAAAGCAACACCCAUAAGUUCUAUUCUAUCUACAUCAAUUGCGACAAUAUAUACAUCUUGGAGACUUACAUAUAUAUAAAUAGGAAAUAUGCAAAGAAAGAAGGUCCAAAUAUAAUGAACAUUAUCAUCCUUACAAAAUAUAAAUAUGUAAGGUUACAAAAACAUUUUGCAGCCUUAUAAUACAUAACAUUAUCUAAACUUACAAAAGAAACAUUUUGAUAAGCAUACAAAAUUCCUUCUCUCUAUUAAUUCAUGGGGAACAUAAAUGAAAGCAAAACACUACUAGGAUCACAAAACUGUAUGGAGGACGCGGUCGCUUGGGACGCAACAUCCGUCUUCCAAAUGGGGAGGCGGUGCAUCGGGGGCAGGGGGGCUCGGCGUCCGUUCCAUUGGAGCCAGCUCCUUCAAUGCCUCCUGCCAAUUGACACUGCCCAUUACCAUGUUCAGCAGAUCGCGCACACAUCGUGCUCGUAUCACGCGCUUCACGUUGGCUAGCUGCUUUUCCACCAGCAAUGUCCGCAUGGACUAUUCCAAGUCCAUAUCCCUUUUUGUCGAACACGGGGGCCGCAUUUAGCCUACUCCUACAAUGAUAACCCAUGUCCUGGAAGCAACACUUCACUAAGAAAAACUUCUCCGACCUGUUCCCCGGAACCAACUGAUGAUCUUUCCCUUUGCACGUUGGAGCCACAACAAACGCCGAGAACAGGGUAAGGGAAUCACAUGAAUCUACUGGUGCCAGGAUGACAUACAGCGCUCUCUCGUCCAACCUGCUCUUCCCUGAAACGUACCGGACUUGCGCUCUCAACAAGUUUGACACUCAGGAUGCUGAACUUCUUUCCUAAUAAGCUAACAGUUUUGGCUGUCCUUCUAGUCUUAUCACUGAAGCAAACAGUGAGCUUGCUGUUUGCAUUGAUCAGAAAAGAAGAGGUAAGGAGAAAUGUUUCAUGACGAUUGUUUGCAAUGACACAUCCAGCACAAUGGUAGUCUUCGUAGUUCUUAUCAGCAUUGGUCUCUAAAACCGUGACCAUGCUGUUGGACGUUGCUCCGUGGAUGUUGCCGCUGCUGCCUUCCAUUAGAGAAGGUACUACAAAUGUAAACGGAGCAGCAAAACAAAGUUGUAUCUUAGUUUCAGAUCAAAGCUAGUCGCCGUGUUUUGUUCAUUCUCACGGUUGGAUGAUGAGGACGGUAUGUAGCCAUGGCAAGUCUUGGAUUGUACUUCAUCAGUACCAAAUGCCCCAAUCAAAACCAAUCGAGCAUGGUAGAGAUAUAAGAACGAGUUUGAGACGGUUGCGACAGAACUAUGUUCUGAUCUAAUUAUUUUUGAGUUUAUACCAGAGUGAUGCAGAUUUAUUCCUUUUUCUUUGAUUGCUAUACUUAAGUAAUAUGUGUACUACUGUAGGGUGAGUGCUAACAAGUUAGCCUUAUUAUAUUAUGCUUAUCAGUAUCUCUUACACAGCCUCUUUAAUGAGUAGGCCAAGUGUCUGUCGUCUUGCAUGAAAGAACAUUUUGUUGAUGAAGCAUGCCUGUCUAAAAAACAUAUAUAGUUCCUAAUGUGUUGGAUCCAGUAACAUUAGUUUGGCCUUGUUACUGGAUCUGAUCUUGUUUUUCCCAAUGUGUUGGACAGGAUCCUUGCUGAAGUUGACGAUUCUGGUUACACAAACUGGUAUUCAUUCUGAUUCAUCUCAUUGCAGGCAUUGCUUGGUUGCUCCAACCUGCUUGGAACUUAUAAAGGCUUAAAUGCUUUGUUGUUGCUGUACAGACGAUGAUGAGGACAGGUGGCCAGUACCCAAGCCAAUUUAGUAUCAUCCCUAGAAUAAUGAUAGAGUUUGUGAUUAGUGCUGACAUAUCAAUGUUCUUGGACCUGGAGCAGUCUGUUGAAUUGCUCAAGUCUUGUCACAAAUUUAGUUUUGAACUUUGUUGAAUCAUGUGUGCUCAAUCCAGUCAUUAUCUAAUAAUUAAAAUUAGCCUUAUUACAUCAUAUCCAUCAGUAUCUCUUAUAGCUUCUUUAAUGAGUAUGCCAAGUGCCUGUCAUAUUGCAUAGAAGUACGUUUUGUGGAGAGGAUAUGUGUGUGUUUAACCUGUUUGUCGUCCAAUGACGUGGCUAGAUUACCAGUAUGAUGAGCACUUGACAAUAUUAUCAUAUCAACACGUGACUGCUUGCUUACAAGGGCAACACGGCCAGCAGCCAAGCCAUGAGCCCCGGAAAUUGUUCUACAGAUUCGAGGCCAUGAUAGUAUGGUACAUAAUGCUCGCACAAAGACCGGAGCAAUUUAGCAAAAGCCACAUCCAGCGCGCGCGCACUAGAAUGAUACUAUAAAUCGAUUGUACCAUAAUUUAAACUAGAAGUUACCAUAAUUAUUUAGCAUCAAGAUGCUUUUUUUAAAAAUUAUGGUACAAUCGAUUUAUAGUAAAUUACGACGUACAAGAAUGGACAUCAAUUCUAAUAAGUUAACUACAUUGUUGUCAGAAGCCAUUCAAGUUACGAUUUAUAGUAAAUUACGACAUACAAGAAUGGACAUAUCAAUUCUGUAGAGUAUAGCUGACCAUAGAAUAAACCAUUCUAUGACCGGCAGUUAGAAUAAGCUAUUCUAUGACCGGCAGUAGAGCAAACUCUAUAAGGUCCAAAAUGCACUUGUUGUUGUUGUAGUGUAUCAUUAGAUUGAUGAACAUGGUGCCGAGAGAAAGAAUCACUCUUGGCACUCACUCCGCUACAUGAUCCAUCCCUACAUUAUACUCACUUCCAGUGGGCAAGCAGGUCCCAGGUUCUAGAAAUCAAUUAUCAUGAGACUGAGCUAUCUACAAAAGCUUUCCUGCAGCUAGGCAACCCCUGUUUCUACUACUUACUGGCAGAGACUCCUCAUAUCUCUAUCAUCUCCACCUUAGGAACUACUGCUACCUCUACCUGCAGUAGCCUUCUUCCAUGCUUUUCACAAUGCUGCAGGUUUGUUCUUCAACUUCUCAACAAUGAACUUCCUCGUGUCGGCACCCUUCACAUUGAAUUCCAUCAGAAGAUCUUCAUACAGCGUCUUCAAGCUUGUGUUGAAUGUGAUUGCGCGUCUGGACAGAGGGUUUGCUGCAUUGACUGCUGGUCCUUGCUUUGGUGCAUUGCUGCUGCUACUGCUGGCUGCUCCCGCCUCACUGCUUUUGCAGUCAGACUCUUCCUCCGGCACUACUGAGCCAACGUCAUGACCCUCCAUGUAGUGCUUGCAUGCUGCGAGAAUGGUGUGCCCAUGCACCCGGAAGUGGCCGGCAACAAGGUCUGCAAAGUGCUGCAAGGAGCCACAAGCCAAGCAUGGAUCAGUUCCGUUACAAUACAAAUCAGCAAAAAUCAGAUUUCACUCCUUUGUCACACCAGUAUUAUUAUUAACACAUUACCUCUGGAGGCCUCCGAAGUGAGUACAACAUCGUCCUGCAUGAGUGCAGAAAGGUAGUGUCGUUAUACUCCAAAGAUUUCCUCUGUCCAUGUGGAGUGUUGGCUGAGGCCUCAUAUCCUGGCUCGUUGUAAUAUGGGUUCUCAUUCAAAAUGAGAGCUUGAAUGGAGACAAGAACCUGUAGCAAGGUUGAUUGAGCAGGAUUCCACUUCUCACAACCAUUACCAGUCCAGGUACCCAGCAGGCUAAGGCAUACUUUUCCACAGUUAUAUAAGUUUGGAUUAAUCCGAAGUCCUCCAGAGUGGUAAUGUACCAACUGUAAACGCCCAUCAGAGAAACAUUUCAAUAAAAUUUGAAAUGGUUAUAUGAAAAUAAUGAAAGAAACAUGCCAAAGAUUUGAUGCAUACCGGAGGGCCAGAAGGAUAAGAAGAGGGAAUGUGAACAUCGAAGAAGAAAAGCCCAUCAUGGUAGGGCGUUCCCUUAGGUCCAAUAAUCGCAGCCCUAAGAAGGUCAAUUCUAUCCUCGGCAACCCGGACAUAAAUAGAUGCUGCACAAAAGAAAAUCAUCAGAAUUUAUACCUCCAAGAUAAGAAAAAUACACUGAAGCAAUCUUCACUGAUUAACUAGAGAGCGAUAGCUUGUCUAAAACUUUCAUGAGUCGUGAACAAAGCCUAGUAAUGAUGAGUUCCAAAAUCAUGGGAAUAGCUUCUAAAGACAGAUAAUGUGCAAAAUUUUGAGUCACAAAGAUGAGGAAACCACAAAGGCAAUGACCAUAUGACACCCCAGUUAAGUGCUUCAUAAUGAUAUAAGACACAACGAUCCAUCACAAGGAAGGCUUUACAGUUUACAUAGAUGCUAAGUAGAGGAAAUAGACCUAAAUAACAGCACGACAUGCAUGCCUGAUGGCUCUAUACAAAAUUGAAAAGUUAAAUAUCUGGCAAAAAUGGAUUGAGGAGUGUUAACUUUGCUAAAAGAUAACUCUAGAAAUAUUUUAUUUGCCCUUAAACAUAUGUUUCAAUUUCAAUUCAUCCCCAGGCAGUCCUAUGAAAAUAACUAUAAACAAGCACAUGAAGGACACUGGCACAUCCGACAUUACAAUGCACCUAGUAACUAAAGGUAUUGCAGUUUCACCCUGGCUAAGAAUACCAGUAUCAUGCAGCUUAGGAAGGAUUGUUUUGUCUCCUUAUUGAGUGUAGUAGACAUGGUCCCUAACAGACAGAUCUUAUUGAAAUAAUGUAACAAUCUUAUAUCAAACUUAUUGCUUCUCCAAACUAAUCGACUUUUUGGUAACCUGAACGGUAACUGAUCGCUAGACCUGGGCUGGGGAAGCAAUAAUGGACACUGGCUACACAUGAAGAAAGCAUUUUCAAUGUUGAUGGUGUCCCAAAUGCAAUGUAACUGGUUUAAACUUGAAAAAGGGGCCACACUAAGCAUUAAGUAAAAGAACGUAGCCUAUUUUGCUCAUAUCUAACCUGGUAGAUCCUUCUCCAGAAGUUUCCAGUCAUGUUGAACUCUCUUGGACCAAGCUCUGGCUGGCUGAAAUAAUGAUCACAUGCAAGAAUAGGUAAGUGCCCAAGAGAAGCAUAAAUCAAGAGCAACUAUUAGUUGAGCAUGCCACCUCUCCCUGAGAACAUUUAGCAAAGUGAUGGUCAGAGAAAUUUUGAACAGUGUCGAACUGCUUGAACUGCUUAUAUUUAUUUGCAUUCUCAUCUUCAGUAUUUGAUUUAGAUGGCUCCUUGGCUUCUUCCUUGGCUGCAAUUUUCUGCAGCCACGGUACAGUAGCCUCCACACCUGGAGGCAGAUCUAAAUCAUCAAAUUUAUCAGCGAGAUGCUGAUUAAAGUCAGCUUCAUCAAAGUCAUAGUCAUCUUCAUCAUAGCCAUCAACAUCAUCAUCACAGUCAUCCUCCAUAUAGUAAUCUUCUUCUUCUUCGAUUUCUCCAGAGUCAAGAUCCUGAGGUUCUGGUUCGGAAAUUUGUAAAGAAGUACUUGUGCUGGAUGAACCCUGUAAAACAGUGUAGGCUAGUCAAUAACUAUAGCAGGUAGUAGUAAAGAAAAAGCAUGAAAAGGACAUGUGAAGUCAUUUCUGCCACAAUCUGGGAUGCUAUAUAUAUUUAGUUAUCAAUUGUGCGAACUGAUUGCCAACGACUAGUAACAUUAAAAUCUGAAUAAGAAUGCUUCCAGCCCUAAAAUGCAUCUUUUAUCAUAAAGGCCAAAACGACCACUGUGAGUCCACUAUUGUUAUUCACACUGCAUUGGACAGAAAGUCUGUAAAAAUCCUCUGCAGCUGAAAUAGAGUAACAGCAGCGAAGGAAUAAUUUUGACUGAUACGCUGCAAGGUUCAGAGACACAGGAAACUGCCAGUGCAUCGCCAAUGGAGCCAAUUCUGAGUGGCAUUGCACCAAUCAGCCCAGGAUAGGGUCGAGAAUGGCAGAGCACACCCCAGUUGUUCCAUGGCCCCCAAACAAUUGAGCCGAGGAAGCACCGAAGGCACCGUGAAUCAGCGCCCCCAAAACCCAAACCCUAGUGGCUGGUUGGCGGGUUGGGCGCAGAAAACCCCAAUCCGGACCCCCGAACGGAACCCUAAACGAGAACCCCCGUUCCACCAAAUCCGGCGUGGGUAAGAACCUCGCGAGCGAGAAUUUCAUCAAUCAACUCGGAAGGGAGGGGGGAAAGCUACGCGAUUGGGCGGGCAAGGAAACGAGGCGGGAGGUUCACCUGGCAUCGCUGGCGCUUCUGCUGCUGCGCGGCGCCCCAUGCGGCGGCGUCGGCCGUGCGGCACGACGAGGAGCUCCCCUGCUGCAGGCCGAGGUACCUGCAGGAGCCGAGGCGAUCAUCAUAAUAAUAAUGAAAAGGAAAUCGCCCCAAAAAAAAAAUAAAGAGAAGUUUCCCCCCACUCCGCGAGGAAGAGAGAUCGAUCGCGGCGGCGAGGAGGCGACGUACUCUGCGUCCAUGGCGGCGGCGGGCGACGAGCCGCUGCGCGAUCGCCGGCGACCGAUCGAAAGAUGGAGCGGAACGGAAGGGAAGGGGAAGGGGAUUGGAGGCCGAAUCGAUCGAUUUAUGCAGGCUGCGUCCUAGUCCCGCUCGGCUACGCGCUGGUGGAGACGCGCCGCGGCCUAUGACGUGUGGGUCGACUCGGAGGGGAAUAUCCUCCCGGGCCCACCCGUCAGAGGCUGCGAGCGUGACGCAGGCGGAUACGGGGACGGCGACCUGGUUCCCUGCUCCCCCCUGGCGGAGGGGUGGUUAGAUUGUAGUAGAAGGCAAAAGGUUGGGACCCUCGGGCCCAUCUGUCAGUGGCACGGGAUCUCCCCCGGAUCUUGUGUGCCAAGGUGCGGUGAGGCUGACAGGAGUGGUCAACAGGAUCUUAGCUAGUUUCAGUUAGCUAGUUUCCCGUUCGUUUGAGCUUCUCCUUUUGAACUUUUGCUAGGAAAAGCUGGCUUUUUAGUUGCUUGCUAUUGAUUUUUAUAAUAAAUUUUAUAUUCUCAGCAUACCAAAAGUUAGUAAAAGCUCUUCUUAACCAGCUUUGUAGCUUUUAGCUCAUUUUAUCAGAAGCUAGUUUUUCAGCUUUUUAAAAGCCAACUCAACAAUUAGCUUGUUUGUUUAAGCUUUCCAGCUUCUAGCGGCCAGAGAUCGGAAAACUGACCUCAGAAGCUGAGGCCCCGUUUUCUUCCACUGACUUAUUUUUAGCACCCGUCACAUCGAAUAUUUAGAUACUAAUUAGGAGUAUUAAACGUAGACUAUUUACAAAACCCAUUACAUAAGACGAAUCUAAACGGCGAGACGAAUCUAUUAAACCUAAUUAGUCCAUGAUUUGACAAUGUGUUGCUACAGUAAACAUUUGCUAAUGAUGGAUUAAUUAGGCUUAAUAGAUUCGUCUCGCCGUUUAGAUUCCACUUAUGUAAUUGGUUUUGUAAAUAGUCUACGUUUAAUACUCCUAAUUAGUAUCUAAACAUUCGAUGUGACACGUGCUAAGGGCCCGUUUGGUUCCCUUUGCUUAUUUUUAAGCAAGUGUCACAUCAAUGUUUAGAUACUAAUUAGGAGUAUUAAACGUAGACUAUUUACAAAACUCAUUACAUAAGUGGAGGCUAAACAGCGAGACGGAUCUAUUAAGCCUAAUUAAUCUAUCAUUAGCAAAUGUUUACUGUAGCAACACAUUGUCAAAUCAUGGACUAAUUAGGCUUAAUAGAUUCGUCUCGCCAUUUAGCCUCCACUUAUGUAAUCGGUUUUGUAAAUAGUCUACGUUUAAUACUCCUAAUUAGUAUCUAAACAUUCGAUGUGACGGGUGCUUAAAUUUAAGCAAGUGAAUCAAACCAGGCCUAAAAAUAAGACACAGGAAGAAAACACCCCCCGAAACAAACGGGUCGGCACUAACUCUCGAACCAUGGGGAUGAAGGGCAAGUUGAGCGGCAGCAGCAGCAGCCUGGCACCGGUGGAGCGCCAGCAGCCUCGGCUUGGAAGCAGUGCAUGACAUGGGGAGCAGUGGCAGGUAACCAGCUCGCGUGUGGGCAGCUGCCAGCUGCGGCUGCAAGGAAAACUGGAUGGCAACAGGGAGGAGUAGGCGCACCAAAGCAGCAUGGGGUUUCGAUUUCUUGUGACUGGAGCCGUGAUCCACCAUUAUUGGAAAUGGAGGAGAGACGAGAGAGAGACACAUCUUGGAGAGGAAGACGAAGCUGCUCCCAUUUUUGUUUUUUCAAUUCUGUCAUAAGGGACCCACGACCGAUGCUCAUUGCUGACGCGGUGGCCUUUCCAACCCGAUGCCAAUUUCUACCUCUUGAAAAACAAUGUCACUGUUGUGAUGGGAGGGGUAAAAUGGUCUUUAUAAGUUGGACUUAACUGCCGUAUGGAUGCAAGUGUCACAAAAAGGCAUAAAAGAUGAUCCUGGUGUCAGGGAGGUAAAAUUGUCUAGCGUCAUGCACGGAACAAGAAUUUGUUUUUACAUGGAAUUCUCUCUACUACGUAUCUUUUAGGAUGACCGAGAAGUAAAAUUCUAUGACACCAAUUUUAGCAUACCAAAAAAUCAAAAUCAAACAAGUCUGUUUCAUAAUAGACCUGUCAUUGGAUAUGCCUACCCUCUCACCAAAUACACACAUUUCAAAUAGAGAGGGUAUGGAUAGAAAAUUAUUUAUCCAUUAGAAAUGGUAAGGGUAGGGUAUCGGAAGGGUACAAUCUAUUGGAUAUGGUUAGGAUUGGGGAGGUUAAGGAGUGGAUAAUAAUUAUUUGAAAUUGGGUGUGAACAAGAGUGAGUUUGCCCAUAUCCUUUUCAGUGGUAGGCCUACUCGUAGAUCGGAAGAGAAUAGAAAGGCCAAAAGAAUCAUAAUCUGCUUUCAGACUCUGCCAUCUAAAGCGCCAAUUGCUAGUAUGGAAUAUAGUUUCAAGGUCCUUCGGAGAAGUUUUAUUUUCUUUUGUUCCUGUUUGAAAGCCUGAUUUUUUUUGACGAUUGAUAUAGCAGAAAAAAUAUAAGACAACGACCAUGAGAGGCCAUAGACAGGAACUAAACUAAACUCUCCCAGUUGAAUUGGGACAUCAACGCGGGACCAAUCAACUUGAAAACGUCAAAACCGACCGGUUGGAUUGGGACAUCAACACGGCCGCAUCACUCCACUCGACAAUGACAGCCGAACCAAAGCCUAAUCGUGGCAUCCACCAACUUUUCACUCUGAAGUAGUCGUUGAACACCUCCAGAUGUGACCCCGCAUUAACAAGAACCAAGAGAAACGGAUCGUACCGCACCGAAAAGGCCACCACCAUGCAGGACCCUAUGCCGUAGUGCCGCUGCAACAUCACACUCCACCCGACAGAGUGAUACCACUAGAUUCGGACCUCUCGCAGGCUACCUCGCAGUCGCCACCACGAUAACACAAACGCACGGGAGCCUCGCCAUAUCCGCCGUUGGACUCCACCUCGCUCUCGUCGCCUUGAAGAUACACCGCAUGUAGGGGCCUCGCCAUGCCCGCUACAAUACUUCAUGUCCUAGAUCCGUUUCUUUUGUUGCCAUCAGAAUGGUGAGCAAUGUUGCUCCGCUUCCCAAGGUGUCCAUCAAAUAUCAAGCCGCUGCCGUAGGUCGACUUCGCCUCAUUGCUCCACCCACGUGCAUAACCAUCGUCGGCGUUAGGAAGCCAAAGUAGUUGAUUGCGUUGUCUUUCGCCACAGUCCACUGCAAGCCUAGUCGUUCCACAAUACCGUUGCUGCAAGCGCCGUCCUUCGACGCAGUCCCACACCGCACUGACAGUUGCCGAGCAACACCAGCCGCCGCGGUCCACUGCAAGCAGCCAACCUGACAACAAUAUGACAACCCCUUGCCACCACCAAACCUGCGAUCGCCUCUACAUGAGCUCAGCAAAACCCCGUCUAGCUUGCCGUCCUGCACCAUGCCAUCUUGCCACCACUGAUUGGAGCCUGCCAUGAUCAACAUGUCACCAGCAAUGCCACAGACCGAGUUGGUGGUCUCUAGAGACGACACCUCCAUGGAGGGGACGACGCCAGUGCCACCGCCGUCGCUCGUCCAGAAUCUGGACAGGGUUUUCACCCAGAGAACCCCAUGCAAUAGGGAUGGGGCUCCAAGAUGACGUCCCUAACGGGGAGAACGAUGCCCUAGGGCACCAUCGCCAUUGCCACCAGUAAGAUCGCCGGCAAAGACUUUCGCCCGGAGCAUCCCACUCCUAGUCAUUGCACGUAUUCAGGUCGGCACUCCUGGGACGACCACCAUGGAAGUCUCCCACCCCUAGUCAUUGCAUGUACAAAGGAAUGCUCGAAGCAAACAAGGACGGGCAUGGGCGCAGGUUGGUUGCUCCCAAAUAGAUUGAUGUACUAAUGGGAGAGAGGAGGUUGCCAUGGGUCGAUGAGUUGUGAAAAUAUCAGAAAACCAUAUGGAAGGAGAUCUGAUAUGUCCUCGAACAAAAUUCUGAACAACACUGGUAGGAGCUUUCCUUCAAACACAUAGAGGGGUGCUGGGCCCUGCUCAUUGGCCCGACCAAUCUCUGCUGCUAGGGCCUCGAACAAGUAUCUGUUGAAUUCAGGGUUCUUGGAGUUAUUGCACACUUGAUUGAGAAUACCAGCCAGAAGAGCAGUUGUGUCACGAAUAGUUUGGCCUGCUAUAGUAGCAAUCCCAAGCACCUGUGCCAUGCACUUCAUCAGGUAUGGGUUGUCAUAAGUUUCAGCAGGUUCGAAAUGACCUCAGCAGCAAACAGAUCAAUACUAUUAGCAUCAUAACGUUGAGAACUGGCCACUUGGUUGACCCCUGGUGCUUGGACCGUAUCCUUCAUCAUCAACUGCUUAUCAGUAAAGACCGCAGCAUAGGAUCGAACAACAUGGGAUUCGUGUGCGAGGAACUUUCACCGUCUUUUGAAGCAGGAUCUGUGCAUUUUGUUUGGGUAUUUGAUCAUUGAACUCCUUUAAGAACCACAAGGCGGUUGAUUUCAGAAUUUUAUGGGACUGACAACUGGUGUAGUCAAGCAUAAGCUCAAUGUCACAAAGAAAAUCGACAUUUGUGCCAAGAUCACCAACAACAGCAAUAACAUCGUAAAUUGCAGCAAUUGCUUCCUUCUAGUGGUUUGUCUUGUCAUUUUUAUAUUCCAUCAUCAUCUUACCAUAACAUGUCUUCGCCCAUGCACACACCCUCUGAUUGUAAUUCACCUUAAGGCUCUCCAAUAGCUGGCAUGCAGCUCAUCUUGGUGCAUUAGCAACAGCCCAUUCUGAAACAGCUUUUCAUCUUCGUCCCGUAACAGCAGGUUGGACAUGAUGACACCAUCACAUAUCCGAUCCAUUUUACUCCCUACAGACGCAUGGUGCGCACUCUUGGGGUAGUCAAGAACCUUAAUGCUGCCACCGCGAGCUGUUCACAGGAUGGCGAGGCUCUUUGCGCCCUGAGAAGGCCCACCACAGCCUCAACGGACUCUUCCAGCUUCUCCAGCUUCAAGUAUCCCUUAACCAACGCCUCAUGCUUUUCCAUAUAAAGCUUCGGAGAAAUCGGAGGCGGCGAUGGUGGCCAGGGCUUCGGAGAUCUCGACCUGGACGGUGGGCGGGGCGGCGAGGAGGUGGUCCAGGAUCGCCUCCUUGAUGAUGCGACAUUCCAUCUUGGGGGAGGUGGUCGCCGUUGGCAGAGGGGACGGCGACUGUGGCGGCGGCGGACGAGGAGGAUGCGAGGAAGAAGAGACCCAACGCGUAGUCUGGGUGCCUGAAUUGGUUCCCAGAAAAUAGCAGUAACAAUUGGCCAUAUUUUGCUACUUAAACAUUCAGGGUGUCAGUUGCAUAUAAUUCUACAGCUAAGGAGAGGUGAUAGCUGAUACACAUCAAUAGUAAAUAUCUUUCUCCAAGCGAGAAGAAACACUCAAGAUGUAAAACUAAAUAAACCGAGGGCGCUCACACACUAAAGAUAGUUUGGUAUCCAGCAUCUCAGGAAUAUUGUUAUCUUCAUAGUCAUGAAUAAUCUUAGCAAGCUCAACAUCUCUGCCAGGAUCAAAAUAAAUAAAGUCUGACACCAGCAAGCCUUUCAAAACAUCCUUAUAUGCCCUCACAGCGGAGCGGUAUAAAUUGAUGGAGCCAUUAAAAUCACGGGAAUGACCAGAGGGUGGAUGCAAAAUCUUGUUUCCUUCGUCCUCACAAAAGGAGCAACGACCUGUUUUCAAAGCCAAAAAUAGGAAGACGUCAGAAAUUGGGGAUUCUAGUGCCAAAAAGAUUCAUAUGGAGAAAAAGAAUCAGCAACUACAGAACCAGUAGCUAGCUCUCCUUCUCUCUUCAGAAUAUUUAGGUUAUUUCAUCUAACAAGGAGUUUCCUCACUGUUACGCCAUGGCAGUUAUGGUUCCUAGGCCUGGGUAAAAACACACUGCAGCAAACUAACCGCGCCACACUAAAAUUUGCAGUUGUUUCGGUGGUCCGUGUUCAGUGUGGUGGUGAACUUGCUGGCUGCUUGCAUUGGUGUUAAGUGUGGUGAUAGGUCCCAGAAACCAAAGCACUGAAAUCACCAAACAUAAUUCGCAGGCAGCCCCUCCUGGCCAACAGCCUAUUCCCCUCGUGCAGUUUCAAGAGCACAGAACUAAUCCGACAGGGCGUCGCUAUCCUAUCCCCACUCCCCAGUCCAACCAGACAUGAGCAUGGGCUAGUGCCGUGAUGAGUGCAUAUGCUUCCACGGAUGCAGGCGGCCAUGGUGAGUGCAUGAGCCUCCAUGGACGUGGGCAGCCAUACUGAGCGGCGAGCGGGCGGCCGCUACCAGUGUGCUAGCCUGACGUGGGUGUUAGGGCUACUGUGGCCAGCUCACAGGUUCAGAGAGCGGGAAUGCAAGGCAGCCAAAGGCGUGCGCACAGGCCUCUGUGCUGACCUUGUGUCUUCCUUGUAGCCUAAGGCAUGCGCACAAGCCUUCAUGAUGAGCUUGUGUCUUCUUCAGUUCCCUCUCUAAACUUCUUCAUCUGCGUCUUUUAUUCAUUUUAUUCUCAAUAUUUUUUUAACGUGAAUUUUAUUCUCAAUAUUCCUUAGCAUCUGCUGCUUGUUCAGUGGAAAACCAAACACCUCACCAAAAUAAACCGAAUCCGAAGUGUGAGGUUCCUGUGUUUCUGGCGACAACUUCGGUGAACAGAUUCCGUAAACUGAAAUAUUUGUCCACUUAAAAACCCAAACCUAAGAAACCAAAAUAACCAUGCCCAGGGCUAACGCUUCCUAAUCCAUGCGAUCAUUACCCAAGUGGGUGUUCACCAUGCUCUUUCUUUUCCCAUAGUAAUGCGCGCCAUGUUAAGAAAACCGUUACUGCAAUAAGGUUGAUUAGUUGUAGGAACAAGGGCUCACCAAUGCAUGCACUGUAAUCAUAUAUAGGGCAGCAGCUAGAUGGCUUCGAUUGAACAUCUUCACGAGAAGGUGACACCCAGAAUUCAGCGAAGAAGAGUGUGUGCUCAUGGGAUGAUCCAAUAGCAUCAUUUAUAGUCGCCAAAAAGUUGGCAUGAUAGAAAUUUGGGUGAAAUGGAGAACUGGAUGCUGUCACUCCACAGAUAAUGUCAAGCUGGUAACUUGGUUCCUGCAGUAAGCAUGAAUAUUCUUAAAUAUUUCAGCAGCCUGGUGGAAGUAGGGAACUUAAUUCAUACAUAAGGUCAAGUCGAGUGUCAACAUGGAUGACUAGCAAUAACCACUCAGUGUUCAAAUAGAGAAUGUAACACAUCAAUUAUGACAGGGAAGCACAAUUAUAUGUUGUAAAAACAUCAACAUAGGCUCGGAAAUGACAUAUAACUUGCUGGUGGCCUAUAGUGUAAUCAUACAUCGGAGCAGAAAACCAGUACAUCGGAAAUAACUGACAGUGUUUGGUUCGAGGGAUCAUCCAAUUCUAGACCCAUCACCACCCCAUUCCUCAAAUUAAAAAAGGACACCAUAUACUAACAGAUAUCAUAAAGCACUAGCACUAAAAGGUAACCAAUGAUCACAAAGGUAUAGCCAGUUAGCUAGUAAUACUAAACCAGCAGAAAGCACUACUCGACAAACGUACUAAGCAAUCACAAAGCACAAAGGCACAAUGCCAAUAUAGACAUGAAGUCGGAGCAAAAGAGAGGUAAUGUUUUUGGUUGUUAUGUACCCAAGGAUGCUGAUUGCAGUAUUUGCGUAGCACUUUAUUCAGCUCGGUGUGAACAAAGUCCAGCUUCCUUAUGAACGCCAACCUCUUUCCAGAAAUCCGCGCUGACACAAAUGGAGAAACGAGAGAGGAAUCCUCCUCCUUUAGCACUGACACAGGCCAUACACUGUACACUUCAUUGCUGAGGACUCUGAUUAGCUGGUCCCAAUGAGCAGCUGAGAUCAAGGAGUGAAGGUGGUCGAUCUUCUCUAGCGACAGGGACAUGAGGAAUGAUCCAAACGCAGUGUGCUGGGGGUGUUUGGCAAUCUCGGCCACAGCAGCAAAAGAGACAUUGCGUGCUAUCUUUAUGAUGGGACGACCAAGAUAUGAUGAUCUAGUUAAGUCACAGUCCAAAGAGCUAAGGAACUCCAAAGCACGGUGUUUCGACCCGAAGGUGCCCUGCACCAUGGUCACAAGUCCAUCGAGGGAACGGGACUCCAAGCGGGCCAUGGGUCUGGUGUCGAGGAUGCCUUGAGGUAAAUCAACUUCAACACCCUGUGCAAAUGGGAAGGCCACAUCGUACCAGAAUGAGUUGAGGAUAAUGUUGGACACGGGGUCCAUGAGGCCGUAGCAAUGUCCAGCGACAAGGAGAGCACGGAGGAGGCUGGGCUUGCUGGGCAGUGUGGCAAGUGCCUUGAUGUACAAGGCGUGGAUGGUGUCGAGCAGGCACAUCUUCACGGAUAUUAUGUGCUCGCAUGGGGGGACAUUAUAGUUCACCUCUGUUGCCAUGGCAGAAGCUGCGAGUGCUGAUGCCUCGAGACAUCUGGAUAGCUUGGUCUCCAUGUCCUCACAGCAGAAUACCAAGUCGGAGAUGUAGUUUUGCUGCUGAGUCUGGAAGUAAUCGCGGGUUGUCACGAUAGAGGUUUGAGCGACAAGGUCCUCCCCGAGGGAGGUUGAGAUCACAAGCACGCCAUCGUCGCCGCGGCGGGUACAAGUGCGGCCAUUUGGACGGCACCAGAAAUCUAUGUUGGCUGGCUGCGGAGUUGGCGGCCAUUGGUGUGCCAGAAGGUCCCUGAUUUCCAAGACGUCGUCCGUGGUGAGCUGCUCCUUUCCACCUUGCUGAUUUCCAAGCUUGAACAGGACAGGGGCGAGCGUGUCACGGGGGUACUCCGCCGUCAUGAGCCCCGCCAGGACGUCGGGCGCCGGGUGCUGCGCUUUGAGCGCGGCAAACCUGAGGGCUGCCUUGAGUUUGCCGCCGUCUGGGAGCAAAGGUCGCCGUUGAUUCGAGGAUCCUUGCGCGAAUCUGUCGUGGUGGACGAGCUUGACGGCGAGGGUGAGGUCUUGGGAUGCCAGGUAGAGGUAGCGCUUGGCCUGGUCAGUGCUGAGGUAGCGGAAGUAGGCAUUCAUGAAGGCGGCGAUGCCGUCGAUGGAUCGCCAGACGACAUCCCGCCACCCCUCGUACACGCGGACCCUCCCAUGUGGGGGCGGGUGCUCCCCUUGUUGGUCGUGGAGCAGCAGGCCGACGGCGUUGAGGAUGAUGUUGGUGACGGGGUCUGCGAGGCCGAAGCAGAGGCCGCCCGCGUAGAUGGCCGUCCAGCUCCGGCAUCUCCUUGAGGGGCAGCCGGCGCGCCGCCUCAUCGUAGAACUCGUCGAUCCGCGCGCGGCUGUUCUUGAACCACUUUUUGAGCGCGCCUUCGUCGAGGGUAGACCGCCUCUCCUUGUCGCCGUGGUGGAAACAGGAGAAGCUCCCCAUCCCCGGGGCGGAUCGGGAGGAUUCGACGGCGAUGAGGGCGAAAUUGCAGGGGGCUGCCAUAUUGGGGAUCGCCGGAACUCGCUCUUGAUUUCGGGGGAUUUUCCUAUCUAUCUAUCUAUCCAGUAGGUUCCGCAGAGAAUUCACUAUUUAACACUAGAAAAAUUAAUAAUUUCUUUCUCGACCCUUAGAAAAUUUUCGUUUCCUAUUUGACAUCGAGUUCAACUUUCAUUCUUUGUACGACACUAUAUUCGAUUUUCCAUCCUUGAACUGUUAAAUACCCUGUGAAAAGACGAUUUUACCCACGUGGACCUCACCACCCUUCUCCGUCCUCUCCUCUCCUUGUCCCUCUCUCCACACCAGCCUGCCGUUUGUCGUGCCCCCGCAGGAGGCUGAGCCCCGUUGACCGUCGGGCCCACGCACCACCAUGGGAGGUCGGGCGUUGUCCAGGCUGCAAGACAGUAUAUCCACCGCAACCGAACCUUCUAAUAGAUCUGCCUGAAUCCAAGUGUUGCAACUGUUGUUACAUGGCAAGCAAAAAUCCUAUUAUCCUCUUCAAAAUUCGAAACUCCUAAAACUAUAUCAAGUAGCCUAGUUGUGAAUGUUUCACCAAAAAUGAUCCCACUUGUCAAUCAUGAAAGAUAACAGAAUCCAUCAUCAACAAUAUUCAACUAGAGUUCAGGGUCUAUGAUCAAUCAAGGACAGACACAUAUGUUCAUUGCUGCCCCUUUUCUUUUUUCUAUACAUAUGCAACGCUGUUUUCUUUUUUUUUCCUUUUAUUUCCUAACAUGUUCGUUCAUUUCUUUCAGGCUAUUGCGGUGUUUACUCAGUUAUCGUAGCUGUAGAUUAGGCUCGCUAGCUACAAGCUGGAAUGGUUGGUGGAUAUGCUAUUGCAAAGUUUCAUGUGCUUGAUAUGAUUCAAAGGUACGAGGCCAUAACUCAGCUGAAAUGUGGGUACGAGCUCUUGUCUUCCUUAUAUCAUAGCCAUGAUAACAUACCCAUCGUUCUCACAAUCGUGAAGAAUCACAGGAUUCCAUAUUCGCGUGGUAGCCUUGAUCCUCGUGGUUCUGUUGGAAGUCUGAAGAUCAAAUAUUUUUUUCAUGGUUGACAAAACUGAUGUUAGCCUUAUGAAAAAAUUACUAGCAAACGGAUUUCCUCUGGUGGCUGGCAUUCGUUAUGGUGCUUUGUUCCAAUUUGUGAAUUCUAAUCAGAAGUAUUUAAUUCUAGAGAUAGGUUUGGGUUAUGCGCUGGCAUUGAUUGGAGCUGGAGUGGAGGUUAACAAGAAGACAGGCAAAAUUGAGACAUACUUCAUUGCAAGGAACUCAGCUGGAUAUAAGACACAUUCGACAUGGGAGAAGAAAGGCUUUGGUGCGGAUGUAUGCUUAUGGGCAUCAGACAUUGUUUGUGUAUGGGGGUUUCAUCUCUAGAAAGUGAAGAGGUGAGAAAGAGGACAAGGUGAAAGACUAGUAUUGCGUUUGGAGGACGAGAAGCUAAGGCAUGAAAAGAUUAUAGCACAAAAGUUUGGUUCUACGAGAAGACGUAGGUGAUGACCAAGAAUAAGUAUUCUGUUGCUUUGUAAACACUGAUUCUCUGUGUACCUGUAUGUAUCAAGCACUCUGCUAUUCUAGUUUUAAUGGUGAUAUUAUCUUUUUUAAAUGUCAUGUUCUAUGUAUGUGGUCCUUUUAAUGGUGACAUUAUAUGUUUAACUAUCAUGUUUUAUGUUUGUGGUCCUUGCAAUAACAAGUGUUUCUACUAUCAAUUUUUUUUGGAUGUUAUUCAAUGCCCAUUUUGAGGCAUACUCCUUGUGAUAUGCACAUUUGAAUAUGUUGGAUUGGUAAGGGUAUAAAAUAAUUUGACAUCGGGGAAGGAUUGAAGGAAAGUAGCCAAUGCACUAUAUCUCUCCGUAAUUUUCAUCCUGGCUGACUUGUGGAUUCAUAUCUGUGUUGUCCUGUAUUUACUUUUGUCUUGUAUUUACUUGGAUUGGAAGGAUGGUUUGAUACACAUGUGAAAGCUUCAUAUUUAUAAUCACCUGCCCUCCUUUCCCUUCUGAAUUUUUAAGGGUAGUAUUAUGUUUGUAGAUUAGGAUUAUUAUAGUUCAAUUGCUAUCUAUGAAAAAGUCUUGCCUCACCUUACUAACUUAACAGACAUGGUUCAUGGCUAAUGUUGAAAUAUGUAAUGCAUACAUGGAAUAUUCUAAAAGAUUGUGAAGAUCUCAAGAGACUAACUUUGUCAUUUAUAAGGAUAAGAUCAUGGCAAGGUAAGAAGGUUCUAGAAAAUUGAAGAGAAUGCAUGAGCCAUAGUCAUGCUUCAUGAUAAAGUGUAGAAUACUCUAAAACUAGAUAUUUUAGUAUGGUAGAAAUAUAAGGAACUAGAUAAGGAUGAGGAGGAUUCUAGAGUUAGGAUAUUUUGUAAGGAAGAGUAUGGAAGUUGCCACAUGGCAACACCACAAUGAUCAUGAGCACCUAUAAAUAGAGGUGCUCCCCUCCCUCCUAGCCAUACCAUGACAUAAGAUCGAAAUUGGAGCUCAAAGCUGACAUAUAUCAUAUCCAGCCUCAAACAAGAGCUAGAAAAGUUCAUAUAAAUAGUACUCCCAAACUAAGAUACAAGGACAUAAAUAAAAUUUUUGUAAACAACCACAUUGCCUAUACAUAAACAGUUCGAUCAGCUAGUGCGUCACUUGUACUCUUCAUCUAAUAAUGAGUCUUGCAAAAAUUCACAUUUCUCAGCCACUAAACUGCUACAGUCUAAAAUUUAGUUUAAAACUGAGCAUGAAACAUUAUAAUGCAGUGGUCAUAAUAAUAAAAGAAACCAUCCACCUGAAAAAUCAAUCAGCAAUUCAGUCCCUAAACCUUGCCUCAACCAUAUUGUCCAUGUAUAAACACAUCAAUUCAAUGUCGCAUAUUUAAGCACUUGGUACCCAGCAAAUAAACACUUGAUUAAUCAUGCAUGACCACCUUACAGAAAAUGAGCCUAGAAGCCGAUUACAAGCUAGAGCAUCUGGAUUUUCAACUCAUAUCUGCCAACAACAAGAAAUGAUGUUAGAAAUUCUGGUGCUUAAUGACAAGUUAACUAUACUCAGCAGAAUGCAAUUUGAAAACCACAACUAACAUGAUGUUGAUUGAGUGCCAAACUUGCUAACUUCCCUUUUCAACCACAUAACAUGGAGUCUUGGUUCAUAGCCUAGAAACAACUGUCGAUUGAAUGUAUCUACUAGCACUCAAGAAAAUAAACUCAGAAGUUGUUUACCUAUGAAAUAUUGGCUUUGUAGUCUGCAGAAAGUUUAAUCAAAAAGCUUCUGUUCAGUGUAUUCAGAUGCUCAUUAAUAAUAGGAGCAAUUUUUCCAGGGUACUUGUUCGAAAAUGCAGCCACUGAUGUGAUGAAAUACUCUUUUGGAUCUUUAAUUUUCAGCGGAUCAUAUUCAUUGUUCCCAGCAUAUUGAAGACGUACAACUGAGACAUCAUCCAUCACUUGUACUACCCCUUGAUUCAUUUUCUACAACAGUGGUACUGUACUAUUAAGUAACUUGCCCCAAGAAUGGGGAUCUUCCUUCAGAAAGUUAGUUUCACAAAUCAACUUUGUUGAAGCAACUGCUGCAAGUUUAGAUUCACGAGCCCCUUCAAUCGAAUCAAGAUAGCGGAUCCAAAAAUGCUCAAGAAAUGUUGUGAAAUACCGCUCCGCUCUUCUGUCAAUUUCUUGGAUGGACUCAACAAAUUCUUGACUUCCGUAUUUGGUGACAAAUAAGGACACAGCGACAAUAAGGGACUUUGCAAACUUCACUUCCCACCUGCUCUGCCGCAGAACCCAAAGCCGAGGGAACAGAACACCCCAUGUGUCGCUAAUGUGAAGCCUUAGAAAGUCUAAACCAGCUUGUUCCACUAGUAAGCUAAGCAUGGCAAAUGCAGUAUAUGUGGUGCUAACAUUCAAAACCAGAGUACAGAACUUCUGUAAGACAAUUUUCAAUUUAUCAUGAUCAUUUUUUAUUUUACAAAGGAAUGCUCGAAGCAAACAAGAACAGGCAUGGGCGCAGGCUGGUUGCUCCCAAGUGGCACUGCUGAGAAGCAAAUCAAAUAGGUUCAUGUACUCAUGGGAGAGGGGAGGUUGGCAUAGGUCAAUGAGUUGUGAAAAUAUCAUAAAACCAUAUGGAAGGAGAUCUGAUAUGUCCUCGGACAAAAUUCUGAACAACACUGGGAGGAGCAUACCUUCAAACACACAGAGGGGUGCUGGGCCUUGCUCAUUGGCCCGGCCAAUCACUGCUGCCAGGGCCUCGAACAAGUAUCCGUUGAAUUCAGGGUUCUUUGAGUUAUUGCACACUUGAUUGAGAAUACCAGCCAGAAGAGCAGUUGUGUCACGAAUAGUUUGGCCAGCUAUAUUAGCAAUCCCAAGCACCUGUGCCAUGCACUUCGUCAGGUAUGGGUUGUCAUACAAAUCAGGAAGUUUCAGCAGGUUCGAAAUGACCUCAGCAGCAAUCAGAUCGAUACUAUUAGCAUCAUAACGUUGAGAACUGGCCACUUGGUUGACCCCUGGUGCUUGGACUGUAUCCUUCAUCAUCAACUGCUUAUCAGUAAAGACCGCAGCAUAGGAUCGAACAACAUGGGAUUCGUGUGCUAGGAACUUCACCGCCUUUUGAAGCAGGACCUGUGCAUUUUGUUUGGGUAUUUGAUCAUUGAACUCCUUUAAGAACCACAGGACGGUUGAUUUCAGAAUUUUCUGUGACCGGCAACUGGUGUAGUCAAGCAUAAGCUCAAUGUCACAAAGAAAACCGGCAUUUGUGCCAAGAUCGCCAACGACAGAAAUAGCAACAUAAAUUGCAGCAAUAGCUUCCUUCCAGUGGUUUGUCGGGUCAUUUUUAUAUUCCAUCAUAAUCUUACCAUAACAUGUCUUCGCCCAUGCAAACACCCUCUGAUUGUAAUUCACCUUAAGGCUCUCCAAUAGCUGGCAUGCAGCCCAUCUUGGUGCAUUAGCAACAGCCCAUUCCGAGAGUCACGCUUGACAAACUCUUUCCAAUUUUCCUGAAACAGCUUUUCAUCUUCAUCCCGUAACAGCAGGUUGGACAUGAUGACACCAUCACAUAUCUGAUCCAUUUUACUUCCUACAGACGCAUGGUGCGCACUCUUGGCAACUGUAGUCAAGAACCUUAACGCUGCCACCGCGAGCUUGCUGCAAAAGCAAAGGGUUAGCUGCUUUUGUGCUGGAAGUCCAACUUCUUCUUGGACACACGCAUCGACCCAGAAAGUGACAGGCAGGGCCGAGCCUCCAUCAUCUCAUUACGCUCUGACAGAAGAGACUGAUUCUGGAGAUUGCUCACCAAGGAUCGCGUUUAGUUGCUCCCAAUGGGCAUCAAAGAUGAUCCUGCCGUCACCAGCAGCAGCAACAGGCAGCACACAGCACAGGCGACCCAGGUUCUCGGUCGUCAGGGACGCGAGGAAUGAUCCCAACACGGCGUGCUGGGGAUGCUCGGCAACCUACGGCAUAGGUUUCUUGUGUGAUGUGAGAGACGAGAUGUGAUGAUGAUCUCGAGAGGUCACAGUCCAAGGAGUUAUGAAAUCCAUGGCCUCGUGCCUCGAGCUGCUGCAGGUGAGAGACGCCAUCUCAACGAGACCCGCGAGGGAACGGUACGCCAAUCGGGUCACGGGUCUGGUGUCGAGGAUGCCGUUUGGUAAUUGAAGGUAAUAAGCGGGAAGGCCUUGUCGUACCAGAUGGUGUUGACGAUGAUGUUGGACACGGGAUCCAUGGGGCCGUAGCAGUGCCCGCCGGCGAUGUGGGCGCGGAGGAGCCGUGGGCUGCAGGACGGCAGCGCGGCGAGCGCCCUGAUGUAGAGGGCGUAGAUGGCGUCGAGCAGGCACUGCUUCGGGGACAGUACGUGCGUGCACGUGGAGGCGUCGUAGUCCACCGGCGGCGCAGCCCGCUGUGGUGCCGUGACGGCCGCCGCCUCCCGGAGGCAGCCGGACAGGUUGUCCUCCAUGUCUGCGCCGUGGAACGUGAGGUCGAAGAUGCACCCGAGCUGUUGUUGGUGAUCUUGUGUGGUUGUCGGUGGUGGUAUCGAGACUGUGGCAGGACGGCCGUCGCCGGUGCAGGUCGAGAUCAUCAGCGUGCCAUCGUCGCCGCUCGUCGCAGCGUGCCAUCUUCGCCGCUCGUCGCCGCGGGUACAGGUGGUGCUGUUCGGCCCGCACCAGAACUCCAUGCUCACCGUCGGCGGGGCAGGCGGCCACUGGCGGGCCUGUAGGUCCAUGAUCGCCGACACAUCGCCGGCGGUGAGCGACUCCGUCCCCUGCAGCUUGGCCACGACGGGAGCGAGCAGGCCGGAGGGGUACUGCGCCGUCAUGAGCCGCGCCACGACGCCGGGCGCGGGGUGCUUCGCCUGGACCGCGGCGACCCGGAGGGCGUCGCUGAGGUUGCCGCUGUCGGGGAGCAGACGCCGCCGCCGCCUUCGGGAAGAGAAGCGGUCGUGGCGGACGAGGGCGAUGGCGAGGGGGAGGUUUUGGGAGGCGACGUAGAGGUAGCGGCUGCCCUGGGCGCAGCCGAGGUAGCGGAAGUAGGCGGGCAUGAAGCCGCGGAGGCCGUCGAGGGAUCGGUAGGCGAUGUCCCCCCACCCCUCGCCGCCCCUGCGCACCCUGAACUUCCUCUCCGGCGACGGGAGCUCCAACUGCUCCUGCUGGUCGUGGAGGAGCAGGCCGACGGCGUUGAGGAUGAUGUUGGCGACGGGGUCUGCGAGGCCCACGUAGAGCCCGCCGGCGCAGAGGCAGCCGUCCAGCCCCGGCACCUCCUUGAGGGGCAGACGCCGCGCCGCCUCCGUGUAGAAGCCGUCGAUGAACCUCCUCUUGAUCUCGUUGGAGCCCGUGAUCGUGGCCUCGUCGACGGGAGGCCGCUUCCACUCCUCGCCGUGGAAGCGCGACAAGCUGCCGCCACCGGGGAGGCAUUCCGAUUCCGUGGAAGGAGACGACAUGGGGCCGACGGGUGGAUUGAUUUUGGGAUCGGGGUUUCUGCUUUGGCCGGGUUUGGUGUGGGUUGUGGGAUGAAGAAACGGCGCCAAUAAAGAAAGAAAGAUCCGAGAUCGCAGUCCGACAGGUAGUUCAGGGCCUCGUGCUCCGACAGGUUGCCGCAGCAUGGCGACAAGGCCGUCGAGGGAACGCGACGCCACGCGGGACAUGGGCCCGGUGUUGAGGACGCCGUCUGGCAGCUCGCCGGCGCCCUGUACCGGAGGGAAGGCGGCGUUGGCGAUGAUGUUGGACACGGGGUCCAUGGGGCCGUAGCAGUGCCCGGUGACGAGGACGGCGCGGAGGAGCCGGGGGCUCCUGGGCAUUACGGCGAGCGCCUUGAUGUACAUGGCGUGGAUGGCGUCGAGCAGGCACAGCUUCAGCGACACGACGCGCUCGCACGGGGAGGCGUCGUAGUCCACGUGCACCGCCGCCUGGAGCGCCGCCGCCCACUGGAGGCAGCCGGAAAGCUUGGUCUCCAUGUCCGCGCUGUUGUCGAACGUCAGGUUGGAGAUGAAGCUGAGCUGAUGAUGAUGCCUUGUGCGUUCGAUCAAGAUUGUGGCGACGAAGUCGCGUUCUUCCCCAAUGUAGGUCGACAGCAGGAGCGCGCCAUCGUCGCGUCGAGCGCAGGUGGUGCCGUUGGGGCGGUAGGAGAACUCCAUGCUGACCGGCGGCGGCCAUUGGCGUGCCAGAAGGUCCCUGAUUUCCCAGACGUCGUGGGUGGUGAGUGGACGCCGCAGCUUGGCCAGGACGGCGGCGAGCGCGUCGGAGGGGUACUGCGCCGCCAUGAUCCGCGCCAGGACGGCGGGCGCGGGGUGCUCGGCUUUGGCAGCCCUUGAACUUGAAGCCCGUGAUCCCCAUCAGCUUGGUCCACGAGUAGUACGGGAGCUUCGCCUGCUGGAGCAGCAGGCCGACAGCGUUGAGGAUGAUGUUGGAGACGGGGUCGGCGAGGCCCAGGCAGUUGCCGCCCGCGUAGACGCACGACUCCAGCUCCGGCAUCUCGGCCAGCGGCAGCCGGCUCGCCGCCUGCUUGUACAACUCCUCUAUGCUGCGGCUGCUCCCGAUGUCAUCGUCGGCGGUAGGAGGCCGCUUCUCCUUCUGCCCGUGGGAACAGGAGAAGCUGACCGGCGCCGCCGUGGGGAGGCCAUGAGACAUCUUUGUCGCGGCGGAUCCGGAUCGAUGGAUUCGUUUUGGGUGGGAUGAGAUCACCGGGUUAUGAAACUUGUUCGGCGAUGGCGGGACCCCGAAUACGAACCACUUACCAACACGUGUACAAGACGAAUUCACUCCAAAAUUUCCGUUGAACUGCAGCAGCCGGCCAUAGCAACAAGGCCGGCCAGGGCGCGGAGCCGGUUUAGGAUUUAUCAUUUUUCUUUUUUUGAAAUGUAAAGAUUUAGGGGUUUUCCUUUUCGAAUAUCUACCACCUUGACAAACCAGGACUCUUGCCCAACAUAAUAACUAUAGAAAUUGUACUGAGCAAGCAUAUAUGCAAGAGGUAUCAUCAGGCAGCAUUCCAACAAUACAGUAGCAGCUCAUCAUAUUGCACCCUCUUAUUCAUGAAGCUUUACAAUUCCCACAAAAGAAAAAAGGAUCCACCACGUACUUGUACAGUAAAGAGCUUAAAUAAAACCCCACCUGCAAGUACCAAAUACGUAUACAAUGUCCGACUCUUUUUUUUUCUUUCCUUGAAAAAAGAGAGGGGCAGAACACAAAUAAAGUCGGAAGAUGCAAUUUAUUUCAACAGAAAAAUCAAUCUUUGUCUAGAUACAUAGUACAACACAACAUCUCGCCUUCCAACCAUAUGGACCAAACCUUCCUUGCUCAUCUGUUCAAGCAUUAGAUGAUGCUGAGCCAAACCAGCCGUGUGAAUUAUGCAGCCAAUCUGGGAGGGCUGUGAUGAGAUGGCAGCUUUCGCGUCCAUCAAGUUUGCACUCCCCGCUCUUGCCACAAUCUGGACAUGCUCAUUGCUUUUUGGUUCACUUUCUUGAACCACGUGCUGCUGCAAGGUGAUCCUGGAAAAAAGGAAAAGCCACCAGAGUUAGUCAUACAGGUUUAACAUACAGAUAAGGUUGCUCAGACAAAGACUUCAGUUCACAACAAGAGUUGGCUACAGUUGCAGAAGAAAAUUAAAUCAAGCAAGAUUGGUACAAACAAUGCUUGAAGCAGCGAGCACCAUUAUGAUUCAACAGACAGUUCAAUCAACAAGCAGCCUUACCAUUGAACUACAUGGUUUUGGUUCCAACACAAACAAUCAGGGAAUGAUGCAAAAGAAAUGACAUUAUUCUUUCAGUUUCUUACUACAGUUCUACCAGCUUCACCUCAUCAUGUCUCAUUAUUACCCACAUUUCAUGACACUACAUGACCAUGUUUUGUCAGGUAUCAAGCAAAUUUCCCCCCUGAACAGCCAUACUUUUUUCCCAUUUCCUAUAGGCUAUGCCCUCCAAAAGUCCAUACUGGCCAUCUACAUCCAAAAGCCCCAGGGGGCUCACAAAGUGAAUUUGAAAUUUAAUGACAAAUACAUCCGAAUGAAAAUCCAACUUUUUUCAAACCAAAUCCUACAAACCUCGCUACCUUACAAAUCAAUGAACUCUUAAUUAGAUACAUGCAUUAUUAGCAAAGUUAGAAUAUCCUAACUUUACUUCAAGUUGCAAGUGAAUGCAAGAAACUAAUCACUACUCACUAGAUAGAAACACGUACCGAGACAAAAUCAAAAGCUCUAGUGUCAUCUUUCUUGGAAUUGCUUGUCACUGCAACAUGAUUUUGCGGUUGAUUACUUGAAUUGAAAAUAUCUGGAAGCACUGAUGCAUUUCCACUAUUCAUUGGAUCGAAAGGUGAAUUCCCAACUCCAGCAUUGAAAUUUCCAAAAUUUUGCAGUAGCUGCUGCUGCUGAGCAAGAAGAAUCCCCAUGGCACCAUAAUUUAACUGUUGCCCAGGAAAUGACUGAUUGAGCAUCAUAUGUUGAGGCAAGCUGUACUGCAAGGGAACCUGUUGCUGUUGGUAAAAGGAGUUCUGACCAAGAAUGCCAUUCAAUGCUGCAGCACCUGCCAUGUUGCUGGUCUGAUUGUUUGUGUCAAAGAACUGCGAGCCAUUGAGGUUGCUAUUGGGCUCUGCUUUAACAGCAUGCUGAACCUGGUCUGUUCCAUUAAGGUUCAAGCCAGCCAUCAGAUCAUUGACAGUUCCUUGGUCAGUAACACUUCCUUGGAUGAAAGGAUCAGGGUUGCUGCCAAAGAUAUCUGGUAAUUCAUUUUUGUUUGAUGAUGAGCUAUCAGGCAUGGCAGCUGAUGAUUUCUCUUCUACUGUCAACCCUGAGAACAGAUCAUUGUUCUCCUUAGUCUCUGCCUCGUGGAAUGAUACAUCUGCAAAUGGAUCACUUCCAUUACUAUCAGCAGGGACACUUGUAUCAGCAAUAGGUUCACCACCAAGCAAAUCAUCAACUGAAGAAACAUAUGCACUGUUCCCAGUGUUCUGUCCAUUGCUUUCCUGUCCAGAACUAGUUCCGAGAUCAUCUUGAUUGCCUGUAUCAAUUAAAUCAGGCAUCUGAACAGGUGGGGGCAUUGCAGCUUUUGUUGCUGAAAGAUUUGUGGUCCCAGUAGGCUGUUCCCCGAUCAGCAUAUUCAAGACCUAAUAAAAGUAAUAUACCUUAUUACACAUCAAUACUUGCCAUGAAACAAGCUUACCCGAAUAAAAAAAUGUGGUUAAAAACUAUUGAGCCCAAUUUUGUAGUUUCGAGGAACCAUAAGGCAAGUUUCUUUUUUAAUUUGGAUGAUGGACGAAUAGCAUGCAGAAGUCUACUUUAAAAAUUCCAGUUUUCCAAAUAGAAUCACCUUUGAGGCUUUCUCUCUAAGAGAAACCUGUGGCAGCUCAGAGCAUUUAACUACCGAAGCUGUGUUCUCAAUAAAAUAUGAAGCGAUGAUAGAAUAAGGAUCAGUAUCCUGUUUCCGUACAAUGGCUUCCAACACACAAAUAGCCUUCAUGCGAACCUGCGAAGUAAACAAAUAUAAUGAAUACUAACGCAAAUCUAAUGAAUUAUUGGAAAAGCUUCCUGGAAUUGCUUUAGUUUACUAGAAGCAUGCCAGCAUAUGAUCUAACCAUUUUACGUGAAAGCUGUGAAGUAAUACUGUAUGAAAACUAUUCAACAAAGUGAAAAGUCAGCAAAAACUAAAGACCGAGAGAACAUAUCCAGUACAGAUGAGCUAACCCCUGAAAAUCAUUUGGUUCAAUAGUUGGCCUGUAUAUUAGUUGCAAGGCAAAGCAACCAUAUAGCUCCACUCACAAAGUUAAGUUUUGCUGCUGGCUGCCUAAUGAUAAUAUCAGGACUAAUCUGCCAGCCUAUUGGAUUUUUUUCCUCGAAUACACAGGAGAUCUGCACAUCAUUGCAUUAAGAAGAGAAUUAUGGAGUACGAAACACCCAACACAACACCACCUUUGUUGGAUAAAUAGGCCAAACAUAUCAGUAACUGCAAUAGCAGUCAUGCUUGCGUAAAACUCACUGUUCUCAUGCAAAUAGGUCUAACGUCAACAUAUUUCAUCCAGCUAUUCGACAAUAAAUUAUGGCAACUUUGAACAUUAAGUUAAUAAUGCUUUUUAUCCAUGAACUCUAUUAAACAUCAAAUACUACAAUACAAAAGCACGGUAUAACAUCAACGACAGUCAUAGCAUAGUUGGUCAGGGUCAGAAUGAAAUUGAUCUAUUUCAUCUGUCCAAAAUGAGGAUACUGCAUAUUUCUCUUCUAUCUAAUGUUUUUUUCCCUUCAAAACUACAAUGCCUUAAAAUGUAAUCAUAAAAUUCUGCAUAUCUUAUUGCAAUUCCAAGAAUUCCUACAUUAGCUAUCAAAAUUCACAAGUGCCUACAUGAAAAACUUGAAUCAUCAGCACAAAAGAAAGAUUUACACUGCUUUUCAGGAGAGUUAGGAACCAUCACUUGGCACUAUUUUUAUACUAUUUGUUAGCUCAGUGCAUGUGGAUAUUAAGGGGUGAAAUGAAACAGUAAUGAGUGGUCCACCUAAACUCACCUGCCAUAAUGGAGAAUUCAGUUUGUUUUCAAGUGCACGGCUCAAAGCGACUGCAUCCAAUUUGGAAGCUUCUGUCAAAAAUAUCUGCAGAGCAUCUCGUGUAGGUUGCAAUCGCACACCACUUGCAGUAACAAUUGUCUCCAAAAGUCUCUCUUCGCGAGUCUUAAUCCCUGGUUGACUUGAGCUAGUAUCAUCAGUCGGUGCAGAACUGGAAGGAGUUGGACCCCAAGAACCAGAUGCCACAUUCUUGGAAGCACCAGAUGAGGCACGGCUCUCACUUUGAAUUUCACUUGGAUCAUACCGACCGUAUCUUUCAGAUUCUGUGGUCAAAGACCUACGGAGGUUAGGGCUCUUGUAUGUGCCACCAUUAUCAUUUGUCAUCAUUGCAUGUGCUGCAGCAAAGUUGCUCAAACCCUGCUUAAUGGAUGCACUUCCAAUACCCACUACCUCGCUGAGUUCACUAAGGAAAGACUUCUUGUCAUCCAUUCUAGAUGGUUCAUAGUUUGUGUUUCCAAAGCCCUGUAUACGCUUGCCAAGACUUUCUGUUGCAACAGCAGGUUUAGGGUCCUCGGUGGAGAAAAUUGCAGCUAUAGCCUCGUUCGCAGUUUCACGGACAGCCUUAUUAAGGGCAUCUCCUCUUAAGGGAUCAGGGUGGCCUCUGUAGUGAACAAGUUGGCGCAUAGCAGCUGAGUGCCUUUGCAUCUCCCUCUUGAAAUCAGUACCAGAUUUUCCAACUGAGUAUUUGAUCAACCGUAAGGCCUGUAUAGCAAGUAUAGAUGGGGUUAUAUACUACUAUACUAUUGAGCUGGAAUAAUGGAUGAUAAAAAAAAAUUUAAAAAAAAUUGAGCAACCAAUGUACUUGAAAAACAAGAUGAAAGUUAGUGCAUCUACAAAAUCAUUGCAAACAUUUGUAAUCCAUAAAUCAGAGACAACAUAGGGAACUGAAUUCAAAACUAAUCAUACCAGCACAAAAUCUAAUUCAAUUUCGUGUUGCCACUAGCAGUGUUAACAAAUUAUAAUGUUAUAAAUGCCUAAUUUACACAGCUCAUGAGCAAUUGAACAAGUAGUCAGACAAAUGAGUUGGAAACGCCGCCCAAAUCCUCCUCCCCAGCUACACAGCUAAUGAGCCAGCCGAUCCAUUAACCCGCGGUUGAGUAACGAAUCAAGCUUGCACAUGCUUAUUCUGUGGCCACAUCAGAUUGUGCAUUCCAUGAGAAGCAAUCCAAACAGCCCUUUCAAAACUUUCUUCUCAGAUCGGAUUAUCGGAAGUAGAUGCUCUAGGGAUCGGAACAGCUAGACAUCCUCGCCAUCAUCCCCCACCUACGCUGCUACGCACGCACCCUCACCGGCCAGGCAACCAGGUGAAUCCGAUCGGUGCUCGGCACACGCACCUUCUGCUUGACGAGGGGGCUCUUGUUGUCGAGGCGCUUGAGGACGAAGUCGGCGACCUCCUUGACGAUGCUGGCGUCGGAGGCGCGCAGGAGCUCGCAGAUCUCCUCGAGCUUGUAGACGGGGGCGACCUUGUCGUCGUCCGCCGUGACGCCGUCCACCAUCCGCGAGCGCCAGUAGGACUCGACCGCCCGCCGGCUCUGAUCCAUGGCUGCCCCUGCCCCGAUCGGAGACGGAACGGAUCGGAGGGCGGGGGCGAUCUGGGAGGGCAGGGAGAGGGGGGUGGGCGGCCGUGGACCGGGUCCCGGCGUGGACGAGGACGGGAGCCGGGAGGGGAGGGUUGGUUUCGACUCGAGGGGUGAGCGGCACGUGCCGCCGGAGGGAGAGAGGACGGAGGAGGAGGAGGUGGAUCUGUGGAAGGUUCUAGUGGCGGGUCAGCCUCUGCUCGCCUAUACCGUUUCGCUUUCACGCUGCUUCCUUUCCUUCCCACGAGGAGAACGAACCGGCCACAAGCUUCCUGAUCCUGUCUCUCUCCGUUGGAUCAUGUGGCUGCCAUGCUACGGCUACCCCCCACUGAAUUACUGAAAUUCUUAUGAACUCACUGAAUUCGUACUGAAUUCAGUUGAGAUUUGAGGUUUGGAAGCUUUUUUUCCUUUUUGUUCCUGUACAAGUACAAAAUAGCCCACCUGCUUUGCUAGCCUGGCACUCCUGGCCUGCAUAGAGCAUUUUAUUAACCAAACACCCGUCAGUUUCGAACCGACCCCAUAUUAACCAAAGCUUCACCGCCUCACCGGUGUUCCCUGCAGUUCGUUCAUCAAAAGAAUUGCAAAUUGACACAAGUUUAUAUUAUCACAAUUCACAACCUACACAACAAAUCAACCGUCACAAUCAACGACAAAAAAAAAGAGAGAGAGAUGAUACAGCUCUAUUCUAUUCUGCAAAACAGGAACCAUGCAGUUGUAGCUCCUGCUUCUGGCUCUGACAGUGGUUGGCGAUGCUUCAAUUACAUUCUCAGCUCGAAAACAAUGUUAAGCUAUAAUCAGGAGAUCAAAAUUAAUGUACAUUGUUUUUAUCUAUAUCAGUACGCAGCAGCCUCUUGGAUCUCAUCAGCUUCCUCAACUACCAGCUCGUCCUUGAAUAGGACCUUCAGGUGUGGCAGGACCUUUGGCAAAACCGGCAAAUCCAUGAGGUUUACGCUCAUCAGGUCAAAGGCAAUGCACGUCUUCUCCAUGUCGACCUCGUCAAUAACUGGGAUUUUUGGGUAUCGCUGGCUGAAGUGGGUCAAAAUGAUCCGGUAUGCUCCAGCCGAUGUGCCUACUUCUAUUGCCUCCUUUGUUGUACUAUGGUUCCUCGCAAUCGCUUCGUCCUUCAUACUGUCCUCGAAUGUUGCCUGAUGAAGUAGAGUAUAACAAAGACAGCUAAGAACAGGAAACAACACCAUAUUGUAAUGUCAUCUGUCAUUAACGGUAGUUAGAAGAGAAUAUUGUGCAGCUAACAAUAUGAUACAAUAUCUGCAGGAUUAGUUUAUUACGGUACAAUGGUGCUUGUGGUCCAAAUUAGUUAGAGCAGCUGUGUGGACAGAGGAAAGUGGAGAAUUAUUAUCAUAUAUAUUGCACUUUUUGGAAGCCAGCUGCCAUUUAGACUUGGAACAUAGCAAUGACCCUUGAUGCCACUUAUUGCAAGAAAAGCUGUGUGGUGUGCUGAAGCUUACCUCAUGUAUUAGCACUGUGGCAUCUCUGGAUGCAUCUAUAAGAGCUGGACAGGGUCUUGUGUCGCCAGAAUAUACAACCUUCCAGCCUGGAAUAACCUUUCCAGCGCUGUUCACCUUCUCCAUGGCUCUCAAAACAACGCCAAAUGCCUGUGGACAGUGUACUACAGGGACACUGUACAGAAUCUCCAAACCUGAUUCCAGCAGAACCUCUUUAAAAUUAGCAAGAGCUGUGGUAUCCCUUGGACUUGCAGGCUUCCUGUUGUAGUUCUCCAUUCUACUGCCAGGGGCAAACAUGGUGUUCUCCAGUUGAGGUGUGGCUGAUCCAGUAACAUUUUCACUGAGAAAAGCCUCAACACUAGGCUUCAAAGUAUGCCUGCAGUCUAGGAAUUGCAUGUCAAGAUCUUCAAGCGUUGAAUAUGCAUUUAGGAAUCUCUCAAGGGGUCUUGGUCCAAUCACAAGCAACGGUUUAUGAGGCAUCCCCUUUAACAAUUUAGACCUUAGAGCUAGAACUCUAGCUAACCCUGUGUGGUGAUCAGCAUGAAUAUGGGAAAUCCAAAUACACCUCAAAUUUUUUACAGCUUCAUCAGCACCAUUUACACCAAACCUAUUACAUUAAAAGACAGCAUACUCCCGUAUGAGUUCAUGACUAGAACUUAUAUAUCAGUUAAUGCAGUCUUAGAAUAUCUGCAAGUACUAACCUCCUUUUUAGUUGUCCUAAAGUUCCUUCACCGCAGUCAAGAAGUAUACCUCCUCGAGCAAACAAGUUAAUAUAUAUGGAACUUACGUUCCGAUAUUUUGAAGGCUGGGAUGAACCUGUACCCAAAAAUGUAAUCUCCAUAUCUUCCCUCGUUGCAUCCUCCACACAACAAGGGAUCUCUUGAUUGUCCCUUUGAUGCUUUUGGAAAAUAGUGCCAUCAUCUAGCUUAUCUGAUUUUUGAUUGAUCCAUGGCUCUUCAACCAUCAGUGUAUUUUUAUAGUUCACAUUAUUUUGCCAGAAUUUGUGAACCUGUUCAGGAACUUCUCUAACCUCUGGGAUCUCGGAUACAAGCUCUUCUACAAUAUCCUUGUAGGUGAACAAGCUUGGAAUAGAAGCACUAUCCAACCCAAGUUGAGCAUAUGGACGCAGAUGAAACUGCAAGAAAAAGGACAUUAAUAAUCAGUCAUAUAUUGAACUAAAUAAAAUUAAGUUGAACUUGCAGUUAGUUUCAAAGACACAUCAGCACACUCAUAUGUAUCCCUCCUUCCCUCAGCAUCUUUUUAUACAUUCCUCCUUGAUUGAAGAGUCUUUACAUAUCUCAUUGUCAUAGUUGAUGCCAUUGCAUAUCAUGGAAAAGGUAUAAGAUGUUAAGGAUCAACUUUGAAAAUUAUUCAAGCUAUAAUGAUGGUAGAGAUCCCAAAAAAAAAUUUGAGUCAGGAAUUCGACCUUUCCAAGUGUCAUGGUAGGAAAGCUGAAUAAUAUGAUGCUCAAUAAAAAAAGUAACUAAUAACUCUCCAGACAGAAUGCCAGAUUACUAUAUAUGAUCAGAUAACAGGUGCUGACACAGACACAGUGAUACAGCAAGGACAAAGGCACAGAAUUACCUUGAGCAGAUUUUGCGCAAACACACUUCCACAGAUUUCCGAUGAAGUCCUCUGAAAGACCAACAGAAUAUUUUACAUCUAUAACCAGCAGUAGUGAGACAUUCAAGGUAUUCUAUAGGCUACUGGAACCUACCUUAUCAUUCUCCAUGACAUCAUUUGCAGGUUCCACAGACCAAAACCCAGAGGAUGGGAAGAGCUGAGGGCAUACAAAAUUGAGGCGCGAUGAUAUCCUUGCACUACCUUUCAAGAUUGGAAUUUCCAUGUUUUUACUGCAUGGAUCGAAGAAGGGAAAGUAAGAUACCGGUUGCAUGAAACCAAUCCGCCAAAAAACAUGGCACAAACUGAGCGUGCAACUUAAGCAGUGGCAUGGAACAUAUUUUUCCCAUAACAUAUAGUAAAGUAAACCCUAAGAAGAAGCAGUCACUAACAUAAUCAUUUUAAUUCAUCUGUGUUCAACAUUUCAAUAAGUGAAAUCUGUUCAUCUGUUGUUUGUGUUGCAACAGAGUAGUUAACUUUGAAUUAGCAAACAUUGUCAAUAAAGUUCAAACUGAAGUAAUAAUCUAUACUAAGAAUGCGCUUCGAAAAAAAAAGACAAAUGUAACUGAAUCGUACAUUUCAUGUCCUGCCAUAAUAUGUUGUGUUGCACCAAAUUUUUUCAUCCAGUUCUGAUAGUCAACAGCUUUAGUCACAGAUGAUGGACCUAAGUGGAUUAUACAAUUUACUGUCUUGCCACUCUUUGUUGGGUCUGAAGAGUCUUCAUAAAAGCAGCUAAGGGAUUGCAGUGAGAAAAGUUCUGGCAUAUGAUAUUGUGUAGGGCAAUCCACCAGAAGAACAGUUGGUCCAGGAAUUGACGGGCCAAGAACAUCACUUGGAUGAACCUAGAGGUUAAUUGACAAACAAAAGGAGCUUUAGAUGAGAAAUUCAAACCAGAUAAACGGUGUAUGUAACUGAUAUUCAAACUUAUAUUGAAAACUUACAUUAUCCUUAACAUUUUAAUGGUAUCUAGGGUAAAGCAUCAGAUUCUCAAAGGUGCCACUACAGUUAAUAUUUAUGAUAAGCAUACUUUCAUUGUUAGAAUAGCCAGGCCAUAAUUAAUGAUUCCAUGGACAACUAGUAUAUGCUUUCAUACAGUAGUUAGGCAACAUCAAACUUAACAGACUCCAAAGAUCUAACAACAUUGGUUCAAUAAGAGGCAGCAGUAAUCUCCUAGACAGCACAAGCCUCAUUCAAGAGAGAAGGUGCAACAAAAGAGAUAACCAAGUUGUCAGCUAUAUAUAAGUUUAUACAGAACUAACCAUUUCGUCAAACUUAUCAGACUGCACUGAGUUCCCAAGUUGAAGUUCACGAUACUUGGGCCCAGGCUUCAGACCAAGGGCAGCAGCCUUAGCAGGGUCAAACUUUCCCUUAAUAUCUGGCAAUUCACACGCAUAGACUAUAGCAGUAUCACCUGGCUUCAAGUCAAUAUCAUUCAAGCUACCAGCUCCAUUGUGGUACUUAGGUUUGACAAACAUUGCUGAUAUCCGAACUACUUCAUCAUCAAGAAUAAUAACGGAGUCUUUAGGUUGUGAAGAAGAUGCACUCCGUUCAGCACCAAAGCUAUGUGUGUGAAGCAUUGCUCUAUUUGGGAUAAAAGAUCUCAUUGCCCCGGCUAGAAAGUCAAGGUCAGAAGGGCCCCAUAUGUUCACCUGUGUUGUCAGUUAACAGGAAAAGGACUACAAUUAGUCUCCUGAAAUACAUUUAAUGCUGGAUGCAUGAGUAGACACCAAAAAAAGGAAGUAAACACACCGACAUGCCCUCAUCUCCUAUGCCUGCUAGAGUUAGCACCAGGCCUACAAUGUUUAAUGCAAAUAACGAUGUCAGGACAGUGUAGCAUCAGCACGCCAAGCAAAACAAAUAAUCAAGUUAUUAGAUAAAAGCGGUUAAAAAAUAAUACCUGGCAGCCCCCCUGCAGUUUCUGAGCACACGCGAGUCAAAAAGAUAUGGUCAAUCUGGAAAGCGGGGGAUUGUUUUGUAAGAAAAGUUGACAUUUUACAAUACUAUGAUAAAUAAGAUUAGGAUAUAAGAAAUUUAGAAACAAGGCAAUGAAUGUGAGUGUUGAGUAAGGUGGAGGGCAUUCCACUCGCAUACCUUUGAUAACUUAAUCUUGUGUUCAGUACAGAAACGUUGAAGACCCUGUCAGAUGGCAAGAUUGGAGUUUAAUCAGCACAUAAUGGCAAAAGCAAGAUGAAUGUUCUCCAGAUCUUUAAGAUGAAUCUCAUAUUCACUUCAGCUCAACAUAAGACCAUUAUUUUCAAAAUCCUUUGCACAACAGCUCAAAAAAGAGAAAGAAAUAAAUUGUGUUUUCAGCUAACUACAGUUGUUAGUUAUUUUCAGGGUGUACAAUUAUUAGUUAUUAGCUUGUGCGAACAAAUACAAUGGAACCAUAUCACAGCAGAACAUACCUCGCCGGCGUUAAAUAUAAACCUUUGUUUGUCAAAGAAGAGCAAAAUUGAAGGUGAAGUGUCCUGUGUGUCCAUCCCUGUACCAAGAAUCUGCACAGCAAGAGCGAAGGGGUGUAAGACCAGAAGAAAACAAAAAAAUGACAACAGUUCCCGUUCCCAUGGGUCAGUUCAAGGGAAGAAAUUGCCUUGAACUAGAUGUUUGGUUCAACCAAACCAAUGUAGUGAAUUAGCAAUAGGACAACUCCAUAAGGCCACAAACAGCACCCUCGUGCAAGGCUUACAAAUUACAACAAUAUUAUUGAGCAUCCUGAACUUUUAUGGUUAUUAUUGAUCAAGUGCUUUGAUGUUUCUUUUUUCCAAUGGAAUGGGCACCAUAUCAGCAGAUUACAACUAAAAGGUAUACCGACAGAAGUUACAUGCUAAGGACUUAUGGUCCGGAUUCAUGCUAUGCUAAUUUAACUCCACUAAUGCGAUGCAUUUGGGAUAGCAUCUUGUCUCGUGCUCAAAACGUUUAGCUAAGAGAAGCAAAUGCAGCCUCUGGAACUAAGUCACGGUAUUGCACGAAUGAUCCAACCCAAAAUAAACCCAAACUAGUAUGGUUAUUAGAACGAAAUCGAGCUGAAUUGGCGCCAUAGUAAGCAGAGACGGCCCUGGGGAAAAUCAGUCAGUCUCUCUCACCUGCACGUAGCAGGUGGUGUUGACGGGGUUGAGCUUGCGGGUCUUGAGCUCCAUGCUACCGCGCUUCCCGCCGUCAUUCCCCUCCGCCCGCUUCCUGUUGAAGGCCACCUCCUUAUCCCCGCCGCCGGCCAUCUCCUCCCUGGGCGGCUUCCUGAGCGUGCUGCUCCCGCGGCGGGGGUGGUGGUGGCGGCGGUAGGCGAGGGCGCGGAGGCUGGCGGCCCGGCCGAAGGAGGGGGACGAGGAGGUGAAGAGGCGGCGCGAGAGGUGGAGGAGCGGGGCGGGGGCUAGGGUUUGGGAGAGGGGGAGGAGGAGGCGGAGAGGGGCCGCCACCUGCGGCAUGGCUCGCGGCCACCUGCUCAGCUGGGCGGUUUUAUUGCGUCGGCGGCGGGGUUUUAGGGCGGAGAGGCAGCCGAGCCGAGCCGGGGACAGGGGUGGAUUAGAUUUUUUUUUCGCCCUCUUCUUUUUUUCUCCUUUUUAUUUAUAAUUUUCAUCAUUUCCAAUCAUUUGCCAUACAUGGCUGCUCGAAUUGCAACAUUUGAAUCUUUGGUGUUAAAUUUUCUGUACAUGGCCCUUGUUGAUCUUUCUUAUCUCUUUGCAUUUUAUAUCUAUCUACUUCGCGUAGAGUUUUCCUCAUAGUCGAAUCAAAUUUACUAAAAUUUAAUAAUAAUUAUUGCUUGCUGAUGAUAUGUGCAGCUGUGCUACUUACUCUAUCUAUGUGUUUUAGUUAUGUAUAUACACAGUCAUCAAAAGAAAAGACAUUUAGCCAUGAAAAAAAGAGGGAAAUUAAAAUUUGUCAAGGAGAAUAAAAAAAUAAGGAACGGUCAAAUUUUGCUCUGUUUGUUUCUAAGGUCAACGGUGGCCCAAACAGGCCCGGUUGAGGAACAUACUAUACUAGACUACGAAACUAGUUCUUCUGUUCCUUUUAAAGGUCAAGGGUGGCCCAAACCGGCCCAGUUGAGGAGCAUGUUACAGAGGUUCAGAAGUUCAGAGCUGCUCGUCGGAUGAUUCUGCUCAUAUGUCCUUUCCUAGUGCCCCUUUUUGAUAAAAAAUAAAAAAAACAGGUUGUUUGGUUUCAUGCUUCCUUGGAGUACAAGUUCAGUUAAGGAAUUAUUGACUGAUUGUUCUUGUGAUAGCGUGUAAUUUCACCGCAAGUCAAGGAUUUGAUGUGGUCGAUAACUUAUGUUUGAAUCAGAGAGAUAAAUGGCGUGCUUGCUUCCCGACCGUGGCUCGCCACGCCACGGCCAAUGGUGUGGCGUGGUCGGGGAUCAAACAGAACCCAAAAUAAAGUCGUAGACUCUUUGGUCCGGUGAUGGUGAAGGUUGGUGGUGCUCACCCAGUACAUUUAAUUUUUGAUGGUGAAGGUUGUCGACUGAAGCAGGCACCUAGCUAGGCCAUGGUUGAUGCUAGAGCUUCAGUGUAGCAUGUCUGUUGGAAGUGGACAUUCUUGCAAAACGUAAGGCAUCUCGAGAAGUCCUCGGAGUACGUACUUGUUUAUUAGUUUGGAAUUCAAGCUUUAAUAAUCUGGUUGGAUUUGGAUCCCUCCGUUAACUGAUACAUCAGUGUUCAGUCUGAUUACUGUACUGAUAUCAACAGUUAGGGCUAGUGCGUUGUCGAUCAGUGUUUGUUUCUCAUUAUCCUUGCAUACAAGUUGACAUCUGUGUCCUUGUACGGGUAGUAUUCCCUUUCCAAAAAAAAUUAAAAUGAAAAGUGGGGAAAAACUAGGAAGCAAGAUGUCAAAACACCCAUUCAAGAGAACAAGAUGAAAGGAAAACACCCUGUAUGACUCGAUCGCUGGACACACAAAAGCUUCAAUUGCUGGAAAUGUCUAUCCCUGAAGUACGUAAAAACAUCUUGCAGAAACAACAGAUCCCCUUCCAGUCUUUCACCAACUGAUCUGAGCUGUGAUUCCCUUGCAACGUUCUCAACGGUUUAUCUUAGGCCCUCUCCAACGGUAAGAGAUAGGUGCUAGCUCAAACAGCACGAGAGAGGCGAAAGAACUGAUAGCAGAGCAGCUUCGAAUAACGCAAUGUGAGAGAGCUAGCGUUUUUUCCACUGUUCAUCGAUUAAAAAACUCUCUCAGCUGGCUUAGAGCUAGAGGGCCUGUAUUGAUAUGUACGCAUGUCUCCUGAAUUGAAGCAAGGAUCCGGCAACCCGUUCAUCAGGUUCAGCAGUAACUACUGUAUACAGGAACUGAAAAUUGAUCUAUAAUAACUAGGCUGCCGGAUGAGAUCCAACCCAGUAACUUGAUGUGACGGCUGUGAUCUCGCGUGCAGGCUGGAAAUAAUCUAAUUAAUGGUGAUGAUCCAAGUCGACGCAUGCAGCUGUGUCUUUAUGCACCUCGUGUCCUUAUGAAUCUUGAUCUGCAGGCUGCGGACAGUAAAAUGUAAUGCGCUGGUACUUGCACUAUUUCCUUAUCGUUUUGGAAUUUGGAUGGAGCAGAUCAUAUACACACGAAAUUCACCAAGAUUAUUCGAAUUCGCACCUACUAGAUGGCUAAAAUUGACUGAGAUAGCAUUCUCCGUGCGGCAACGGUUUCACUUUCACAUCAUCCAACGAAGCUUAAACCCCUUGUGCGCUUCAUCGAGGGAAGGAAAAUCAACACAUCAUGUAAGAUAAAGAUCGGAAAUGUGCACAAGCUGGAUGGGCAAGACAGAAUUCAAUUGGAGUACUCUAUCUAUCAGGAAGCCAAAGGCAACACAACAUGAAACCCUAGCCAACCAAGAAAUGGGGCAAUAACAUUUUAGUUUCUAUCUGCGCGCUAAACAGUUCUGUGCUCGUUGCAGCACGAUAGACGCCUGUGCAUCCAUAUAUACCAAUAAACAAUCACAAAUAAGACGUAGUCCCUCCGUUCCACGAAGAGUGUCCUUUUAUAUUCUAAAAUCAAAUUUGUUCCACAAAAAAUGUCCUUUUACCACCUAGUAAGUGCUUGUUUGGGAGCACUCCACUCCACCAACUCCAAAAAUUUCGCAGCCAAACGCAUCUAGCUUCAGCAACUCCGGCUCCAGGAAAAAUGUGGAGCAGGAGGGUAGAUCCACGUUUUUUUGGAGUACCUCAAGAGGUGCUCCAAAAAACCCCUUUUCAGACUUCCUCGUGGAGUUGGUGGGUAUUUACCCACCAUUACCAUCGAUUGCACAUACCGAUUCGAUCCAAAAAGAACAGACCGUCAUUCUCCCCGUCACCCCUUUCUUUCUGCCCGACGUUCCUCUUCCUCCGCCACCCCAAAACCUAGCGCCACCCUUCCUUCCCCGACCGCCGCCGGCGGUCUUUCCCAGCGAGAUGGACGGCGGCGGCAACCCUCCUCCACCUAUUUCUCCAAUUUCAUCCUCGGCUCAUCCUCAAGGCUCUAUUUUGGCGGGGGCCCAUGCCACCUAGAGGAUGCUCGCCGGCGCCGUCAGUCGGGAAAACUUGGGCGGUGCGGCCCGGGGCGGCGUCGCCGCGCAGAAAGAAGGCGUACCAGCCUUGGGCGUUGGCAGUUGUGGGCCCUUGGGUGCGGUCACGGGCUAGGGAGAAGGUGCAGCUAGGGGCGGGUUCGGGGGCUAGGAAGAAGGCGACGGUGGUUUGGCUGGCGACGGACGAGGUGGCUUGGGCGGCAGCGGAAGAGGUGGCCUGGGCGGCGACAGACGAGGUGCAGGUGGCAGGGACGCCGCAGCCCGUGCGUUGGGCAAUUCCAGGGGCGGCGGCCAAGGCCGUGGCUGUCUUGGCCAGGGCGGCGGCCGUGGUCGUGGUCGUGGCGCCGGGCUUGGCAGCGAGGAUGUGUUCGGGCUUGGCAGCUAGCCCACCGGCCACGAUGUUGCCGCCUCCGCUGCACAACUCACAGGCAUGAAUAAGGCAUCAAAGAGAAAUGCUCCUCACAUGGUAAUGGUUUCUUGUGUUGCUUUCUUGUGCUGCUUGUGGAUGACAAACUCUGUAUGGUGAAUUGUGAUCAUUCAAGAAAGUAGUAAAUUCAAUUUCUGGUAGUGUCCUGACCAAAAAUAUUGCUGUUGCAAACAUAACUGAACCACUCAAAAAUAUUGAUGUUGCAAACAUAACAGAACCACUAUAUUUUUUCACCAUUGCAAAUUGUUAAACUGAAGUAUAACAUUGAUGGCCCUAUCUAGUUCACCUAAACUAUUGUUUCUGAUAUUGUCGAGAGAACCUUUACUGAAAAAUGGACAGUUUACUGGAAUGGCAGUUGCUGCCUUGUCAAUUUGCAUCAUGUGCCGUACUCAUAGUUCAGCUUCAGCAUGGUAAUGUGCAACCUGGACAUUUUUCUGAAGAUACACGGAUAAAACCCCCGAUUUUGAAUAAACCAUAGUGUACUUUAGAAAUUAGAAGUCUUUGAAAUGUUACUUUUCACGAGCUAAAGCAAUACAGCGGUAACCCGCCUUACAAAGUUACAGGUCAGGUGCAUACUGAAACGAAGCGUCACAUAAAGUUUGCACCUUCAGCAAAUGUACAAAAUACUGAGUGUACAUGACAUGCAUAAGCUAAACAAAUAGUCUUAUAUAUACAACUUUAGUGCACUGGUUACUGUCAUAUCUUGGUCAGGGUGAUUCAAUUGAAUGGACUGAUGCAAACACGACGCUCAUAUGUUCGUUGUUUGCCAAACAAGUUAAGAAAGGGAAUAGGCCGAACACCCAUUUGAACUCUGUAGGAUAUGAUGAGGUCGGCGAUCAACCUCACAGCAGUUUGUUUGACCAAGCGGCAAAUGAAGAACAAGUGGGAUAAGUUGAAGAUCGAUUUAACGGUUUGGAAGCAAUUAAUGAGGAAGCAAACGGGAGCGGGAUGGGAUAGAGCAAGAGGUGUGAUUGAUAUGGACGAUGAGUGGUGGAAGAAUGCAAAGGCGGGGAGUUCAAAACUAUUUUAUUUUUGUUCUUCAAUAGGUUCAUGUCAUUUAUUGUACUAACAAUGAUUGCCUCCUUUCAGGAUAUUCCAGGUUGCGGCAAGUUUAAGAAAAAACCAUUGCAAAAUGAGGAGGACUUGACAAUGAUGUUUGUUGACAUCACUGAUAAUCAAUCAGAUCAUUAUAAUCCUAUGAGCUCUAACCCUAUCGUACCACCAUUUCAAGAGGAUGUUGACAACGGACCUGUGAAUGAGGUUCAUGAUGUCCCGGAUGAUUGUGAUAAUGAUGUUGCUGGUUUGGAUGAAACAGAUGAGGUCCAAGAGGUUUCUCCUUCUCCUACUAUUCUGUUGGCAAACAAAAGAAUCCCCCAGCAAAGAAACAAAGAAUUGGAACAGCACAAGUUAUUCAAGAGCAAGUAACCAAGAUUGCUGAAUCCGCCUCCUCUUUUGCAUCUAAAAAAUUGGGUGAAGUUACUGUCCAACAAGUCUUGUUUUGGAAUGUGGGGCAGGGUAUGAUACAGAUGAGCAUUAUAUUACUACUAAGUUGUUUGUGAAGAAGGACCAAAGGGAAAUGUCAUGACCCUUCCUACAAACGAGAUUAGAUUUAAUUGGCUUCGCAGGAAGUACAAUGCCAAGUAUGACAAUUGAGGAAUUGUGUUCUUUUAAUGUUAUUUUUUUAUUCGUAUGAACUAUUGUCAUUGAAACUUAAGUGUUAUACUUAUUUUAUUUUAUUUGUCAUAUGGUUUCUUAUCUAUAGGAAAGUGAGAGCGAUAGUGAUGACUCUUAUUUUGGGUGCUGCAGAAAUUGCACAAAUAUAUGCUGACCUCUACCUUGAUAAAAACCCACCAGGAAAAUUAAAGUAACACUCACACCAAUUAAAAAAAGCAUAUGGCGAAGCGCGUAGAGCUAAUCAAAUGAUCGAUGUUAUUUCUUCUGGUAAAUUAAAGGAGGUUCGGACCUAUAUAAAUCUAUCUCAUGUCUUGUUGUCGAUCAAGAUCCCAGUCAGUAGAGGCAAAACCCCUGUUGGCACCAAUCGAUCGAGAUAUAAAAUGGCUCAGGUAACUUGUAUGGUAGCUCACUUAUUAUGUAGUACGUGUAAAUGGACACCAUCUUUAUUGAUGGUGCUAUAUUGGUAGCCAAGCCAAGAGUAUCGUAGAAGACAACAAGGACGCAAGGGGUAGUACGAGGAGGAAAGAUGUAUAGUGGGGAAUUGAAGCGUGGUGGGUGAUGUGCUACGAGUGCGACAUAUUCCAACAGGUUAAAAACGGUCUUAAGAAAUUAAACAACAUAUAUGGUCUCUUGGUGAGAAAGAAAAAAUAUAAGUCACGGCUUGACUCUCAUGGGUUUCGAUCGGUUAAGCUUUAACCACGACGAUCGGAACGGGGGGCAUUAGGCAAAGUAAACUGAGUUGAAUUUUUCCAUGAGCUUAAUUAAGUUGUGUACUAGUACUCCUACCUAGCAAAUGCUGGAUUCCACAACCUUGAAACAAGAUCCAACCGAAGAUGUGCGAAUUUAAAGCAAUAUAAUUGAAGCCAAGAGGACAGGGGUAAAGCAUAAUGCCCUGAUCGAUGAUGUGGGUAGAACAUAUAGCUAGCUAGGAGCGAGUGGUCCUAUCCCUGUCGUUCGUACUGUGUCUACUACUACCACUCUACCACCAUGCAAACAUUUUAAUUACUCAGUAGAGAAUCUGCUUAAUUGUCACCGGAAAAUUAUUAAUAAAGCAAUGCAAUUGAGAGGCAGGCAAUCGAUCGACCGAGAAUCCGAAAUAUCCAUAUGACCAUAUAUGAUAUAUCCAUGUAUCAUAUAUGAACAUAGUAAUAUACAAGGGCAAAAUAGUGAACAAUGAUAGUGAUUUCACACGCGAGCUAAUAAUAAGGCCGGCGGGGCAAGGUGAAUUCAUUCGUUGCAGCAGAGACAGCCGCACCAGGGGUCACAUGUUGUGUGUGUAUAUAUAUACUGAGUUAGCUAUGGCUACGGUUAGUACUAAUUAAUGUAGUGUGUAUAUAUAAUCAUAUCCAAUUGUACCACGUACUCUAUACUCUAUAUAUACCUUUUAAAAAGAAACAAAAAAUAUAUGUAAUAAUCAUAAUCCAUCUACUUGCCGUACCUACGUUCGUAGGUAGUGGCCAGGUAUAUAUAGAGUAUAGAGUAUGUGGUACAGUUGGAUAUGAUUAUAUAUAUAUAUAUAUAUAUAUAUAAUAAUCAUGACCUCGGUACUCCCUGUCCCAAAAACAAAUCACCAAUUUUAGGAUAGAUUAAUAAGAAGUUAACCUUGAUUGUUUUUAUUUAUUUGUUGUAUUUGGUGCUAAUUGACUGCCGCCCCGAUAUGCACGUGACCACCGAACAAUCAUAUAUUUCUUUGAGUGAUGAGCGAUGUAGCUGCUAGAGUAAUAACUAUUUUAGGUUUUCCUCCCUUACAUAUAUUGGAAAUGUACAUGAUUUUACACGAUAUAUGCAUGAAAGAAAUGAAGCUAAAUGUGAAUGCGCACACUCCAUGCAUGGUACUACCUGCCAGCUGCAUAUACUCUGCAAGAUUUUCUUGCAAAUAAUGCAGGUACACAGUGCGUCCGUCCGUCCGUCCGCAGUAAAUAGUAAAUGAAAACAUACUCUUUCUUGCAUAGCCGUCAUGGGCUCGUUGGCCGGCCAUGUAUCGAUCAAGAUCAAUGGCGGUAGACCGUACGAGAGCAGACCUGAGCAGACGGUAUAGCCCGAUCCAGCGUCGUCGUCUCGUCGAUCAUCAUCGAAUCUGGCGAGAGAUCCUCCUCGAUCGUCUGCAUCAUCUCCUCGAUCACCGGCGGCCCCCGGCCCCGCGCCCGCCGGGGCAUCGGAGAACGAAGGUCAGCUCGUCGUACGCGCGCGCCGCCACGUGCACGUAAUCUCCCACCAUAUCUUGCUACGGUCCACGUACACAGCCUACGUAGGAGCCGCAUUAACUGACCUCCAUUACUCCUCCGAUCCUGCGUGCCUCCGGCUGGCUGGGCCCCGGCCCCGGCCGCGCGCCGAGUUUAUGGCCACCGCCGUGCGCCGUGCCACCGUACCACCCAUGGCGAUCCGUCCGUCGCCGCAUCUAUAUGCCAAUUUAUACGUCUGCUGACUUCGACGACGACGCUAGGCUGGCCGCUGCUUCUGCGUGCCUCCCAUCCUUCAAUUCACCCCGCUCGUAACUCGUAACAGCUACCUAGCUGUCGUAGCCGCCGGCCGCCGGGACGAUCGAUUUCGGCCAUGGAUUUCGGCCGCCGCAAGAGCUUCAGCUUCUUCGAGGAGGACCGCAAGUCGGCGCGCCCGGCGGGCGCGCACACGCCUGUGCACCAGUACUACUCGCGCGCCGCCCGUUCGCCGGCGCGCGCGGCGGCAGAGCCCGCGCGCCUCAGCAUGUCGUCCGUGCCCGGGGUGGCCGCCGAGCCGCCCUUCGCCAGCGGCGGCGGCGGCGGGUGCUCUCCCUGGGUGCAGUCGCCGCUUCAUGGCCGCCUCCGGUUCCCUCCCUCCCCCGCCGCCAUCUACCACUGCCUCGCCGCGCUGCACCGCCUCGAGGGCGACGUGCACGCGCUGGCCGUCGCCCGGGGCGUCCUCUUCACGGCCUCCGACAGCGGCCGCGUCCGCGCGUGGGCGGCGCCGGGCUGCUUCAACCGCGGCUACCUCGACGUCGGCCGCGGCCGCGUCCCGGCCCUCGCCGCGUGCGGGGGCACCCUCGUCACCUCCCACAGCCGCGACCACCACGUCCGCGUCUGGACCAUCUGCGCCGCCGCCGUGUGCGACCACAUCCGCGCCAAGAAGGCGGCGACGCUCCCGGCCAAGGGCAGCCUUUCGCUGCUGUCCUUCGGCAAGAGGCGGGCCCACCACCACCGCGACACCGUCUCCUGCCUCGUCCUCCACGCCGUCGCGGGGCUCCUCUACACCGGGUCCCACGACCACACCGUCAAGGCGUGGAAGCUCGCCGACGGCACCUGCGUCGACUCCUUCGCCGCGCACGACGGGCCAGUCAGCGCCAUGGUCGUCAACGAGGCAGACGGCUGCGUCUUCACCGCCUCCGCCGACGGCACCGUCAAGAUGUGGCGCCGCGUCUACGGCGGCACCGCGCACGCGCUCAUCAUCGUCCUCCGCUCCGAGCUCUCACCGGUCAACGCGCUCGCGCUCUGCCACGCCGCCACCGGCGGCACGCGCAGGUGCUUCCUCUACGCCGGCUCCUCCGACGGCUACGUCAACGUGUGGGAGAAGGAGGCCACCGCGGGCCGCCCCAUGCACGCCGGGUACCUCAAGGGACACCGCCUCGCCGUCUUCUGCCUCGCCUCCGGCUGCGGCGGCCGGGUGGUGGUGAGCGGGUCGGAGGACGCCACGAUGCGCGUGUGGAGGCGGGAGGGCAAGGGCGGCGGCGCCACGCACACGUGCCUCGCCGUCAUCGAGGGACACCGGGGACCCGUGCGGUGCCUGGCCGUGGGCGGCGGCGAGGCCGGGGAGGUGGAGGGCAGCAUGGUGGUGUACAGCGCCGGGCUGGACAAGAGCGUCAAGGUGUGGAGGAUACGGGUAGUGGGGAAGGAGGAGGAGGAGGAGGAGGACGACGACGACGACGACGUCGAGGACGACGCUGAGGCGGCGGAGAUCAUGGCCGGCAAGGGCGAUGGCGACGCCAUCCCCGUGAGGGACGACGUGGAGGACAACGAGGAGCCGGAGUUCGUGGGGCCGACGCCGGUUCUGUCGCCGGUCUGGGUGGAGAAGCGCCGGCAUACAAGCCGCGGGUGACGACGACUGAUGAUGCCUUGGCGCCUACGUUCGGCUACUGCUCAGUCGUCGUCGUCGUUAGUGACAUGCACCAUCUUCCAUUCCUGCGACAUGCAUGCACUGUGGCAACGCAACGGCAGGACGACGUGGCAGGCAUGCGCGCCAUUCCACGCACAAGGAUGGAUGUGUGCGAUAGCUAGCUAGAUCCACGUGUAAAAUGCAUGCAUGCAUGCUUGAAGAAUGUUUUGCAGGUAGGAUGAACUGCUAAUUAUUAGGACCUGUCAUCGUUAAUUUCAACUAAUCAAUAAUUAUUUAGGGUUAAGUCGUUGCCUCUUACUAUUGCUCUUGAUUCUUGAGUUGGAUCGAUCUACAGUAUUAAUGCAUCGGCUAGUCGCCCGCUGAUUAUGCAUUAACUUUGAAAGUACGAUGAAAACCCCAUUGAGAACGAUUUGUUUCAUUUCCUUAACUUUUAUUUGUUUCAUCUCCUUAACUUUUAUUAAUCUUGUGUGGCCAUAACUAGUGUGCACUAGUUAAGUGAGGUACAAUUGUAAGUGGUUAUAUAUUCAUAUGACAUAUUUGAUCUCAACACUAUAAAACAAUUAUAGUAAAACAAUUAAGGUCCCGUUUGGAUACACAAUGCUAAACUUUAGCAUAGUGCUAAACUUUAGCACUCCAUUUUAGCACCCUCAAAUGGAGUGCUAAAGUUUAGCACUUGGGGUUGUUUGGAUACAGUGCUAAAGUUUAGCACAUUUGGUGAGAAAUGACUACAUUGCUCUCAUUUAUGACUGGGUUGGGGAAAAGUGGAGAGGAGAGAGAGGGGGGCAGCAGGGGAAAAAAUAAGCUGGGGACCACUUUUAGCACCCAUUAGCACCUUUUAGCACCCCUUGGGUGUGCUAAAGAAAAUGGGGGUGCUAAACUUAGGGGGUGUUUGGAUCCCCGGGCUAAAUUUUAGCCCCUGUCACAUCGAAUGUUUAGACACUAAUUAGAAGUAUUAAACAUAGUCUAAUUACAAAACCAAUUUCACAACCCCUAGGCUAAAUCGCGAGACGAAUCUAUUAAGCCUAAUUAGUCCAUGAUUUGACAAUAUGGUGCUACAGUAAACAUUCGCUAAUGAUGGAUUAAUUAGGCUUAAUAGAUUCGUCUCGUGAUUUAGCCUAGGGGUUCUGCAAUUAGUUUUGUAAUUAGCUCAUGUUUAGUCCUCCUAAUUAGCAUCCGAAUAUUCGAUGUGACACGGACUAAAUUUUAGCUGCAGGAUCCAAACACCCCCUUAGCACACCCCUGUUUGGGAGCCCAAGUGCUAAAAGGUGCUAAAAAGUGGGGUGCUAAAGUUUAGCACCCCCUCUCCAAACAGGGCCUAAAUACUAUAGUAACCUAUAUGAAACUGUGUAUCGUAAGAGGCUGUUUCAUUCAUCAACUUAAAUCUUUAAAGAUGACAUGUCACUUUUGAAAACGGUGCAGUAGUAAUUUCCAGUGUCUCGAAAACUGGUUUAGCAUGCAAGGCGGACCAUGAGCGGAGGAUGCUGGUGGGAGAAGGCUUUCAUCAGGAGAUACAGACCAGUCUGGUCAAAGUUGAAUAAGAGGGUUACGCACAAGCAGAAGUUGGCCGGCGACAAGGGAAUCUGCAGGGUCUGCAGAUCGAUCCAUCGGCCUUGGUACGACGCUCUGCUGACGAAACAAAGACGUACGGUGUCUAGUAUGGAUCAUCAGCUUUAAUUUCUUUCGGCAAAACGAUACUACGAUCGAAAAGAAGCCGUACGGUACACCAGUAGUAUGCACUGUCAUAAUUUUUUACAUUAACUCUCAAUAGCAAAAAUGAAAGCAAGCAGCAUUCUUGUUGAUUCCCCAACCAAUUGGUUGGAACACGUACGGAAUACAUGACAAGGAGGAAGCGGCCUCUCUCAAACAAAACAAAACAAGCAUGGAUGAGAGGAGGAAGAAGAAGAAGAAACCCAAACCACACACGGACAGAGCGAGCGAGGAGACGGAGCAAUCCGACGGGCCAGAUCAAACCAAAGCCCCUCCGAUGAAAUGCAGCUGGCAGUGGUGACGUCACGGCGCCUCCUGGGGCAGCAGGUGGUGCGUGCGGGCGGGCGCCAUGAAGAAGCACUCGUACACCACCACGGCGAGGGGCCCGCCGGCCAGCGGCCCCACCCAGUACACCCAGUGGUGGGUCCACACGCCCGUGGCCACCGCCGGCCCGAACGACCGCGCUGGGUUCAUGGACGCGCCGGACAGGACGGCGCCGGCGAUGGAGUUGGCGCCGACGAGGAGCCCGGUGAGCAGCGGGCCGGCGCCGGGGAGCAGCUUCCGGGGGUCCAGGAUGGUCGCGUAGAUCACGAACAGCAGGCUGAAGGUGAAGACGGCCUCCGCGACCACGCCCUGGAUGGGCCCCACGCCCGCCGCCAGCGCGUGCACCGGAGUGGCCAGGCCUCCGGUGAGCCACCGGAGCAGGAUGCAGGCCGUGGAGGAGCCGAGCAUCUGGGCGACGAUGUACAGGGCCGACCGGAACAGGGUGAUCUGGCCGCCGACGGCCAGCGACAGCGUGACGGCCGGGUUCACGUGGCCGCCGGAGAUGUGGAAGCCCGCCGUCGCAAUCACGCACACCACCAGCGCCUGCCCCAGAGCCACCGCCGUCAGGUCGCCGCCCGCGUCGGUCUUCGCCCCUGCAGCAGAGAUACGCAUGCAGAUGAAUGUACGGAUCGGAUUAGGGAUUAUAUGUAUAAUAUACCAUGUGUACUUUGGAUCAGAUCGGCAUUUGAUUUUGUUCGGCGUUUUGCACGCACGAAUUCGGGUACGAUUGGCAGAGCUCCUAAAGCUGAAAUGAAUUAAGAGGUUGGGAGUUGAAAAAAGUAGCUCCUCUUACUUAAUUCUGUGAGAUGAUUCUCCAUCCUGAUUUUAAAAGUUUAUGCUAAAGAAUAAAAGAGAAUCACUUUCAGCUAUAGAAUCACUUCUCUCAGAUAAUCAGCUCUUAUAGAAAAUCAGAAUCAGAUGCAACCCUAUCAAACGGACCCUCAAACCGGCGAUCAACUAUCUGGCAAGGAUGGUAAUCACAUACGCCGAUAUGCGAGGCAAUGAAAAUUUAUGAUCAUGAUGGCGAUACCACUCCCCCUAGCUAUUAUGGCAAUGAUAAUUGUUUACCUUCUCUUACCAUUUCAAAAUAUAUGUCGUUUUAGUUUUGUCAUAAGUAAAAAUUUUCUAAGGUUGACUAAGUUUAAAAGAAUAAAUUAGCAUAUACAAUACAAAAAAAUAUAUCAUAAAGGCACAUUUCUGGAGAAUUUAAUAAAAACAAUUUAUAUGUUAGUAUAUUUUUCCUCUAAACCUAGUCAAAUAAUAGAAGUUUGAUUUUAUAGUCAAAACGAUCUGCAUUUGAAAUGGAGUAUAUGUCAACAAUGAUUUUGUAUGAUAGCAUCCCUUAACAAUUGGAGCACAUGCUACAUGCACCCUAUUUACCUGGAUGAACCGUGCCUUAGAAAACUCUCUUCUCCAUGGGUACCUAUGUGAACCUAAACACCUUCAUCUUAAUUAUAAACAGAAAACAAAUUCACAUUAUAGCAUUUUCAUCCCUGGAUUCGGAAGGGCACAUGUUAGGCAUCUUUUCUGAUUCAUGAUUUCUUCUCCCACGAGCUUUGGGGUAACAGUGUUUCUACCCAUGGGGUCCAACACUAGGUACGUAAUAAUGUGGUUGUGGGGUGGGUUGAACGUGUUGUGAUUCUGGUUUGGAGUCAUCUCUCGGCCUGUUCGCUUCAGUUUAUUCAGCCGGCUUAUCAGCCACCAAACAGUAUUUUCCUCUCACAACAAAUCAGCCGUUUCAGCUUUUCAGCCGGCUUAUAAGCUGAAGCGAACAGGCCCUCUGUGCUGGGACGAAGGCUUAGGCUGGUCAAGGGGCCGGGAGGCAUGCCCUCCCUCCCCUGCCGCUUGAUUAACUCCGCAGGUAGCAGUUUAAUUUUAUUUGGAUGCAAUGAAGGUAAAAUAAACUAUUUGGCUCUCUUAUUAUUUAGGUCUGGCUCUUUGGCUCCCUUGAUAUUUUUUUAAAAAAUUCUAGGUUUUGUCUCUAGUGGUGUGGUAAAUUCAAUGACUACACCACAUAAGGAUGGCAAUACAAUGGACUAAAGUGACGACGGCCGGAGUUAAUGGAGGAUGUGCUAGGUUCGGGCAAAUUAUAUACAAGGGAUGGCAUAGGGUAGGUUUACUAUGAAUCCUUCUUGGUAUCAAAGGCGACAUUAGGUACGUAGAGUGGUCACGACUACCUAAAAAGGACAGUAAAAUUAAUGGACAGGAGUAGCUUAACUGGUAAAGUUUAUUGUGGUAGAACCUACUUACCCAGGUUUGAGUCCUCGACUCGGCACGGGUGGUUGCAUUUUUCUAUAUUUUCAGCCGGCGCUAUUUUUUGAGUGGUCGGUAACGUGAACUCGCCAAUAUCUAAAUAAGUCAACAAACUAUUAUAUGUUUUUGACCAAGUUAAAGUUUGAAAUGACACAAAAAUAUAUAGUUUCACCUGGUAACUUUUGAAAUGAAGUAGUAUGUGUGGCAAGAUUCGUUUAGUAAUGAAGCGAAAAAUGUGUCAUCACUUUACGUGGGGGGCGGUGUCCGGCCGGUCCUGUCUCCUCCGUAAGUAAAGCUAGCAGGGAUGUUCACCACCACCGCGUGCGUUUAUUAGUUGACGUGUACAACCCCUAGUACUAGUAGCUGUUAAUAAUGUUAUAGAGAGGUAAAAGCAAUCACUAAUCUACAGUAGAUGCAUGUAAUAAUAAACGACACAAUAGCCGCAGAUCGGCCGGCCUCUGCAUGCAGGCGGUAUAUAUAUUAAUUACUACUCGAUCUGCUUCAGUAAAUAAAUUUAAUUUACUCGCGCGCGCUAUUGAUAGAAAAAAAAUGCAAACCUGGGGUAAUUGAAGAGCACGGAUGCUGCUAGGUACGCAUGCAGGUAUAGGAAGCAAAUUAAAAAAGAGUAGGGAGAUGGAUGAAUAGCCAGCAAAGCAGCUAGAAGAGAUGACGAUCGAGGUAAUAAGGUGUAACCGACCGGCGGUCAUGGCGGCCCCGACUUGGAUGAAGACGAAGAGGAAGGUGAGGACGAGCUCGCCGAGGACGCCGCGGAAGAAGUCCGGCUCCGACGCCUCGCCGCGGUGGCCCAGCGCAACCUUCCCCAUCCUCGCUUAUUAUCCCUCCGGAAAUAAGGCUAACAGAUAGAUGGAUGGAUGGAUCGAUCACCACAAGCUAAGGUGAUGGAACAGUAGCAUUAUUAUAUUGUGAAAGAAAGCUAGUGUUGCAUAUGUAUAUAUAUAGGAAAGAGGAAGAUAUAUAAGUAUAUAUAUUAUUUCGCAAGUCAAAAAGUUUCUGGCCGUGCCAAUAUAUAUACAUGAUGCAACGUAACUUGCAUUAUUGGCAAAUGAAUUACUUUACUUUGGGCAACAUGUGGUGCAACAGUACUGCUCUAGCUCUGUCGUCAUGUCGCCGUACGUUCAUGGCGGUUGAUCGAUCCAUGGAUGGAUGGAUUCACACUUUAAUUGAUUUGCUUGGAAGGCACCGACGACCCAACCUACGAUGCACAUGAUCCAACCAUGCAUCUUCACUUUUUUUGUUGCGGUCUACAGGAAGCACCACUUUCGGGCCUCACUACUCUAUGCCGGCCUCCACACUACCCCGACACUAUAGUGCUGCACUGUACUCCUUCCGCUGUGUAUAUUAUUGUGUGCAGGCACACGCUAGCUAUUAUACAUAUAUGUUCUUCAUCAUGCAUGUAAUUAUUCUGCCCUCUGUGCUUUUAUCACUUUGUCUCCUUGUCAGUGCAGUAACUUUUCCGAGUUUAAUUUACCCUUGGUAUAUACGAUAUUUUUAAUAAGUAACAAAUUAGUAUAAUACGUUCGAGGUCUAAAUUCAUAAUUUUUACAACGCAUCUAAACAUACUACUAUAUUUAUAUGCAUAUAAAAAAUUAUAUAUUUUAGAUCGUUAAAACGAUCUACAAUUUGAAACAGAACAGAAGGAGUUAUUAGCAAGGCUUUGGACUUUGCACGUCCAAAUCAGACCACUCCUAAGUCCGUCCCACGAUAUGAUUAAACAUAAUCAAAUACUACAAGCAAAUAACAACCUUAUCUGUCGCAUGGAAUGGAAGUCGCCCUCUCUGAAAAUAUCAGCCUACACGACAGAACCGAACACUUGGACCUGAAAGCUUACCGGCUGCCUUGGUCGCCGUACGUGUCGAUCUCCCACACGAUCCAUCUCGCCGUCGCCGAUAGAGCAAGUAUACACGCCAUCUCCGCCUCGUCACCACUCAACACAAAUUGAUGCACGCACAUCAACUAUUCAGCUUUUCCGGUUUCUUAUGUUCCUAUAUUUCCAAAGGCGGAGCUUGACCAAAAGUUCAGAGGGGGCCGAUCCAUCGAAAGCAUUGAGCGUCGGUAAAUAGUACCAGUAUUACUGUUCAACCAGUAGAAGUUUAGGUCCGUUUGGUGGAGCUGCGGCUCCUGCCAAAACGGCUCAAGUUCUGACUCUUUUGGUGGAGUGGCUUUCUAGUAGAGUUGAAGCCGUUUUAUAAAAUAUUUGGUAAAAAGGCUUCUCAAUGAUAAUACGGGUAAUUUUACGAUCGCUAAAUAUACACGCUAAAUAUACGUUACAUGAGAUCCCACGAGCAAAUACGACCUCGAUGCCGAUCGACAGAACUGAUGCUGGUUGAACCGACGACGAUGAUGCAGUGCAAGUUGAUCUCCGUGUCGGGUCGUUUGGUGAAGUCCGUGCAUAUAUCCGUGGGUUUGACAGAAAUUCAGCUGGAUUUAGUUUGGCUUUGCCGAUCUCGCUCGCACGGCCUUUCGUGACUUCGCUGUCCAUUUUUUUUUUUCUGAAAAUAUAUUAAUAUAUGGUGGACUUAAAAUAAGAUGGAACCCGAUGGCUCAACUGCAAAUUAAAGCUUUGGCUUUGAUUUUUAGCAAUCAACAUAUGUCUUUGGUGCUUACUACGACAUGUCACCACAAUCUUUAUUUGUUAAUUAGCAACAAACAGAUAUAGUAUUUAGUGUGCGUGCCCUUUUUUCCCCCGAGAGAGAAGAAGGGACACAGACGUACACCUCCAUCAACCGACUGCAUUUGAGCAACUGGAUCAAAGCUAAAGUGAACAUAUGCUCAAAUGCAUGCAGUGGGCUUCAAUUAAUAAUUAUUCAAUGAAAUCGCCGCUUCAUUCUCUCUAAAAGAACCCUGUGUUUUUAGAGAAUUGCGGGUUGGCACGAUGCGUGCAGCAGCUAUUGCAAUGCUCAAGAUCAACUAGGAGCAGCCUCACUUGGAAAAAAGAACUAGGAGCAGCCGUGUGCGUUGUACAACACGACGUCUAGAGCGCGAUACAAGCUGUGUGGCUGACCCACCCAUAGCUGGAAGCCUGUUGCCUACUGAUGGACGACCUGGACAUCCAAGCAGGGAUUCAGAGAUAAUACUGUGUAUUGAAAUGAAACUUAUCAUUGGGAUUGGCCUUAGGUCCCCGGACUUCAGCAUAUAAGUGGGAGACCAAAAUAAGUUUAAUGACACAUUUGUUUCUGUUCAUCUUCUUCUAAUGAAAUAUUCAAGGUGUGGGUGUGUCUUAGACACAUGCUGGAUCCAAUUUGUCAAUGAUAAUUAUUAUCCACCAAAUUUUUAAUUAGUUAGACCUUUUGAUUGUUUGAGAAUUCCUUAUUUUAUUUUCUAGCGCAUGCAUUGUCAUCUAAUAAGAAUUAAUGUUGAAGUUUCAAAGACAAUCUCCAACUAUUAUUAGUACUAGCCAUCAUGCUAAUGCGUUGCUACGGGAGCCAUAACAUUUUUAAUAAUAAGAGGAGGGGGAAAAUAUGGUCAUUUGAGAUCAUCAGCACUACAAUAUACCAAAUCUCAAAAACUAUUUUUAACCGCAGUGAAAUAUAUAAACAUCAGUUUUACUUAAAGGUGUCAAAGAAUCGUAAAUAAAAACACUAAGACACAUGAUGCAGUAAAGGUAAAUGCUCGUGCACUACAAGGGAAGUAAAAGAAUAGCGAGAAAAUAUAAUCGAUGCUAUUUACCUAAUGCAACGUGACAAUUUGACUACUUGAAUCACAUAUAUCUUAAACUAAUAGUAAAAUAUAAGAUAAGAUGAAGUAUUCUGCGUAUUGAACAUUGAGCUUCUUACAAAUAUUGCUCAUCUAAUCUCUCAAACAGAUAUAUGAGCGCGUGGUGGCCCAGACCUGACGGUGAGGAGUGGGGCGCCGCCAUGAUCAAGGCCGCCGAUGGAAGCAGCAGUUGGCAGUGCGCGGAGAUGCCCCUCAUUGAUUUUUCAUGUUUUACCUUUUUCCUUUUCUUACUUUUUCCCACUCUUUUGCGAGAUGGUUGUUUUUAUCUAUUGCUCGAUUUCAGCCUGCCGCUGGCUGCUAGCUCGAAGAUCCAUGGCUCUUGUGCUGAUUCUUGCACGCAUAGACCAAUGGACGGCAGGCCAUUGGUAAACUUAAACGGGCCCCCAAAAAAUGCUUCGAUUUGGUGCUUGCGCAGGGGAGACCGAAAGGAAUUAGGAUGGACGACGAUCAGGCAUUGUCGGGCUGAUGUAAUGCUGAAAUCGGGACCACCUAUCAAUGACUAAAGUUGGAUCAAACUAAAAAAAUUGGGUAGAAGCGUUCCUCAUUUUAAUAAUAUAAUAUAUAUAGGUAAGAAGAGAGAAGUAAAAAUAUCUGAGUUUUUUUUCUCCCCCUCAAUGCAUGUUACUCAAUAAGAAGAAAGCGAAAGAAAAAAAAAGUCACAUGGAACCAUUUAAUCACAAUGUAUACAAGCGACAAUUAACUAAUUUCUCGGUCUUGAUGAUACAACAUAGUAAUUGACACAGUGCAUUGGAAGUACGUUUUAGGAACUUACAUUACACCCAAUCUGACGUGGCACUAUACGAUAGAACAGCAUGAUACAAUGCAUAGCAUGAAAGUACGUAGUCUCAAACCAAACCGAAGAAACAAACCCAAGCUCGCGCAGACGACCUCGGGAAGCAGAUCGAAAGGCGGAUCGGAGCAAGCCCAAACCAAAUCAAAGUUCCUCCAAUGCACGCGUGGCGUUCAUCACGCCUCCUCGGGAAGCAGCUGAUGUGCACCGGCGGGCGCCAUGAAGAGGCACUCGUACACCACCACGGCGAGGGGCCCGCCGGCCAGCGGCCCCACCCAGUACACCCAGUGGUGGGUCCACACGCCCGUGGCCAACGCCGGGCCGAACGACCGCGCCGGGUUCAUGGACGCGCCGGACAGGACGGCGCCGGCGAUGGAGUUGGCGCCGACGAGGAGCCCGGUGAGCAGCGGGCCGACGCCGGGGAGAAUCUUCCGAGGGUCCAGGAUGGUCGCGUAGAUCACGAACAGCAGGCUGAACGUGAAGACGACCUCGGCGACCACGCCCUGAAUGGGCCCCACGCCUGCCGCCAGAGCGUGCACCGGAGUGGCCUGCAUAUAUAGAUCGAUUUGUAUGUACAAUUAUAUACCGGAGAGAUUAACGACGACGACCAUGACUGCUAGCGGCGGCGGCGCCAACGUACCACCAGGCCUCCGGUGAGCCACCGGAGCAGGACGCAGGCCGUGGAGGAGCCGAGCAUCUGGGCGACGAUGUACAGGGCCGACCGGAACAGGGUGAUCUGGCCACCGACGGCCAUCGACAGCGUGACGGCCGGGUUCACGUGGCCGCCGGAGAUGUGGAAGCCCGCCGUCGCGAUCACGCACACCACCAGCGCCUGCCCCAGCGCCACCGCCGUUAGGUUGCCUCCGGCGUUGGUCUUUCCUGCAGACGCGUAAAUGGCAUGUUGCUUAUGUAGCAAUUAAUUGACAUCCUUGAAAACAUAAUAAUAAAUAUGAAAUGCUCUUUAAAAAUAGCCUUAAGAAUUAAGAUCGUGAUGCAUUCGCCUAAGUUAUGAAAGAGGAUGCAUGUGGUGACACCACUAAUUUCACCAUUAAUUUGGUAGCAACGGGUUAGCAGCUGUAGUUUAUUUUUAUCCCACGUCUCAUUGUUUUCAAAUCAAGAUUAAUUCAUUUAAAUGAGUUGUGUGGUCGACCCAAUGAUCCAACAAAUUAAAAAUGUAAUAAGUAUUAUAUAUUGCUCAUACUAAUUACUAAUAAUUGUAAAUUAGUAGCUUCGCUGUGCCGCUGUUAAUACUAUACGUCUGCGCACUGUCAAUACUACGCCUUCCAUUCUGUUAAUAAUUGUCCAUUGAGGAUAUAAAGAGUGUGGUUAUUUUAGUAGCUUUUCACUCACUACCUCUAAACAAAUAAUUUGAAAAGAAAUAGAAGUGGCUGUGUCAUAUUAUUUAAUAGGUUUAUGGAUGAUCAUUUCACAUGGACUUGAAACUCUCUCGAGCUGCCUAUAUGUAGCUGCAUACCGUCGAUUGUCAUGGCGGCCCCGACUUGGAUGAAGACGAAGAGGAAGGUGAGGACGAGCUCGCCGAGGACGCCGCGGAAGAAGUCCGGCUCCGACGCCUCGCCGCGGCGACCAAGUGCCAGCUUUCCCAUUGGCAAAUUAAAGGCACACACAAGAGAUAGCAGCUGGUCAGCAGGGGGCGUUGGAGAAUAAGCUAAGAGAGAUCUUUAUUCGAUGGCACACUUUAGCUUGCUUGUUCCAUCUGUGAAAGAAAGAAAGCUUCUUGUUAUAUAGGCAAGAGGAGGGGGGCAUCUGCUAAGCAGCAGCCGCCCGGCCGGGAUCUUAUAUUCGGCAAGCCAUUCUUUUCUUUUUCUUUUUUUUUCAAUGGUACGUGCUUGCAUUGCGUCUUUCCAAUGCAACUUAUUACUUGUGGAUGAAGAAUCAUGUUACCCGAGGUUGAAACUAACGACGAAAUGUUGUUCAAAAAAAAAACUAACGACGAAAUAAAGGAUGUGCAGGUGCAUGCAAGUAUCAUGCACAUGCAUACGGAGCAUGUUUUCGUGACUGUUGAUCGAUGAUUGAUUCACUUUGCUUUGGAACCGACCCAGCCGAUGAUCGAUCGGUCCACGUCGUAUCGUAUGCAUAUGCACAGUGGUAGUCCGUUGCCUAGCUGGGCUACCUGAUGGGACACACUAACAAAAUAUAAUGCCUAGUUCUUUCGUCUGUAUAGCUUUGCCGAGUUCAAUUGCUGUUAGUGCAUGUACAUAUAAGAAAGCUAGUAACGACUUGCCAAAGAUCGAUGUAGAUUAGCAAGGCAUUGCCUAAAGAAUUGAAUCGAAGCCAGGAUUUUUUUUUUUGAUCAAGAAGCCAGGAUUAUUGCACAGCAUCAUAUCGAACCACUACUCCUGGUACGCAUUAUAUUUUGUUAGUGUGUCCCACGAACACGCAUUAUAUCAAAUAAACAAUCUUAUUUGUCACGUCGAGAAAAUAUCAACGUAACAUACACAAAACGGCAGAGCACUUUCAAACUGAAACCUGCCUUGCUGGCGUGUCGAGCUCCCAUAGGACCCGUCUUGCCGCCAUAGAACAGGCACGUACUCCAGUGGGGUACUACGACUUACUUCAGUCUUCAGCAGGAGCUAGCAAUGUCACAAUUUAAUCACAAUUUAUAUAUUCAUCAGGUUUGCCGCCCACAAUUUAAUCACAAUUUAAUCAGAGUCUCGUAGUAUAAAAUCAUCAUUCUCGUUAUUUUCCUACCUUUCGUCAUAUUCCUUCAUAAUAUAUAUAUUACGAAGCUCGGCGUUGUCGAGCAAGGAUUGUAGCAUGCCUAACCACCCCUAACCCCAUAUAUUCUUAAUCUCCCACGAAAAUACUUAGCACUCUAAUAGGUCUGAUGAUGUUUCUUUAGUCUUGGAUAAUGUUCGUUUCUUAAGAGAGUCAAAUAAUAUUGCACAUGUACAUCUUUUUCUUUAAAAAACAUGCUGCGCUUGUUUUUUUUUUUGGUCAAAAUUACGCGAGAGUAAUGCGCAAAAAACAUGAAGUUAAAGUUAUUUUCUUGUUAUGCGGUGUUCAUUAUAUAUCUGCAUGGCUAUCCAUGCUUUAUUUUUGUUUUCUCUUUUUUUGCGAGUAUAUAUUUCUUUUUUCUUUUAGAGAGAGACCUCUAACUAAAUCAUGUUCAGGUGAUACUUUAGAUUCUUUUUUUAUACGGGUAAUUUACAAGCAUGUAUUUGAGUUAGUUGGGUUAGGUUUUCAUACAAUAGGUGUUGGUAAUUCAUAGAUGGACGUUAAGGGAACUUUAGGCUAUUUUUUUAAAAAAAAUGCAUGUAUUGUGGGUACUUUGGAUGCCUUUUUUUUCCUAAUAUGAUGUAGGUGUAUAAUUUAGAAGCAUAUAUUAGAGGUACGUUGGGUUAAUUUUUCAUAAUAACAAUAAUCUAGAAACAUAUUAUAUCUAGCACGUCCAAACAUAUUAUAUCGAUCACUGAUAGAAUCCACCAAAUCAAUAGUCCAGGUGGUUGCCUUUUCACCAGAGUUUGGUUUUUGUUUAGCACGUCCAAUCCCAAAGUUAACAUGGAGGGCUUGCUUGAAGAAUAUUCAAUUAGUAAUAGUAAGAUAUAAUAUAUAAGAAUGCUAAUAACAAGUUGACAACGAGGCAUAUUAACAUAUUAAGGGCUUGCUGUUGUCGAGCUAGGAUUGCAUCAAGUCCAAAUCAAACCACGCCUUACUCCGUAUUCUAAAUGCAAACAUAGCGUUAAAUCAAAUGAAUAAUUUUAUAAUGUUUAUUUAGGGUUGGAUAAUAUUCGGCUUCUUUUUGUUAUAGAGUCAAAUAUUGUUGCGCAUGCAUGUUUCCGGUAGAUAUGAUGUAGAGUUAACUUGCCUAUAAGCUCUCACUACCAGACCAACUUGCCUACAAGCACUCACUGCUAGACCAACUUGCCUCUAUACAUGACGUGUUUCAUGUAUCUCAACUUAAGAAGUGUUUAAGAGUUCUUAAAGAGAUUCUAGAAGACCCCGAACUUGAGUUAGAAUCAGAUUUGACUUACGAAGAAAGGCCAAUUAAGAUCUUGGAUCAGAAGACUCGAGACACUAGAACCAAAAGUAUCAAAUUUUUACAAGGUUUAAUAGAAGAAUCAUACUAAAGAUGAGGCUCCUUGGGAACAAACAGAAUAUUUGAAAUCCAAGUAUCCUGAACUCUUUCAAGAACUUUGAGUUUAGUGAGCACAUGUAUGAUAUGUACAGAAGCAGCCUAUCAAUUUUUUUGAGAAGUAAUAUAAAGAAGAGUACGUGAUGCAUUUUCCUUUCCGUUGUCAAGAAGGAAUCUAGCACCGGAAUCUCGGGACAAGAUUCUUUUAAGGGGGAGAGGCUGUAACACCAAGUGUGUUUAAGACCUAAAGAAGGCCAUCAUUAGGUCAAUGAUGAAAUUUAGCUUAAAAAGAGGUCAAAUGAGUUGAGUGCAAAUUUGACCUAAAUUCAAAUUAAAGAUUCAAACUUGGAAAAAUUUGACCAAAUUUGGAUCAAGAGUUGAAGGUGUUUAGAGUUCAAAGGAAUCAAGUUUGAGAUCAAAUUCAAGUCAGAAGGACCUCAAAAGCAUAGACAAAGUUGUUGACUUGGGCAAACUAUUCGGAGUCUGAAAAUUCUUAAGUCUGAAAACAGUGGCAACUAGUCAACUUUGAGUUCGAUUUCUGGAAGUUUUCACAUUUGAACUCUGGCUGUUUUUGGAUAAUAAGUAAACUUGGACAGUCAGUGUAUAAUUUGGAGAAAUUUUUGGCCAGAGAAAUCAAAGAAUUAAAAUUUUAAAUGAGGCCCAAAGUUUGAAAGUUCACACUGUUUGAGUGAUCACUGACGAAACUGAAUGGCUAAUGCCAUUGAGCUCUAAAAUGCAGUGAUGACUGGCCUAUUUUGGUUCAGGAUUGAAGAUUUUUACAUGUGGAUGUUGGACAAGUCCAAGUAAAAAUGGGAUGUAUGAUCUAUAACUAACAAGUUACAGUAGCUCUUGAUCAAAGAAAACUGAGUUUGGAUAUUUAAUUUGGAGCUCAAACAAAAGGGAAGUUUGCACUGUUUCAGCAUUGGAUGUUAACUGACGAGCAGAUUCUAAAGAUUCAGAGAAAGCUCGAGUUUUUGCCCAAGUUCAGAGUUUAUGAUCGCAAAAUCCUUUGAGUUUGAGAACAAAAGGUAUAUCUAAGAUUUGUAGCUGAUAGUACCAGAAUCAACUUUCGUUAAAGGAUUAUGACAUAUUGGUGAUCGGUUUGGAUGGAAUUCGUCGACGAACAGUCCAAUUUCCAAGCAAGUAUUGCCCUGUAACCGCCUCUGUCCAGCAGCUCGCUUGCCUGCCGGCGCCGCCGCCUUACAUCGCUUGACCGUCACGCAGCUGUCCGCCUUGCCAUCCAAGACUCCGCGUCGCGCACCUUACCGCCGAGCCGCAGCUGGCCUCCUUACCGCCUUCCCUGGCCUAUAAAGAUCCAAGCCGCCGCUGCCAUCUCUUUCUUUUUCCCCACCGCGAGAACACAAGCCGCCUCGCGCUCGAUUCCGGGAGCUUUGCUGGAUCCCGUUCCAAUCGCUCGCGCACGCAGCUCCGCCACAACUAGGGACGUUUGGUUUUUCUUAUUUUUAGCACAUGUCACAUCAAAUGUUUAGAUACUAAUUAGGAGUAUUAAACGUAGACUAUUUAUAAAACAUAUUACAUAAGUGGAGGUUAAAAAGUGAGACGAAUCUAUUAAACCUAAUUAAUCCAUUAUUAGCAAAUGUUUACUGUAGCAAUACAUUGUUAAAUCAUGGACUAAUUAGGCUUAAUAGAUUCGUCUCGCCAUUUAGCCUCCACUUAUGUAAUGGGUUUUGUAAAUAGUCUACGUUUAAUACUCCUAAUUAGUAUCUAAACAUUCGAUGUGACGGGUGCUAAAAAUAAGUCAGGGAACCAAACGUCCCCCUAAUCCACGUCCCACGUGUUUCAAUUCCACUGCUCCCCGCCGACGAGCUGGUUCUCGCCGUCUUCCUGUCUGCCAGCUGCCAUAGUUACCGCCUCGGUGAGCCCCUAUACGCUGCAUCUGCUUGCUUGAGCCCUUGGUCUUAGAUGCUAGUGUAGGUGCUGUAGAAGCUCUUGGGUGUGUCCCUGGCCGGAGAGCGCUCGCUGUCGUCGCCCACGCCAGUCAGGUCACGGCCGUGUCCACCGCCACCGCCACCACCGCACACCCCCUGUACAGCUCACGACUUGGGACAGCAACACACCCAGUAGGUGUGCACGGUCGUAGGGAGUCCAGCCGUGGUGUCAUCUUCGCCGACGACGAGCCGUCGCAGUUACCCGCCGGUGUACCCGCAGUUUGGGCCGGGUACACUAUGCGUUGGGUUGGGCCCGCGUGUCAGCAUAAGAGGGUGAGUUAGAAGAGUGUUUCCAGGGGGUUUCGGGUGAAAAUGGUUUUAUGUGUUUAGAAAAUAGAUUUAAAUUCUAGUUUUUUUUAAUUCACCACAAUUUGUAGAAAUGUCCAAAAUUAGUGAAACCAAUUUUGUUAGUUUUUUAUUUAUCUCUAUGCAUUAAAAUUCUUAAACCCUAGGAAAAAGUAAUAAAUAUUAGGUGUUUAUUUAGUGCCUUAUGUUUAAGGUAUUUAAAUAAAUAUUUAAUCUUUAUAAAAUGUAUAAAAUUCUGAAUAAUGAUUUCUUAAUUAAAAUAAUAAUAAUUAGGAAUUAGGUUUUGAGAUUAGUAAUUAUUUGAUAACCCCUUUUAUAAUAAAUUAAAAUAAUUAAGGUUAGUUUAGUAAGAAAUAAAUUGAGGGUUAACCUUUUAUUGGUAGAUUUGUGUUGGCUUGCAAAUUUAUCAUGAAAAUAAGUUGUAUAGUCAGUGUUUCAAAAAGUUUUGCAUAUUCUAACUAUGACUUGCAUCAUAUCGUAGAAUCUGAAGCUCCUGAAAUUGAAUUUGUGGAAUUAUCUGAAGAACCUUAGGAGUACGAGGAGGUUAUUGAAGUUGCUCCUAUAUUUGAAGGGUCUUCUGAAGAUACUAUCUUUUUCGUGACCCCAGCAAGCCCAAGAGCAUCUAAGCCUACUAUUUUCAGAAUCCAUAAUUCAUGUGUCCACAUUAUUGGUUAUUUUUUAUUCAUGCAUUAAGUCUAGGAGUUGAUUGAAAACUUACUUUUAUGCACAAUCCAACCUUGAUUGUUAGGACAUCUUUGCCACCUGUUCAAAAAUAAUUAAUGAUCAUCCUAUGCUUAGUUUUGCUUAGUUUCUACCUUUGAGUAACUUUUGUUGCUCAAUCACUUAAGGUAAUUUGGUUCAUACACUUAAAUCAAGGAAAUGGCUUGAUUUCAAGAAUGUGGAUAGAAGCUAGAGAUGGUAGUUCUAUCUACUGAGAAUAAUAUGGUUUAAGGCCCGUUCGUUGUCUUAACCUUUGAUCAACAACAAGCCCAGUAGGUUAGUUGGCUCAUUGAUUGGAAAUGUUCUUACCCGUGCUUGACGUGUGGGAGAAAGGUGGGGACGUAGCCUGAAACUCACAUGGGAGCCAGACGUGGGGUCCCAUGUGGGGGUGCGUUCCCAGAUUUGGGUAAUUAUGUUUUCGGUCUUUGGGUACGGCUAAUUGAAAGGUUGGUAUGUACAAGCCGCGCAGUUGUGCAUGGCUGGUGAUUAGGUAUAUCCUGCAGGAUGUAAAUCGGUUCGUAUCGCUGCAAUUCUUGGUUAUGAAUGCACUUGAUCGUCGCUUAAGCAUCGUAGAAGUAACAAGUUGAAUAUAAUAUUUUUCCUUGAAUUAAUAUUGUUGUAUGAUGAUUAGUACCACUUGCCUGAGCAAAUGAUUUAUAUAUUCACCUAGGUUGGUUAGUUAAGAUUUAAUUAUUAUUAAAAUGAUAAAACUAAGGUUCCACAAGUAGUAAGCUUUUUGCAGAAUGUUGAGUCACCCAGUCCACCAAAAAAGCUUUCAUACUCCUUGAGGUCUUAGUUAUUUUUAUACGACGGGUCAGUCUUGCUAAGUACUUACUUAGGGGAUCCUUUUUAAGUUAUUUUCAAAAGGCCCGAAACUGUCUUUAGAAGGAGAACCUGAAGAAUUAGGGUGUUUAUGAGUCCCAAAAUGCCCUAGUGUUGGACCGUAGAUAUUUAAUUAAGUUAUAACAGUACUAUCCAUGUAUUAACUUUGAAACUCCUUAGAAUGGUUGGACUUCUAUUUAAGUUUGUUUCAAUAUAUGGUACCUUCCAAUAUUUAUGUAAAGAAUGGUUGGACUUCUAUUUAAGUUUGUUUCAAUAUAUGGUUUGUAAUAAUUCGUACCUUCCAACAUUUAUGUAAACGGGAGUGCUUGUUGAUACCUUUCCCAUCGUGAAAGCGAUUCUGAUGUAUGGUUAAGAUUCAAGUUGUACAUGGAUAAUUCGGAUUGUCCUGGGGAUACUCGACGGAUUGCCAGACUUAAACUAUUUUAAAUAUGUUUGUGAAUAAUUAUUAUUUUGUCAGUGAUUAGGCACAGUUAAACUAGUUUAAGUUGGAAGGUCCAUUAACUGUCUUAUAUUCGCUGGUUUGAUGCCAUGUAGGAUUUCUCCCGAUUAAAUUACCGAGUCGGGCCGCCAACACCGUCAGGCCCAAGACUAAGUAGUCGUAGCGCCUACGGCCUUUCCGCAAUUAUGCAUCCAUAUUUUUUGUUACCCUUCCAUGGAUGGUAAGGAGAGUCGUGAGAGAGGACAGAGGGAGCUUUUUGAAACGUGGAAAGCCCACACUGCAACGUAGGUGAUCCUUGUUGCAACGUACGUAGUCUGAAUUUGCUUGCACGAUCAUCGCAGGUAUGAACACACAAAAGCCCAGAAAAUGAUACAAACAAACUAGAGACUCCAAUUUAUUCACUGCCUGCAGGCUAGCUUAGAAAUCGUUUUCAUCCCUUGGAAGCGGACACCGACGACGAACACAGAAUGGCUAGAUAGAACCUAGAAGUCGUUUUCAUCCCUUGGAAGCGGCUCGUGGCCUCCCUGGGCCAUGAACAGGCCGUCGUAGACCAGCCCUGCGAGCGGACCGCCAAUCAGUGGCCCGACCCAAUAGACCCAGUGGUCGGCCCAUACCCCCGCAGCGAGCGCCGGCCCGAAGGAGCGCGCGGGGUUCAUGGAGGCGCCGGAGAAUGGUCCGCCGGCGAGCACGUUGGCGCCGACGACGAGGCCCACGAGCAGCGGCCCCAUCCCUCCCACGGUGCGGCGCGGGUCGACGACGGUGGCGUACACCGCGAAGAGCAGUGAGAAGGUGAGCACGACUUCCAUGAGCACGCCCUGGAGCGUGCCGACACCCGCCGCCAGCGCGUGCACGGGCGUGGCAGCGCCACCGGCGAGGAAGGCGAGGAGGAGGCAGGCGGCGGCGGAGCCCAGGAGCUGGGCGACGACGUAGAGCGCGGAGCGGAAGAGGGUGAUGCGGCCUGUUACGGCGAGGCCCAGCGUGACGGCAGGGUUGAUGUGGCCACCGGAGACGUGGAGCCCCGCGGAGAUCAUCACGGCCACCAC
rnacentral:lncRNA from 1 species